GGCUACUCUCGAGCAAAAUGAACGCAGCCACGCUAUUUUCUCCGGAUUUUAAUAGCCGUUUGGACAAAGGUUUUUGUGCAUAACCUUUGGGGCCUAAUUCCGUUGGUUUUUCUUUGAAUAUUUUGAGGUGGACUAGUACCCUCAUGACGCGGUAUAGGCGAGAAGGAUCACAACUUAGAGCAGACGAGAGCUCUAAGAGUGUCAUGGGGCUGCCAUGGCUUUCAAUUGCAUCCGCUAUCCCGAGUUCAAUGGCGCAUUUUACAACGCGAUUUUAACAAAUCCGAACACAUAUUUCCACACAUCCACUUUCGCACGCUCUUCUUCUUCUUCCCACGUUAACUCUCUUUUUGUAUCUUCCGUUUUUUCUCUGCGUGUGCGUCUUGUUGUCGAAAGCUCAACAAAAUGUGCAAGAUCGUGAGUGGAAACAAACAAUGACAAGGAAGAGAUAAACAAACAAUGAAACCAAGUAACACACAGAAAUAAUGGGUUAGUUGGUCUCUUUUCACUCUAUUUCAUUGGCUCCGUAAGAAGCUCUUUAUAUUACAAACUAUAUAGCCAAUAUCUAAAACCAUUAACUACAUGUUCCCACCUCACUUGACAACAUUUAUUGCGAGUACUAGCUAUUUGGGUUAAUAUUUGAACAUUGGACUACAAGUAUGUGGAAGCCCAAUGAUGCCGAUUAAAAGAAAACUUGCCCGAAACCCAUCAUCGAGCCCAUAGACAAGUUGGCACCUUCCCAUUAAUGCAUAGGUCAUGUGCCUAUGAUUUAAAAUGUCAAGUGAUGGGGACUAACUCACAAUCGGCCAAAAACCACUUUUCAGUGGCAACACAAGUAAAAAGCUGAUGACUCACUACCCUCCAAGUGUUUUCGGGCAAGAGCAAAGUCACUAUAGUCGGGCUAAACUGCCUAUAAAAGGAGGAAGAGGCCCAAGAGACAAAGAUACUCAACCAAUCAAACAAACAAACAUACAAAUUCUGGUCUCAAGCCAGAUUUGCAUCUAAAAGCUGUAAUCAGCCCAGAUCUCAAUAAUUUUAGGAUCAUUCCCUACAAAAGCCAUCUUUUGUCUAGUUUAGAAGCUCUGCUAUCACCCCUAGUGGCUUAGUAUCGAUUCCCUUGUGUAAACUUGUUUACCAUCCAUCCCUUUUUUAGCAUAUAAACCCUGUAAACUCAAAAGAGAAGUGAUUGCAAGAAGUUCAACCUUACCCGACAAGGUGAAAUCUUGCUCAAAGCUCUUUGUUUGUUUUAUAAGUUAAUAGAUCUACUACUUAAUGUCUUCUCCAACAUGUUUUCAAGUCAUUUCCAUCAGUUUUCCCAUUAUAAGUGUUCCAUUUGCAUCCAGAUCUGGUUAGUUUAAUGGACAUGCUAUCAUUAAAAUCAAUCAAGAACCAAGUAAAUGACUUAAGGGGAUCUGAACUCCCUCCAUUCGAACAUACAAGACUAUGAACUAAAAGACCUUGUUCGCAAGGCAAGAAAAAGAACUUAAUGUGGACUUAACCCAUCCACGACAAUCCUUUGAUAACAAGAAGUUUGAGUAACUUGGGGCACAAGUAAUUGACUAAACACAAUCUUGUUCUACAUUUGCUAUACUGAGAUAGUAGUGCACGCCUAGCACUUGGUUAGUUUUGAUUGCGAGCCUCAAUGCCUAUACCUAAGUCCCCACAAAGGCACAUUUCAAAACUAACUCUAUCCUUUUCUUGCAGCACAUUAGCAAGCAAGAGUCUGACUACACAUCUAGACCCGGCAGUUUCUGACACGACACGGUGACACGACACGAAAAUGACACGAAAAUACCGAGUUUCGGGUCAACAUGAUAACUUAUCGAGUGACCCGUUAAGAACCCGUUAAUAACGGGUUCUUAACGGGUAUACACGCGGGUAACACGUGGGUAACCUGUUUCGACCCGUUAAGAAAAAAAUUAUUUUGAUAAUUUUAAAGUUUAAUUACUAAAAGAUUUAUUAUAAAAUACAAUAGCCAUAUUAAUAUAUACAAUAUAUUCUAUAUUAAAUAUAUAGUUUUGUAUUAUUAUUCUUUAUAAGUUAAAAAAAAAGUUUUAGUCAUUAUUUAUUUUUAUUAUGAGAGCUCCUUAUUAUCAUUAUCAGGAUAAAUAUUACUUAACAUAUUGUUGUCCAAAAUUAAAAUAAACUAAUAUAGUAUUUGUAUAGGCAAGAACUAAGAAGACACACAUACAAGUAUGAAAAAUGUGAAAGAAUAUAUAAACACUCGUGAUUCAUCAUUAUUCCUCCACGAGUAGAUAAUGGUUACACUUACAUUAUCGUUUAGAUUUUUAAAAUCCUCCAAACCUUCAUGAAUAAUGUUUUUUAUUUGAGGGAAAAAUUAAUAAAAUUAAUAAUUAUUAUUGUAUAAGUGUAAAAAAUGUAAAAAAAAAAAUACAAUCACUCAUAGUGACAAACUUUACAACUUUCAUGAAGGGGUUAGCUUCGAAAUCCAGCACUAUAAUUCAUAAACCUUAAAUUUAUAUUUAACCGUCGAUUGCCAUUUACGCUUUAUUCUUCUUACUGAAUUUCAUUUUUAAAAUUUUCUUUUUUGAAAACAUGAUCAUUUGGCGGAUGUAAGAAGAUAAACGGUUUAGAUCUUUGAUAUCAUGUUUCGAUAUUUAUGUUUAAUUGAAAUAUGAGUCGAUGUCAUAUAGUUUGUAGAAACUUUAUAAACAUCAAGCAAUAUUUUCACUAACCGUAAAACUCUGAAUAUAAUAUCAAUGAUCCAAACCGUUCAUCUUCCUGCAUCCUCUAAUAUAUCAAGUUUUCAAAAAAGAAAAUCUGAAAAAAAAUAAAAUUUGAUGAGAACAAUGAAGCGUAAAUGUAAACAACAAUCAACGGUUAAAUUUUGAUCUAUGAUUUAUAUGAUUAUAGUGGCGAAUUUCAAAGUGAAGCUCUUCAUGAAAGUUGUAAAACUUGUCAUUACGAGCGUUUCUACAUUUUUCUAUAUUUUUUUUACACUUCCACAUUAAUUAAAAAAUUAUUAAAGACUUUAGGUAAGUGAAAAUAUACUUAAAAGAAAAAUGUGUUUUUAUGUUUUGGACGUGACAAUAUGGUAUGUAUAUAUUUAUUUAGUAUUAUGUUUUUCAUUUUAUUAUUUAUAGGUUUAAAAUAUAUUUUCCUUAACGGGUAAUGGGUCGGAUCAUAUUACCUGUUAAUAUUAUCAAGUCAAUUUGGAGUCGGGUCAUUUUACCCGUUUAUUUUAACGUGUGUUACACGACACGACCCGUUAAGAUAUCGGGUAUGACACGAAAACGACACGAACACGAAAAUCACGACACGAAUGCCAGGUUACCAAUUCCUUGGGGAGUUGUGUUGAGAGCCGAUGAGCUCUCUCCGGAGAAAUCUUCGCCUGAACACCAGCCAUGUCCAUGUUGACAGCUAGCUCUUAUCAGUGUCAUUACCAGAAAUUCUGGUUUGCCCUGCUAAAUUUUGAGGGGACAAAAUUUUGUAAAUUAACUUCUUCGUACCCCCGACAACUUCACAGGUUCGUAGGGUUAGUAAAGUCAACAUUUUAGGUUUACUAGAAAAUCUUUUGAGAUGGAACAAUGUCGCAGGGUAAAAAUAAUUCCGUAGGGAAAAAAUUUGGCGGCAAAGGAAAAAUUUGGGGCGCAAUUAAUGAGGUUUUAUGGGGUUGAUAGCUGUUCAUCAUGUAAAUACAGUUUAACUGACGGAUUAAUUCAUCGCGUAAGAUUAUGUGGUCGUCUACAAAAGCCUAGUUUAUGACGUGUAAAAGAACAGGGAAACAUGUACUUACGAGACGAGUAAUUGAAAUAGUGCGACGACGGAUUCCGUUGGGUAAGAUGUGGUUCACCAUUUUGCUCAGACUGCUGCCUUGUUCCCCCAUUUACCCCUCACCCUUUUUCAUUGUUGUGCUUUCUGCAGGCCCCAUGCUGUCCCCCGUUGCAUCUCUCUCCAUCUCUUCCUCUUCGAAAUAUUUGAAGGUUAGUUUAUUUUGAGUUUGUCAUUAUUUUUUCCUUUGAAUGUGUUAUUUACGAUUAAUUUUUAGUGGUAAGCAUUAACUUAUUUAGUUGUGAUAUUUGUACAUGUUGAAUUGUGUAGGAUGUGAAAUUUGUAGUUGUUUUUGAAAUAUAUGUGGAGUAGGGAAAUUUAAUUUGUGUAGCAUUAUUAGUGUAGGACUUCAUGGUGUGAAAAUUGGUAAAAUUUCAUUCUGUUUAUAUGAAUUUAAUUAUGUUGAAUUAAAUUCGUAUAAUAAAAUCGAAAAAAACCUUAGAUCCAUUUGAGAUUUUGUUGGAAACACGUGUAGAUGUAGUAUGCGGCUCCACAAUCUAACUUAAUCUUGAAUUGACCAGUUCGAACAAUUUGGGAGUGCACUAGUAUAUGUGGGUUUGCAAUGAAUUUGGCUAAGUUUCGGUUGUGAAAAAUUCGGUUGUAUCCUCCUAUUAUUCUUCGAGUGCCUAGUAGAUAUUUAUCUGUAAUAUCAAAUUAAAUAUAUUUUUCUAGAGAUAAUUUUCAGAUGAUAAAUAGAAUAAAGAGUUUUGAAUAUGAUAUUUGUACGUUCAAAAGAUAUCCGUUUUGCCGUUGUUACAUAGAGAGGCAAUUAUCACCAUAUUAACAAAAACAACAUUAACUCAUAUACGCCAAAUAUUGUCUCGUAUAUGCAUGAAACGAGAAGAGCACUACAGAAGUGUUGUGCAAACAACAACAACAACAACAAAGCCUUUUCCCACUAAGUGGGGUCGGCUAUAUGAAUCCUAGAACGCCAUUGCGCUCGGUUUUGUGUCAUGCCCUCCGUUAGAUCCAAGUACUCUAAGUCUUUUCUUAGAGUCUCUUCCAAAGUUUUCCUAGGUCUUCCUCUACCCCUUCGGCCCUGAACCUCUGUCCCGUAGUCACAUCUUCGAACCGGAGCGUCAGUCGGCCUUCUUUGCACAUGUCCAAAUCACCAGAGCCGAUUUUCUCUCAUCUUUCCUACAAUUUCGGCUACUCCUACUUUACCUCGGAUAUCCUCAUUCCCAAUCUUAUCCUUUCUCGUGUGCCCACACAUCCCACGAAGCAUCCUCAUCUCCGCUACACCCAUUUUGUGUACGUGUUGAUGCUUCACCACCCAACAUUCUCUGCCAUACAACAUCGCUGGCCUUAUUGCCGUCCUAUAAAAUUUUUCCUUGAGCUUCAGUGGCCUACGACGGUCACACAACACGCCGGAUGCACUCUUUCCAUCCAGCUCGUAUUCUAUGGUUGAGAUCUCCAUCUAAUUCUCCGUUCUCUUGCAAGAUAGAUCCUAGGUAACGAAAACGGUCGCUUUUUGUGAUCUUCGCUAGAUUGCUCCGGUCAUUAGUGUGGAUAAGUAUAUAAAUGGAUAGAGAUAGGAAAACAAACACAAGAUGUACGUGGUUCACCCAGAUUGGCUACGUCCACAGAAUAGAAGAGUUCUCAUUAAUUGUGAAGGGUUUACACAAGUACAUAGGUUCAAGCUCUCCUUUAGUGAGUACGAGUGAAUGAUUUAGUACAAAUGACAUUAGGAAAUAUUGUGGGAGAAUGAUCUCGUAAUCACGAAACUUCUAAGUAUCGGAGUGUGGUGUCGUCUUGACUUGCCUUAUCGGUCUCAUAGGUAGAUGUGGCAUCUUCUCUGGAAGUACUCUUCCUCCAUCCAGGGGUGGUAUCUUUAACUGGUGGAGAUGCACAAGGUAAUGUAUCAAUUUCACUUGAAGCUUACUUGUAGUUUCAGGCUUGGUCAAGCGCGAUACAAACCAUGUAGUAGGAGUCCCCCAAGUCGCCGAGCUAGGGGGUCUGCUGAAAGAGGUGACAGACAAGGUAAGCAAUCAGAGCUCCGACUGAUUGUUCACCUUCUCCCCAUCUUGCAGCAGCAUGAAGGAUAAAGAGAAGAAAAAUGAGAAGAGAUGAUAUGAGAUACUUUUGCUUUUGAAGAAGUAACUUUCCACAGGCUUAUUCUUGAACUGAGCUGGAGGGUUUUCUGGUUUCCUCCAGAGUAUAAGGCCGACUGAAGAAUUUGAGGGUCAAAACAAGUCCAUCAAAUCUAGAGUACGUUCCACCCUGCUGAUAUGGGAUACUUUUGCUUUUGACAGAGUAAUGGAUGUAUCGGCACGUGUGCUGUUACGCUUGUCUCCACAUGCUUCCUUGUAUCCUUCGCACUUGCCCUAUCUGUUCCUCAAGCAGAUGCGGAAUCUUCCCUGGAAACAUAAGAUGAUGAAGAUGAGUACUCGAGAGCAAUGCCAGGUAAGUAAUCAGGUAAGGGGUUCCAGGCAGUCAGUUCCUGGCUGGAAGCUUGAUUCCAAGUGCUGACUGAUUGCUCUCUUUCUCCUUGUCUUGCAGGUAAAAACAAGGCCAAAAGAAAAAACAGGGAAAAAGCAUGAUAUGGGAUACUCUUGCUUUUAACCCUGAUGAUAUGAGAUAUUCUUGCUCUAGUAUAGCUUGUUUGCAGAGGUAUUAUCGGGGGGAAAGAAAGCUGAAUAUUUCGAAAGGCUUUGUUGGGAGUGCCCUCUCAGAUAUGAUGAAGGGUUGAGCAUUUUUGCAGGUCUGCCUGUCCGUUGGGGAUGGAGGUCGACAUAUAUAGGAGUCUCCCUAACAACAAGUAGUAAUGCUAUUCCUUUACCCUGCUUGGUCAUAGCACGGUAGUGGGAGCUGCCAGUUUCACAUGUUUUAACUCUGUCAGAGCACUUUGAAAAAGUGGUCUGUGGUAUCUGGCUCUCGAGAUUCGGAGAACGAUGCCUCUUCGAUUUUUUGAGAAAGCAAUCAUGCUGGGGGUCUGACUCUCGAGAUUCGGAGAGCAGUGUCUCUUCGAUUUUUGAGGAAGUAAUCAUGUUGGGAGUCUGGCUCUCGAGAUUCGGAAGGCGGUGCCUCUUCGAUUUUGGAGCAAGCAAUCUUGUUGGGAGUGUUGUCUCGAAUGUGAGUAAAGGUUGGACAUGUUUGCUAGUCUACCUUGCCACGAAGCACAAAGGUUGACACACAGGGACUUUCCAAUUAUCCAGCAAUGGUACUGUUCCUUUACCCUCUCUUCGAUUUUGAGAAAGUAGUCAUGUUGGGAGUCUGGCUCUCGAGAUUCGGAGGACGGUGCCUCUUUCGAUUUUGGAGCAAGCAAUCUUGUUGGGACUGUUUUCUCGAAUGUGAGUAAAGGUUGGGCAUGUUUGCUAGUCUACCUUGCCACGAAGCACAGAGGUUGACACACAGGGACUUUCCAAUUAUCCAGCAGUGGUACUGUUCCUUUACCCUUGUGGGUAAUAAUAUGGUAGCUAGACCUUCAAAAUUUAUGUGUCUAAACUUUGUUAGUGCUGUUUCUUUGCUAUUCUUUUACCUUUCUUGGUCAGAGCGAUGUAGUGGGAGCUGCAAGCUUCACGUGCUCAACUUUGGCAGAGAACUUUGGCAAAGUGAUCUGUGGUACCCAUGAGUUAUUGUUGCGUGUGGGAAGUGGGUGAUUGAACAUUAAGAUUCAUGUGCUUUCUACUUCACCAGAAGUCUUCGACAGAAUGCCCAUAAUUUCUGCAAAGCUGAGUGUGCGUGUGACAGGUGCUGACAAGGCUAGAAAAGUAGAUGCCUCUUCGAUUUCUGAGAUCGGCCCUCGUGGUCUCUGAGCAGCCCAGCUUUUGAGAAAGCGAGCGCCUCUUCGAUUGAUUCGGAGAACGGUGCCUCACCGAUUUUUGAGAAAGCAAUCAUGCUGGGGGUCUGGCUCUCGAGAUUCGGGGAGCAGUGUCUCUUCGAUUUUUUUGAGAAAGUAAUCAUGUUGGGAGAGUGGCUCUCGAGAUUCGGAGGGCGGUGCCUCUUCGAUUUUGGAGCAAGCAAUCUUGUUGGGAGUGUUUUCUCGAAUGUGAGUAAAGGUUGGGCAUGUUUGCUAGUCUACCUUGCCACGAAGCACAGAGGUUGACACACAGGGACUUUCCAAUUAUCCAGCAAUGGUACUGUUCCUUUACCCUCUCUUCGAUUUUUAAGAAAGUAGUCAUGUUGGGAGUCUGGCUCUUUAGAUUCGGAGGACGGUGCCUCUUCGAUUUUGGAGCAAGCAAUCUUAUUGGGAGUGUUUUCUCGAAUGUGAGUAAAGGUUGGGCAUGUUUGCUAGUCUACCUUGCCACGAAGCACAGAGGUUGACAUACAUGGACUUUCCAAUUAUCCAGCAGUGGUACUGUUCCUUUACCCUUGUGGGUAAUAAUAUGGUAGCUAGACCUUCAAAAUUUAUGGGUCUAAACUUUGUUAGUGCUGUUUCUUUGCUAUUCUUUUACCCUUCUUGGUCAGAGCGAUGUAGUGGGAGCUGCAAGCUUCACGUGCUCAACUUUGGCAGAGAACUUUGGCAAAGUUAUCUGUGGUACCCAUGAGCUAUUGUUGCGUGUGGGAAGUGGGUGAUUGAACAGUAAGAUUCCUGUGUUUUCUACUUCCCCAGAAGUCUUUGACAGAAUGCCCAUAAUUUCCGCAAAGCUGAGUGUGCGUGUGACAGGUGCUGACAAGGCUGGAAAAGUAGGUGCCUCUUCGAUUUCUGAGAUCGGCCCUCGUGGUCUUUAGGGAGCCCAGCUUUUGAGAAAGCGAGCGCCUCUUCGAUUUCUGAGAUCGGCCUUCGUGGUCUUUGAGCAGCCCAACUUUUGAGAAAGCAAACGGCUCUUCGAUUUCUGAGAUCAACCCUCGUGAUCUCUAAGCAGCCCAACUUUUGAGAAAGCAAACGCCUCUUCGAUUUCUGAGCAGGCGCCUCUUUGAUUUCUGAAGCUCCGUCGAGUGCAGAUUUUUAUAGAGGCUGGCAUUAAGUUCCAAAGCACACUUGAAUCUCCACCAGUAGAAGCUUCAUUCUUGCACUUCUAAGAUCUUGAUUUGUCCGACCUCUUCUCUCUUCAACACCUUUGAAAAUGUCUGGUCCCUCCGACCGUCGUUUUGACUUGAACCUUGUUGAAGAGGCAGCCCCGCCUUCUCCAGACAACAUAUGGCGCCCAUCCUUCGUCUCCCCAACUGGUCCUCUUACCGUUGGGGAUUCCGUGAUGAAGAAUGAUAUGACUGCUGCGGUGGUGGCCAGGAACCUUCUCACUCCCAAAGAUAACAGACUACUUUCCAAACGGUCUGAUGAGUUAGCUGUUAAGGAUUCGCUGGCUCUCAGUGUUCAGUGUGCAGGUUCUGUGUCUAAUAUGGCCCAACGCCUAUUUGCUCGAACCCGCCAAGUUGAAUCAUUGGCGGCUGAAGUGAUGAGUCUCAAACAGGAGAUUAGAGGGCUCAAGCAUGAGAAUAAACAGUUGCACCGGCUCGCACAUGACUAUGCUACAAACAUGAAGAGGAAGCUUGACCAGAUGAAGGAAACUGAUGGUCAGGUUUUACUUGAUCAUCAGAGAUUUUGUGGGUUUGUUCCAAAGGCAUUUAUUGCCUUCGUCUUCUGGGGCUGUACCGCGCGUAAUGAAGCUCCAAAUGAUCAACCUCUGAUGCCUCCUCCUUCUAGGGUUCUGUCCAGUACUGAGGCUCCAAAUGAUCCCCCUCCGGUGCCUUCUCUUUCUGGGGCUCUACCGACUGCUGAGACUUCUCCUAAGCAACCUUUGUGAAGGUUCCCUCUUGUGUGUUUAUUUUGACUCAUGUAUAUGUACAUAUUUGUAGCUUAUCGGGGAUAUCAAUAAAUAAGCUUUCCUUCAUUUCAACGUAUUGUGUUAAAUACACCAAAGCCUUCUUCGCUAAGUUCUUUGAAUUUUCUUUUGUUGAAGCUUGUAUGUUGAAGCUUUCUGAGUGGAGCAUGUAGGUUGGGGUAGUGUUCCCUUAAUUUCCCGAGUGAGGAAAACUUAUUGGUUGGAGACUUGGAAAAUCCAAGUCACUGAGUGGGAUCGGCUAUAUGAAUCUUAGAACGCCAUUGUGCUCGAUCCUGUGUCAUGUCCUUCGUUAGAUCCAAGUACUCUAAGUCUUUUCUUAGAGUCUCUUCCAAAGUUUUCCUAGGUCUUCCUCUACCCCUUCGGCCCUGAACCUCUGUCCCAUAGUCGCAUCUUCUAAUCGGAGCGUCAGUAGGCCUUUUUUGCACAUGUCCAAACCACCGUAACCGAUUUUCUCUCAUCUUUCCUUCAAUUUCGGCUACUCCUACUUUACCCCGGAUAUCCUCAUUCCUAAUCUUAUCCUUUCUCGUGUGCCCACACAUCCAACGAAGCAUCCUCAUCUCCGCUACACCCAUUUUGUGUACGUGUUGAUGUUUCACCGCCCAAAAUUCUGUGCCAUACAGCAUCGCUGGCCUUAUUGCCGUCCUAUAAAAUUUUCCCUUGAGCUUCAAUGGCAUACGGCGGUCACACAACACGCCGGAUGCACUCUUCCACUUCAUCCAUCCAGCUUGUAUUCUAUGGUUGAGAUCUCCAUCUAAUUCUCCGUUCUUUUUGUAAGAUAGAUCCUAGGUAACGAAAACGGUCGCUCUUUGGUAUUUCUUGAUCUCCGAUCCUCACCCCUAACUCGUUUUGGCCUCCAUUUGCACUGAACUUGCACUCCAUAUAUUCUGUCUUUGAUCGGCUUAGGCGAAGACCUUUAGAUUCCAACACUUCUCUCCAAAGGUUAAGCUUUGCAUUUACCCCUUCCUGAGUUUCAUCUAUCAACACUAUAUCGUCUGCGAAAAGCAUACACCAAGGAAUAUCAUCUUGAAUAUGUCCUGUUAACUCAUCCAUUACCAACGCAAAAAGGUAAGGACUUAAGGAUGAGCCUUGAUGUAAUCCUACAGUUAUGGGAAAGCUUUCGGUUUGUCCUUCAUGAGUUCUUACGGCAGUCUUUGCUCCUUCAUACAUAUCCUUUAUAGCUUGGAUAUAUGCUACUCGUACUCCUUUCUUCUCUAAAAUCCUCCAAAGAAUGUCUCUUGGGACCCUAUCAUACGCUUUUUCCAAAUCUAUAAAGACCAUGUGUAAAUCCUUUUUCCCAUCUCUAUAUCUUUCCAUCAAUCUUCUCUCGUAAAUUUGAGGAAAUUAAUUAGAAUCUAAUAUUGUUAAUGAUUAAAAUAAAUUGUUUGAACUAAAUAUUGUAGAGACUCCUCCAAAGAGAGUUGACCUUUUCAAAAAUUCUCAAAGGCACAAGACUAAACCCAAGCCUAAAAUGGAGUUUGGAAAUAGUUUUCAACCAGCUAUAGACGCGCUUUGGUUAGAACCUCAUUAGCUGCGUAAUUGCCCCAAGCGCAAAGAUGACAACACAUUGUGGUUGGCUCCAGGCGUUUGCAACUCUACAUUCUUCACUUGACCAAUGUGGGACAAAGUUUUUCUCUUAAAUAUGUCUCAAGACUCUUAACAAUCUAACACAUCACACAAUUAUAUAUUAUUGUCAAAACAAUCCAAAUAUUACAAGCCAGAUGACAAAGCAACAACACUAGAAAAUUACCUUUGAAAACAAAAAAGCACUUAUUGAGAAUACCAAUCGACAUCCUUAAGUUUAAUUGCUGCAUAAAUUUAUGGAAAAGCUUGAAUCACUGAUUGGACUGCAUGAAUAGGUGUGAUUGUGUAUCGGCUAAAUCCAGCCUCUCCAAGAACAUAUCCCCAUUCCUUAAAGGUCCUCUCUUUGCCUGUGUUUGUAUGGGCCAGCAUCACCAUGUCUAGCAUCAAUCUCACAUCUGCUAGCUUGUUGUCUUCUUUUCCAUCUUCUUCGAUCACAGCUUCUAUGAUUAUAACUUUCCCUUUAUCGUUCGGAAUAGCUUCUCUGCACUUCUUCAGGAUACGAAUGCAGUCGUCGUCUCCCCAAUCGUGAAGAACCCACUACAAUUCACGAAAAGAGAAUUAGAUCUUACCUUUUAUCAUAACAUGUGUUGUAAAUCAAGCAAGAAUAGAGGGACUCCAUUUUUUUUUUCUUCAUAAUAAUAGCAGACUACAUGAUGUGAUAGCUGAUAUAUUUAUUAAUCCUCAUCUUAAUAUAAUAAGUCAUAAGUUGUGAUCCCUAGCUCUAUUGAGGUUUCAUUCGGGAUUUAUAUUAAAGAAGAUGACUACUAGCAGGUAAAAGCAAUAAUCUUCCAAAGUAAGUGGUUUGUUUUUAAGUUUUAAAGCCAAAAUGGUUUGUCCCCGAGAUCAGUAUAACUUAUUAAUUUGGUCAUUCAAAUUUGAAAUCAAUAGAAAUGGUCCAUGAUUUUGUCUACCAUCAAUCGUUUUGGUCAUUCCGUAUAAAAUCUCUGUUAAAUAAGAACAAAAUGACAUUUGACAAAAGUUGAGGGUAUUUUGUCAUUUUAGUCCUUAUUUAACGAAGAUUUUUCACGUAAGAACCAAAAUGAUUGAUAGUGGACAAUCUCAUAUACCACUUCUAUCAAUUUUUAAUCUAAGGGACCAAAGUAACUAGUUAUAUCAAUCUCAAAGACCAUUUUGGAUUUAAAAAAAAACCCUAGUUUUAUUGAUUUCCUUAUACAAUAAAUAUACUGACCAUGAUAAUUGCAGCAUCAGCCUUCGGAACACAAUAAAAAAAGUCACCUCCGACAUUCUCAAUCCGAUCACACUCAUGAGCAACAGACACAACAUGAGGACGAUCAAAGUUGAUGCCUCGAAUCCACGGACAAGUCUCGACCAACAAGCGCAACGUAGUCCCAUCACCACCACCCCACAUCUACUAUUGUCUCAAGCCCUUUGAACACUUCUAAACAGCUUUCAAUCACUGCAGGCACAGCCACCCUUGCAUCACAAGCCAUUGCAUCAUUGAUGAGCUUGCUGUGAUCAGGAUUGGCGGCAGCAAAGCUCCAUAAAUCUUCUCCAUGCACUGCCUCAAAUGACGGAUUGCUAUUUCCUCGAAGUCGGGCACUUAGGCCGUGCCACGGUGCCAGCAUUACUGGGCUACUCUCGAGCAAAAUUAACGCAGCCAUGCUAUUUUCUCCGGAUUUUAAUAGCCGUUUGGACAAUGGUGUUUGUGCAUAACCUUUGGGGCCUAAUUCCGUUGUUUUUUCUUUGAAUAUUUUGAGGUGGACUAGUACCCUCAUGACGCGGUAAAGGUGAGAAGGAUCACAACUUAGAGCAGACGAGAGCUCUAAGAGUGUCAUGGGGCUGCCAUGGAUUUCAAUUGCAUCGGCUAUCCCGAGUUCAAUGGCACAUUUUACCACCGCGAUUUCAACAAACCCGAACACAUAUUUCCACAUAUCCACUUUCGCACGCUCUUCUUCUUCUUCCGACGUUAACUCUCUUUUUGUAUCUUCCGUUUCUCUCUGCGUGUCCAUCUUGUUGUGCGAAUGCUCAACAAAAUGUGCAAGAUCGUGAGUGGAAACAAACAAUGACAAGCAAGAGAUAAGCAAACAAUGAAACCAAGUAACAAGUACUCAAAGAUUUAUGCUAGUUGUAAGUUUUGUAAACUGCAGGUUUAAUAUGAAUAAUUAGUAAUCCAGUAUGAUUAAAGAGGAGCAUAUGGAUAUAGUGUUUAAACACUCAACAUUUAGGAUGCACAAGUGAAAGAUGGAAAAAAUAUGAGAUUCAACCGCAAAAGAGUGGAUGUAAUUAGCUAGUGUGUUUUUCUUGGGAUUUCUAGCAUCUACAAAUAUAUGUUGAAAGCUUGGGAUUUCUCACACACACAUGUGUGUGUAUAUAUAGACAUAAUGGCCUUUAUGGAGAGGGAAAACUUUUUUUUUUCUUUCAAAAAAUGGAGAUUAGUUAUGGGACCUAUUCCACGUUGAACUUUAACAAUCCAAGCUGUCUAUUUUUUUUAUCUCCCGAUUCAUAGAUCAUCCAUGCAAAAAUUCAAUUCAGUUUGAAACCAUUUACCUAUUUAAUUGUUAUAAUGAAAUUUCAAUGUUUCUUAGAACAUUGUGUUUGUCAAUUUCUUUGAACUUAACCAAAUGACUCAAUUUUUUCCAAUUUGCCUAAUAUUUUGCAAGAAUGAUCGUGCACCUUGAAAAAUAGAUGGUUCGGAUUAUUGAAGUUCGAUGUCGUGUGAGCCCUAAACAAUCCCCAUUUAAAACAAAAGGAUGUGGAGUCCUUCCCUUAAAGGCUUUGUGUGUGUAUAUAUAUAGGGAUAGGAUCAAGGGACAAAGAUUUUGACGAAAAUUUUUACACUCUUUUGUAGCCUUUAGAUCUUAUAAGAUCCAACAAUCUUGAUUCAUAGUGAUUUCGAGGAUUUAAAAAUUAAAUGACAUGGAUGAUAAUGUAGAUUAUAACUAAUAUGGAAAACGCUAAUUUAAUUUAAAAGGAAUAUCAAAUAAUAAUAAAAUUGAAAUAUAAAUAAUCAAACUUUGAAAUAUCUAAUGUAAAAAAUAAAAAUAAAAAAAUAAAAUGAAAAUUCCAUUUCCAUCUUUGUCGAAGAGGUCUGCAACUUCUAGAUGAAAAGUCUUUCUUUCCUUCAAACAAAGAACCCUAAUUACAUAAAAAACAUGAUACCAUGCAGAAAUAAUUUUACUUUGAGAAUAAUUUAGGGUUUUGUUUUGAGUUUAAGCACCCUAAUCCUAGGCUAGCAACUCAAUCAUUUUGCCACCUCCAUAGCAAAACCCUAUCGAGCCAAGCAUUGAAAAUUUCUGCAGCCACAAACUCAUCAACCAUUCAUUGUGCAUCAUAUUAAAAAAGAAAGUGAAAUCCAGGAGUCAAGAUUGAAGAUUUAGAAUUUAGGGUUUUGUUCUAAGAAGAUUCAAGACACUGAUAGCUUGAUUUGUUGUAGUAUGCAUCAAAAUUUCGUAUCAAUCGAAUUAGAGUAUCUCAAGUAAUGAAGGUGCAAGAACAUCGAUUUGUCUCCUCACCUUUCUUGGGUAUUCUUCACUGUGGGUUUCAUAUUCUUUUUUUUUAUCAGUUCAAAUGAAAUUUUUACUUUUCAAUUUUAUUGUAUUAGAUAUUUCUGUUUAAUUUAAAUUAAUGUUUUUCUUAUUGGUUAUUAUCCACAUAAUUAUCCAAGUCAUUAAUGUUUAAAAAUCUCCACAUCACUCUUAAUCUAGACCAUUGAAUGGUAUAAAAUCUAAAAGCUAUAAAGGAGUGUAAAAAUGUUUGUCAAAAUGUUUGUCCCUUGAUCAUAUCCCAUAUAUAUUACAUCCAAAGGUUCAGGCUGAAUUGAAUUUUUGCAAAUAUUUUUACACUCCUUUUUAACCAUUAGAUUUUAUAACAUCCAAAGGUCUUGAUUAAAUGUGAUUAGAAUGUUUUUAAACAUUAAAUGACAUGAAUUAUAACUAAUUAAAAAAUAAGAAUGUUAAAUGAAUAUCAAAUAAUUAAAAUAAUAAAACAAUUAAAAAUAUCAUCUAACUUAAGGUACUGGCCAAGAAUGAGGUGAAAAAAAAUUUUCAGCACCUUCAAUAAAUAUUGUUCUCAUUCGUUUGAUACAUAAUUUCAAAAAAAAUAUUAAGUUAUCGCUCGAUCUCUUGAAUUAUUUGUUAGGUAAACAAAAUGAAAUUCUAGACCCUAAAUCUUCACUCUUGGUAUAUUUGGGUGAUAAAUUAGGUUGUACAAAAAUCCCAAUUCAUUACGUGGAGAAACAUGUAUUAAAUAUUGUAGAUUAUGUAUACACAUUAUACGCAUAUAAUACACGCAUACGCACACAUUACACAUUAUAUGUUUGUGAACUGUGGGGUAGCUUUGGUUCAUUGCAUGGAGAAAAUGUGUCAAAUAUACACAUUAGAUGUAUAUAAUACACGCAUACGCAUACGCACACAUUACACAUUAAUUAUAUGUUUGCGAAUUGGGGUAGCUUUGGUUCAUUGCAUGGAGAAAAUGUGUCAAAUAUUGUAGAUUAUCUGCCAUAUUCAAUGGGAUCUCUGCAAGAUUCAACAACCCUAGAUGUACAAUGUCAGACAUCCAUUUGCUGUUUGGUUGCAAGGAUUUUGUCUUAAUAUCAGACGGGCUGGGCAAAUGUGCAAACCCGAUUAGCCGGGGUUGAUAGAAAAAUCCGAAUUCGGAAAGCGAGCCAAAAUUAAAAAUAAAAUAAUUAAAGAGAAGCUGAAAGUGAAGAUAAAUUCCUUUUAUAGAAAUAAAUCAUAAUUCUUUACAGAGUUAAAAUAAAUAAAUAAUUAAACUUCUAGUAUCACAUUUGAUCCGAUCUUAUCUCGUCUAUCAUUUUGAUUGUCUAGUUCGUAAAUAUGCAUAACAAUAGAGGGCUGAAUUUUUAACAGCUCAGUAAAAACAUAACCUUAUCAUAAUAAAUUGACAAUACUAAAUUAAGUGUCAUGACAUCAUACAAUCAGGUAUCAAAUCAUCAGCGAUAACAAUGCAUGAAUACAAUGCAAAACACCUUAACUAUACUCGUUAAUCUGUAAACCAAACACCCAUAGCUCAGACGUCCCAUUAUGUACUUAUACAAACUAACCUCACAACUCAAUCAUCCCAAUUUCUCUUUUGUUAGUCGUCUUGCCUAAACUCUUUGUUGCUAUUCCCGAAUUACCCUGAAAAAACUGUCAUUAUGGACUCGCUUGAGAUCUGGCACGUGUUGAAAUUUUAAGUGGUAUUUCAAAACACAAAUUCUCAUCUCACACUACCUUUGUUGUUUAUAUUUGUUUUAAUUCAUAAUUACAUUUGACUCUUUAAUUUAAUUUCCUUUUGGUAUUAAUUCAUUUAUAAUCUUUGUUGACCGUACCUUUAGAAAUAACUUUCUAGGUUGAAUUCUUAUACUACACAUUCAAUGCAUUUGACAUCAGAUCUUUUAUAUGUUUGUUUUGAUUCCAAUCUUACUUAAUUGGACCGUUUGGACUAGGCCUGGUUGAAUUCUUAUAGGACAUUACACGACACGAAAUUAAUAGAUGUUUGGGUCGACGUGAUAACGAAUAGGGUCAUUAUCGGGUAAUCCGAUAAGUACCUAUUAAGAUAACGGGUUGAUUCGGGUAUACACAUGGAUAACACGAUACACAAUAAGCAAAAUAUUAAUUUUAUAAUUUUAUAACCCUAAAAAAUACUAUAAUUAUAUAUAUAUAUAUAUAUAUAUUAAAUUAACUAUAAUAAUUGUAAUAAUUAUACCCCCAAAAUAUUAACUAUAAUAAUUAUAUAUAUAUAUAUAUAAUUUUAAAUUAAAUUUUAUACCCCUAAAAACUAUAAUAAUUAUACGUACAAAAUAAAUAGAUUUAAAUCUACUUAAUAUAUAUAUAUAUAUAUAUAUAUAUAUAUAUAUAUAUAUAUAUACCAUUGAACUUGAUGGGAUACGAAUUAUAUGAAACUAAUUUCAACGAUUCAACCGUCAAAUCACGAUUUAACGGUUAUUUUAACUUCUAUUUUGAUGAUUUUUUACAGCUACACUCCUUGACCAUAUAUGAAUAUAAUGAAUGAAUUCGAUCUUCAAUUUAAAAUAUUUACACUAGUGGAUACCACAAAAUAUUAUAUUAUACUUAAUGGAAGUAUGAAUAAACUCUUAAGUGUUAGUGAUCUAUUGUUUUGAUGGGAUACGCAUUCUACGAAACUAGUUUCAACGAUCCAACCGUCAAACAUGUUUGUAUAUACUUCGAGAUCGCAUAUGCCAAAAAUUGAAAAAAACAAACAUUUAGAGAUUAAGUAACCAAACAAAACUUUUCGACGGUUAUAAAACGAAAAAUCACGAUUUAACGGUUAUUUUAAUUCCGAUUUUCAUGAUUUUUUUACAGCUGCACUUUUUGACACUAUAUGAAUACAAUGAAUGAAUUCAAUCUUCAAUUUAAAAUAUUUACACUAUUGGAUACCACAAAAUCUUAUGUUAUACUUAAUGAAAGUAUGAAUAAAUUUGUAAGUGUUAGUGAAUCUAUUGUUUUGAUGGGAUACGCAUUCUACGAAACUAGUUUCAACGAUCCAACUGUCAAACAUGUUGGUAUAUACUUCGAGAUCACAUACACCAAAAAUUGCAAAAAACAAACAUAUAGAGAUCAAGUAACAGGACAAAACCAUUUGACAGUUAUAAAAAGAAAAAUCACGAUUUAACGGUUAUUUUAACUCCGAUUUUGAUGAUUUUUUACAACUACACUCCUUGACCCUAUAUGAAUAUAAUGAAUGAAUUCGAUCUUCAAUUUAAAAUAUUUACACCAGUGGAUACCACAAAAUCUUAUGUUAUACUUAAUGAAAGUAUGAAUAAACUCUUUAGUGUUAGUGAAUCUAUUGUUUUGAUGGGAUACGCAUUCUACAAAGCUAGUUUCAACGAUCCAACCGUCAAACAUGUUUGUAUAUUCUUCGAGAUCGCAUACACCAAAAAUUGUAAAAAACAAACAUUCAGAGAUCAAGUAACAGAACAAAACUUGUCGACGGUUAUAAAAAGAAAAAUCACGAUUUAACGGUUAUUUUAACUCCGAUUUUGAUGUUUCUUUACAGUUACACUUCUUGACCCUAUAUGAAUACAAUGAAUGAAUUCGAUCUUCAAUUUAAAAUAUUUACACUAGUGGAUACCACAAAAUCUUAUGUUAUACUUAAUGAAAUUAUGAAUAAACUCUUAAAUGUUAGUAAAUCUAUUGUUUUGAUGGGAUACGCAUUCUACGAAACUAGUUUCAACGAUCCAACCGUCAAAUAUGUUUGUAUAUAUUUCGAGAUCACAUACGCAAAAAAUAUCAAAAAACAAACAUUCAGAAAUCAAGUAACGGACAAAACGUUUCGACAGUUAUAAAAAGAAAAAUCACGAUUUAACGGUUAUUUUAACUCCGAUUUUGAUGAUUUUUUAUAGCUACACUCCUUGACCCUAUAUGAAUACAAUGAAUGAAUUUGAUCUUUAAUUUAAAAUAUUUACACUAGUGGAUACCACAAAAUCUUAUGUUAUACUUAAUGAAAGUAUGAAAAACUCUCAAGUGUUAGUGAAUUUAUUGUUUUGAUGGGAUACGCAUUCUACAAAACUAGUUUCAGCGAUCCAACUGUCAAACAUGUUUGUAUAUACUUCGAGAUCGCAUACGCCAAAAAUUGCAAAAAAAAAAAAGGGUAAAAGACUGUUUACUACCCUUAUGUUUCAUGGUUUUCAACAUUUAGUACAUCAAGUUUUUUUCGUCUCAGAGUCAUACCUAAAGUGUAAAUUUUGGGACAAUCUCAUACAUCCGUUAGUCAAACUGUUAAAUUUGCCGUUAAUUGUGACGUGGCGCCCAUGUGGACAAUGACUGGGCGCCACGUGUCAGCCACGAUUUUUUUUUUCUUUCUUCUUUUCUUCUUCUUCUUCCACCCGACUGCAACAUUUUUUUUUCCUUCCUCCUUCUCCUUCCUUCCCCUUCUUCUCCUUCUUCCUUCUCUUCCUCCGAAUCUGGGGAAGUUUUUUUUUUCUUCCUCCUUCUUCCUCCUUCUUCCUUCCUCUUCUUCUUCUUCUUCUUCUUCCUCCGAAUCUACCCAGAUUCGGUUUUUUUUUUUUUCUUCUUCUUCCUCCGAAUCUGCCCAGAUUCGGUUUUUUUUUUUUUUUUUUUUUUUUUUUGAGGAAGAGGAAGAAGAAGGAGGAAGAAGAAGAAGGAAGGAAGAAAAGAAAAGAAAAAAGUUGCAGUCGAAGGAUAUAGAAGAAGAAAGAAGAAGAAAGAAGAAAAAAAAAAAAGCCGAAUCUGGGUAGAUUCGGAGGAAGAAGAAGAAGAGGAAGGAAGAAGGAGGAAGGAGGAAGGAGAAGGAAGAAGGAGGAAGAAGGAGGAAGAAGAAGAAAAAAAAAAAAAAAAAAAACUUCCCUAGAUUCGGAGGAAGAAGAAGAAAAAGAAGAAAAAGAAGAAGAAAAAGAAGGAGAAGGGGAAGGAAGAAGGGGAAGGAAGAAGGAAGAAGGAAGAAGGAAGAAGGAGGAAGAAGAAGAAAGAAGGAAAAAAAAAAAAAACGAAUCUGGGCAGAUUCGGAGGAAGAAGAAGAAGGAAUAAGGAGGAAGGAGAAGGAAGCAGGAAAAAAAAAAUUCCCCAGAUUCGGAGGAAGAAAAAGGAGAAGGAGAAGGAAGAAGAAGGAAGAAGGAGAAGAAGGGGAAGGAAGAAGGAGAAGGAGGAAGGAAAAAAAAAAGUUUGCAGUCGGGUGGAAGAAGAAGAAGAAGAAGAAAGAAGAAGAAGAAAGAGAAAAAAAAAAUCCCCAGAUUCGGAGGAAGAAAAAGGAGAAGGAGAAGGAGAAGGAAGAAGAAGGAAGAAGGAGAAGAAGGGGAAUGAAGAAGGAGGAAGGAAGAAGGAGAAGGAGGAAGAAAAAAAAAAGUUUGCAGUCGGGUGGAAGAAGAAGAAGAAGAAGAAGAAGAAAGAAGAAAGAAGAAGAAGAAAGAGAAAAAAAAAAAUCCCCAGAUUCGGAGGAAGAAAAAGGAGAAGGAGAAGGAAGAAGAAGGAAGAAGGAGAAGAAGGGGAAGGAAGAAGGAGGAAGGAAGAAGGAGAAGGAGGAAGAAAAAAAAAAAAGUUUGCAGUCGGGUGGAAGAAGAAGAAGAAGAAGAAGAAGAAGAAAGAAAGAAAGAAAAAAAAAACGUGGCUGACACGUGGCGCCACGUCAUUGUCCACAUGGACGCCACGUCACAAUUAACAGUAAAUUUAACAGUUUGACUAACGGAUGUAUGAGACUGUCCCAAAAUUUACACUUUAGGUAUGACUCUGAGACGAAAAAAACUUGAUGUACUAAAUGUUGAAAACCAUGAAACAUGAGGGUAGUAAACAGUCUUUUACCCAAAAAAAAACAUAUAAAGAUCAAGUAACGGGACAAAACUUUCGACCGUUAUAAAAAGAAAAAUCACGAUUUAACGGUUAUUUUAACUUCGAUUUUGAUGAUUUUUUACAGCUACACUCCUUGACCUUAUAUGAAUACAAUGAAUGAAUUCGAUCUUCAAUUUAAAAUAUUUACAUUUAUGUUAUACUUAAUGAAAUUAUGAAUAAACUUUUAAAUGUUAGUGAAUCUAUUGUUUUGAUGGGAUACGCAUUUUACGAAAGAGAGCAAUCAGUCAGCACUUGGAAUCAAGCUUCUAGUCAGGAACUGACUGCCUGGAACCCCUUGCCUGAUUACUUACUUGGCAUUGCUCUCGAGUACUCAUCUUCAACAUCUUAUGCUUCCAGAGAAGAUACCACAUCUGCCUGAGGAACAGAUAGGGCAAGUAAGAAGGAUACAAGGAAGCAUGUGGAGACAAGCGUAACAUAACAUGUGCCGAUACAUCCACUACUUUGUCAAUACCAAAAGUAUCCCAUAUCAUCAGGGUCGAACGUACUCUAGAUUUGAUGGACUUGUUUUGACCCUCAAAUUCUUGAGUCAGCCUUAUACUCUGGAGGAAACCAGAAAACCCUCCAGCCCAGUUCAAAAAUAAGCAUGUGGAAAGUUACUUCUUCAAAAGAAAAAGUAUCUCAUAUCAUCUCUUCUCCAUUUGCUUCUGCUUAUCCUUGGUGUUAUUUACGACACAAAGAGAAGGAGAACAAUCAACCGGAAGCCGAAGUCGAACCUUUGAUCCAGGUUGCUUGCUUGGAAGUCUGAUUGCUUACCUUGUCUGUUACCUCAUUCAGCAAAUCUCCUAGCUCGGCGACUUGGGGGACUCUUACUAUAGGGUUUGUAUCGCACUUGACCAAGCUCGAAACUACAAGUAAGCUUCAAGUGAAAUUGAUACAUUACCUUGUGCAUCUUCAUCGGUUAAAGAUACCAUUCCUGGAUGGAGGAAAAGUACUUCCAGAGAAGAUGCCACAUCUACAUAUGAGACAGAUAAGGCAAGUGAAAAUGAUACCACACUUCGGUACUUAGAAGUUUCGUGAUUACUCAAUGGCUUGGAUCUUGCAAGUCCCCAACCGAGGAGUUUCCCUCACUCGAGAACUUAGGGGAGCACUGUUUGUACCAUACUUGGCCAAUCCCGAAACUAUUGAGCAUCGGUCAACGUUAUACCGUCAAGGACUCAGAAGAGUUUCCUUCUAACCAGGAGGCCAAUCACAGUGCGACACGUGUCGACAUCAGAAGCCAAUCAUAACGCAACAUGUGUUAACAUCAGAAGCCAAUCACAACACAACACGUGCCAAUGUCAGAAUAAAACUAGAAACUCUCUUCUAUAAAUAGAGAUCAUUCUCUCAUAAUAUUUCCUAAUGUCAUUUGUACUAAAUCAUUCACUAGUACUCACUAAAGGAUAGUUUGAACCCAUGUACUUGUGUAAACCCUUCACAAUUAAUGAGAACUCCUCUACUCCGUGGACGUAGCCAAUCUGGGUGAACCACAUACAUCUUGUGUUUGCUUCCUUGUCUCUAUCCAUUUGCAUACUUAUCUACACUAGUGACCGGAGCAAUCUAGUGAAGGUCACAAACUUAACACUUUAUGUUAUACCAAAGUCCUCACUGAUUUUGUGCAUCAACACAAUGAAUGAAUUCAAUCUUCAAUUUAAAAUAUUUACACUAAUGGAUACCACAAAAUCUUAUGUUAUACUUAAUGAAAGUGCGAAUAAACUCUUAAGUGUUAAUGAAUCUAUUGUUUUGAUGGGAUACAUUCUACGAAACUUGUUUCAACGAUCCAACCGUCAAACAUGUUUGUAUAUACUUCGAGAUCGCAUAUGCCAAAAAUUGUAAAAAACAAACAUUCAGAGAUCAAGUAACGAGACAAAACUUUUCGACGGUUAUAAAACUAAAAAUCAAGAUUUAACGGUUAUUUUAACUCUGAUUUUGAUGAUUUUUUAUAGCUACACUCCUUGACCCUAUAUGAAUACAAUGAAUGAAUUCGAUCUUCAAUUUAAAAAAUUACACUAGUGGAUACCACAAAAUUUAUGUUAUACUUAAUGAAAGUAUGAAUAAACUAUAAUAAUUAUAUAUAUUAAUUUAACAAUUUUAUACCCCUAAAAACUAAAAUAAUUAUAUAUAAUUAUAUAUAUAUAUAUAUAUAUAUAUUAAAUUAUGUGUUUUAAUGUUUUGAAGUAAUAUUUAUGUGGCAAAGUGUAGUAUGUGCAAAUUUAAGAAAAAAUAUAUUUUUCUUAACGGGUCAUAACGGAUCAUAACGGGUCAAGUCACUUUACUCGUUGGGUAAAGUGACCCGACCUGUUAAGGACCUGUUAAGAUAACAGGUGUGACACGACACGACCCGUUAAGAUAACAAGUGUUACACGAAAAUAACACGAACACGACAGACACGACCCGUUUGUCAGGUCUAGUUUGGACAUGGCAUUAGAAUUGGUUUUUACUUACUGUUAUUUUCAAGUUAGAUGAGAACAAAAUCCUUCAGUUACAUGAAUUUGGUUUUAACGUAUUGGUUAACUGUGAUUUGAAUAAAUAACGUUGCAAUCAUUUGAUUUAAUUUGUUUUCAUUGCCAUGAUUGUACACAGGUUUUUGGGGCUCAGACUUUACUAUAUAUGGGCAGCCGUGAGUCUUUUUUGGGAUCAUAUAUACAAGAUCAUCAUCUCUAUUACCUAAUCGAAUCCCUCUGUUUUCUAAGUGUGGCUAUAUCAUUCAAUUGUUUUGUACCAAUGGAAAAAUUGAGUUAUUUAUUUGAUUCAAGUGUGGCAAGUGUACGUUUACAAUGAUCAUAGGUUGUUAUAUCUUGAAGAAUAGGGUGCCAUAACUUGUAUUACACCGAGACAUUGUCUCUGCGAGACGAAAUCUACUCUUAGGGACAGUAAACUAACAUGCCUCAACCUAAAAUCUUGUUUUAAUAACUAUCUAUGAAGAAAGAUUUCUACAUUACAAAAGAUAAGUAUUUUGUUGUUAUUAGAUUAGUUUGAUCUAUUUUAUUAUUUUGAUGCGAAACAAUAUUUACUAAUAUAUUUAUCUUAUAUGAUUUAUUGUAGGAGAAGUAGCAUUCAAAUCACCUAUAUUUCCAACAAUCUUAAGUAGGGCUGGGUUUGGUUCUUAUCGGUUCAGUUUUUUGCCAAAACCGAAACCAAACCGAAAUUUCGGUUCAGUUCGGUUCGGCCCAUAUUUUUUUUGGUUCGGUUUUUUUUUCGGUUCGGGUUUUGUUUCAGUUUUUUUUUUUUUUUUUUUCCUCCAAAAAAUGCAAAACAACCACAACAUAAGAUAGAAAUAGAAAAUAUGACAUGUUUCCAUCUCUCCAGGACGGUUUUUCAAUAUUCAUGAGGGAAGUUACUACUUACUAAUUAAUCUAAAAACAUAAAGUCUCAUAAAACUAAAAGUCUUCAAAAAAUGAAAAUAAACAUUUAAAGUCCAACUAGAAAUAGAAUCAAUCAUCAAUCAAGUUUAAGUCUUCAAAAAGUCCAAAUUAAACAUCAAAGUUUAAGUCUUCAAAAAGUCCAAAUUUAAACAUCACACAAGUCAAAUAAACCUUCAAGGUUUCAUCACUUCAUGUUUUGCACAAAUAAAAUCUUCCAAGUCUUCAAGCUCAAGCUCAACGCAUAGGCGGCUUAGGAGGCAACAUAGCACCUUUCUUUGAGCUUUCCCUUGCCAUUUCUACAUACAAAUAAAAAAAAAAAAAGAACAUGAUGUAAAGCAAGCGUGCAAAGAAGGAAACAAAGAAUAAAGCUGGAUAUGAGCAAACUGUAAAAUGCUAUAACUUACAAGACUAUAUCCAUAUGCCGAGGAGCAUAAUGUCCACCACCUAAUCCAAGAAGAAUUUUAUUCUUAUCCUUCUCCCUAGAUCGCCAAUAAUAUAGAAAAUGAAGUUAGAGAAGCAUCAAACUUUGGUUAAAAUUGCAAACAAAGACAUGAGCUUUUCAAGAAAAUCAAUAUACCCGUUCCAGUUUCCAACAGCAGCUCCUCCUCCAAGCCCAAGUCCUUCCCAAACCAACUGCAAGAACAGAAAUUGCCACCAAUUUACUCUCAUGAGUUGUUUAUUCUAUUAUUUUUUUAAGAUCAGGGAAAACUAGAAACAUUACGAAGAGGAAAGUAUUUAUUCAACAAUAGGACGUAUCAAUGACUCUUGCUCAAAUGAUUGAAAUGGUUAACUGUGUACUUAACUAGAGCAAUAACUUGUGCUGCAUCCUGCCUUUUCCAGUACUCAUCUGUACUGCCUAUAUCAACCAGAAGGAACAAAUAAAAAAAAACAAAGAAACCCUCAAGUGCAUGGUAAAAAAUACGAAAAACCAUGUCAUAUGCCGAAACUUCAGACCGAGCAGUUACAACAAUAGAAAUAGCAGAAGCAGUAAACUUUACCCUUUGAACGAAAUAAAUCAAUUCUACGAACUGAUCAUCAAAAGGUAUAAAAAAAAUGUUCAUAAGAUUACUAAAAACGCAUUGGAGGAAAGUAAAAAUUCAUGCCGCGCAAUGGAAAUAUGUAUAAUUUUCCCUUCCAACAAAAAGAACAAAUAGCAUCAUGCAAUGUAAUUCCAGAAUGAAAAGCAUAAGAGCAACGGGGUUCAUCAAAAACUCACCAAUCUCUACGAACAUAGUGGGCGUAUUCGUUACCGGUCCAUGAUGCGUACCCUCCAAUGUAAUCCACAUUCAAACAUACACAACGGUAUAAAUUAUGAACACACAGACUCAGACUCACACACACACAUUUACACACACAUUUACACAAACAUAUGACGAGCAUUAAAAACGGAGAUCAAGAGAGUGAGAAGGAAACCUCGAACUCAGGAACCAUGUUGUGGGCUUGGGCAAGCUUCCUCAGGUGCCUGAGCCAGGGUCCAAUGCGGGGGCUCGGCGGCGCAGCCCAACCCGGCUUCCCGCCUUGCGGCCCAGCCUCGCCUUCACUCAGAUGAGGGAUUCCGAUCGGGUGUGCCGUCAGUGCCGGCCGGUUGGAGACGGCGGUGUGUUUGCUCAGGAAUAUCACUGGGAAGGAAGAAGACGAAGCGGAAGAGCGGCGGAGCUGGGAGGAGAUGGUCUAGAGUGAGAGUAUAGAGGAGAGGGAGGCGUCGAUAAGGGAAAGGGAAGGGAAUCGAUAUGUUUAGGGUUUCAGUCUUUCAGACUGAAGUGAAGAGAGAGUGAACUGAAGCUGAACGACGUCGUUUUGCCUAUUAAUCGGUUCGGUCCGGUUUCCGAACCCCAGAAACUGAACCGAACUGAACCACAUUCGGUUUGGUCCGGUUUUACACUUUCGAUUCGGUUUUUUUCAGUCUCGGUUCGGGUUUCGGUUCGGUUUUUUUCGGUUUUCGGUUUUUUGAACCCACCCCUAAUCUUAAGAGUAGAUUUGGAAGCUACUUCUAUGUCGCUUGAUCUCCGCACAACUAUUAUCUAUGUCGGCAAGGAGGGGUGAUGGUGAUCUUGCUUGUCAUUUCUCCAAAGUGUUUUUGGAGGUGUCUUUUUUUUUUUUUUUUUUUUUUUUUUUUAACAAAUCCAAAGUAUUUAUCUUUCUUACCGUAACCACUAACAUACAUAACCAGUUGUCUGUUCCGAGUACAAGGUAAGGUAGGAUGUUGUUUUAUAAAGUUACGUUGUAGAGCAUAUUGUCUUAAUGAUUUGAUUAUGAUCAAGGACCAAAAUAUCGAUAAUAUCGGCGAAAUAUCGUUGAUAUUAUCGUUUUUGUGAGACACCGAUAUUUUCACACGUAUCCACUGAAAAAUUGUCCAAAUAUCGCGAUAUUACCGAUAAUAUCACGAUAUUUGAGGCUGGUGCGAAUCGGAGAAGAACGCCGGAGCUUCUACAGCUCCGGCCGACUGUAAAAGAGCACCCUAGACUCCGAUCUAGGUAUCAAAAUGAAAUAGAAGACAAAAGGAAUAUUUUUAUAAUUUCCGUUUGCCGUGAAACGGUCGGAGGUGUUCGGAAAGUUCCUCGACACUCACGGCCUUGCCGGAGAGUUCUUGGGUUCCAGUGUCCUAGCUGCAUGCACCGAGAGAAAGGGAGAGAAAGAUGCGGUUUAGAUGUUGAUGAUGAUGCCGUUGACGGAGUACUACGAUGGGGGUAGAGGGUGUAGAGGUCACGGGAGAUGGAGACGGCGCCGACGAGGCGGAAGACGCGGACGAGGAGGAAGGCGAGGGAGGAGCAGAAGGCCAUGUGGGAGAAGGAUCGAGAGACUGAGGUCUCUGUGCUUGUGUAUGGGAAAAGGGGGAAUAGAGAAGGAUCGAGAGAUCUGUGUGUGUGUGUGUGUGGGAGAAGGGAGAAGGGAGAAGAGAGAAGGAUCCAGAGAGAGAGAGACUGAAGGGAGAAGAGAGAAGGAUUGAGAGAGAGACUGAGGUCUCUGUGUGCGUGUGUGGUCUAUGUGCAUGUGGUGGCGUGUGAUGUGAGAGUCUUUGACUCUCUCUGUUUGUGUGUGGUGGGUGGCGUGCAUGUGAGAAAAAAGAGUAUCCAAAUAAUUCAAAACCCUAACAACUUUUACAACUUGUACAAUUUUUGACAAGACAAAAAUAAUGGUGGUUUCAUAAAGAUUCAAAACUGUGUGCCACGCGUGAUAUUCUUUCACAUUCUCAAAGGUGGAGUAUCAAAUCAUCACACAUUUUUUGACCCUUCGAAAAUUGAAAAACCUCUAUUACACCUUUUCGUUUCUUCUUCUUCCCUUAGCCCUUUCAGAGCCAUUCCAGAUCCAUUCUAGAGCCAUUUCAAAGCUUCAAAUUGAAUAAAUGGAUCUGCAGCUCGCGCCACUCCAAAUUAAAUGUUAAUACCUUCUUUCUCUCUCAUUUAUUCACAGACAACAAGCUGCAGAGGAUCGUCGAGGUUUUGCUGCUACGUACGACAUCGAAAGUUCGAGAUUUGUUACAUUUGUGUAAUUAUUAUUUUAUUGUUGCUCCAUGCAGAUUCUAUUUGGCCUUUACACAAAGGGUUCCAUAUUUAAGGUAAGUUUACAAACUUAUAUUUAUAUUAUUGUAAUUUAUACAACAACAAAAAAUUUGUGUGGACCUGUGCAUGUGAUCUAAGAACCAAAAAAUACUUGCAUGUUAAUUUUUUGAAGUAAUUAAGUAAUGUUGUAUAAUUAUUCCCUAGAAUAAUUUUAAUAUGUUUAAUGUUAUUUAUUAUUUUAUUACCAAAUUGGAUUAUUAUUCAUUAUUAUUAGGUUUUAUUAUUCCAUAUUAUUUUUAUAAUUACUUAAAUUCUUAUAAUCAUUUUCUUUACUUCCUAUUUAAUUCUUCUGUAGAAUAAUUUUACUUCCUAUUUUCUUUACUUCAUAUUUAAUAUGUUUCCGUCACUACUAUAUUUUUUGGCCAAAAAAUAAUUGCCUAAUUUUCAUGAAAAAUAAAUAUAGGUACGUUUAAGAUGUCCAGUGGAGUUACUAAAUGUGAUCUAGCUUGGGAACAUGGAUACCCAAUAGAGGGAAACAAACAUGGUACAAUUUGCAAAUAUUGUGGUCGGGUAAUGAAGAGUGGCGGAGUGACACGACUUAAGUACCAUCUUAGUGGAUUAGAUCCAGGAAAUAAUGUCCAACGAUGCGAUAAUGUCCCCCUAGAAGUGAAGGCAUUCAUCACCACAUUAUUAAAAAAUAAAAAACAACAUAAGGAAAAGAUAACACAUGGAAUGGAAAAUAUUCGAGCUGGGCUACGAGGAGAAGUCAUUGGCCAAGCGGUUGACAGUGAUGAUGAUGACGAUGAGGACGAAUGUGAUGAUGACAUGGGACCUGAAGAACGACGCAGUUUCAAACAAGCAUUAUGUGCCUUCAAACAAUCAGCAUGGGAAAGAGAACACCUUCAUAAAAUUCCUAAUAGAGCACAAGGUUCCGGGACAAGUGGUGGUGCAUAAAUGAGACGGGGAGCAAGUGUUAGAGAAUCACAACCAACACCACCAAUAGCCCCAAGUUUAUAUAAGUCAUCCAAAGCAUGUCAAAAGAGUGUUUGGAGUUAUUUCACUGAAGGUAAUGUGAAGGAGGGAAUGGGGCGUCUAAUUAGCAAGUUCUUUAUCUAUGAAAAUGUCCCUGCUGAGAAGGUAUCAUCACAUCAUUUCAAAAAUAUGGUACUGGGAUGUCAAUAGGCCGGUGUUGGAGUACAACCUCCCACUCCCUAUGAGGUAAGAAACAAAUAUUUGGAAAUGGAGUAUAAAGACAUUGGCGAGUAUGUUAACAAGUUGAGGUCAAAGUGGGAAAAUAAUGGUUGCACAAUCAUGUGUGAUGGAUGGACUGGCCCGACCAGAUUAUCUAUCAUAAACUUCAUGGUAUACUUCAAGUGAAAGACAAUUUUUUUGAAGUCUGUUGAUGCUUCAGACCAUAUAAAGAACUAUAAGUAUAUUUACAAAUUAUUGAGGGAUGUAAUCAUGGAGGUGGGAGAGUAUAAUGUUGUCCAAAUCGUGACCGACAAUGGUUCUGCAUUUGUCAAAGCUGGAAAAAAGUUAAUGAAGCAUCAUAAUGUGUUUUGGACAUCAUGUGCAGCACAUUGUAUUGAUCUCAUAUUUGAGGCAAUGAGGAAGAGAGAGAAUAUUGCUACUAUCGUAAAAAGAGCUAGAACAAUCACAAAUUAUAUUUACAAUCACGGUUGGUUGUUGGCAAAGAUGCGUGAAUUUUGCAAAGGAUAAAUUAUUCGUCCAGCUACCACUCGAUUCGCCACCAACUAUAUUGCAUUCGACAACCUAUUUAAGAAGAAACCAGGGUUGAAGCAAUUAUUCACUAGUGACGUUGGGCCAACCACAAUUUAAGCCGCUCAAAUGUAGGUCGUAUGGUGGAAAGUAUAGUGCUUGAUCAUGCUUUUUAGACUCAAUCAGAACAUGUGUGCCAAGUGUUUGAAUCUCUUUACAAAGUUUUAUGGAUCAUUGACACAGAAGUGUAUCCUACUAUGGGGGCAAUAUAUGAGUUGAUGCGUGUAGUGAAGGAUGACUUGGAAAGAAAACAUGGUGCAAGGUGGGUCAUAAAGAUAAUUGAUGACCGAUGGUAUAAAACAUUAUACCACGAUUUGCAUGCAGCAGGUAUAAAUUAUGUCAUAAUUUGCAAUUCAUUUCUUUAGUUGCAUAAGUAUUAUUUCUCUUAUUAGAGUAUGUGUUUCUUUGAACAUCAUAUUAUUUGAAUCCUCGAUACCAAUACAGACCCGGUGUUGGAGAUGAUGGUAGCCUUAUACGUGUUGUACAUAAUGUAUACUCUAAAUUAGACCCUGCAUCACUAACAGUUGGCCAAUUUGGAAAUGAGGUACAAAAUUACUUAAAUUAUAAUAAUUACAUUGUUGGAUUAAACUAACACGAUUUAUUGAAUUCAGCUAACAUGGUUUAAAGAUGGAAGAAGAACUUUUGGAGAACCAACAUCAGUUUUUGCUCUAACAAAAAUGUCUCCUAGUGAGUGUAAACAUAUUUCACUAUCAAUUUAUAAUAGAAUUUGUUGGAGUUAUUAGGCUUAUCAACAUUGUUUUUCAUUAUAGCUGAAUGGUGGAUCAUGUAUGGGACUGAUGCACCAAUUGUGAGAAAGUUAGCAAUCAAAGUAUUAUCACAAACAGCUUCCUUAUCUGCUUGUGAAAGAAAUUGGAGUACAUUUGCACUCAUACACAUAAAGCAAAGAAAUAGGUUGGCUCAUAGUAGGUUGGAAAAAUUAGUUUAUUGCUACUACAACAUGAAGCUUCAAAUUCGAGAUAAGGAAGCAGAAGAUGUGUUUGAUAUUGUUGCUGAAGAUGAUGAUACAGAGGGUAACCAACUUUAUCAAUGGAUUAGACCUUUUCAUUUAGAUGAUGAUGAGGACAACCCAACUCCCAGAGUUGCUGAAGAAGCACGUAAUGAAAGGAUAAAUGUAGAAAGAGUAUUAGAAGAGGAGGUGGGAUCUAGCAGCGCUGACUCUUUGGAAGAACUUUUGCGCCAAAGACCACGAAACACUGGAAUUCCACCUUCUUCCAAUCCUACACAACCACAAGAUCAUGCUGAUACUAAUGAUAGCUCUACUACAAGAUCAGGAGACUCACCUACCACGAGAGGUGGAGCUGGAGGUAGUGGUGAAGGAUAUAGUGGAGGUGGAGGUAGUGGUGGAUAUAGAAAUUAUGUUGGACCGCCUCCCGGAUUUAUGAGCCCCUUCACUGGUGAGGCAAACUUCACACAUGCAACACAGGAUGAGGACCAUGGCAGUAGGCGGGCAGGACCAGGAAUUGGUGCAUAGGGAAGGACUAUACUCGUAGAGAAAGAGGCAAGGGGAUUUUGUCAAGUCAAGAAGAUGACUCGUUAUCUAUAACUUCGAACUCUGUUGGAGUGGGAAGUAGUAACUAUGGUUAUACUCAUAACCAACCAUUUCGCUACCAUUCAUAUCCCAUUCCUGUUAGGAUGGAAUCGAGCGACUCAUGGAAAGAAUCCGAGACUCAAUCUUCAAAUGAUUUUGCUUAUGGACAACGUCAACCAAUCUCGGAUCCAUAUGGGUGGCAUGUUAACAAUUACAUGCAAAACUAUUUUGGGGAUUUAUCAUUUGAUAACUACUCUUCACAAUACACUUACUCUACACAUAGAGAUGAUGAAGAUAGUGAAAAAUUUGAACCUCAUAGGAACUCUAUGUGAUACUAAGUCACUCAUGUAUCUUACCAUGCAAUGUAUAAAGUGUAAAAUAUUGUACUAAUUCAUUAUAUAUAAAUGAUUAUGGUGUGUUUAAACUUCUUUCAUUAAUUACUACAUAUUUUCUACACUCACAAUGUUUGCCAGCUCGCUAUACAAUCAACUUAAAUCAGUUAAAUCCAUCAUGCAAUGCAUUUCCUUCCAAUUUUUUGUGAUAAACUAAUAGAUAAUUGACUAAAUAAACAUCCUGCAAAGUUUCAAUAAAAAUUUCCAAGUUUUUCUUAUAAUUUUUGUGGUUUUUUAUUCAAUUUUUAUCGAUAUUGAUAAUAUCCCGAUAUUUCCAUCGAUAUUUCCGUGUUUUUGGACUACCGAUAUUUCCGAUAUCAUCGAUAUUUUAUACCUUGAUUAUGAUCACAUAUUCGUUGCAAGAUAUUUAUUUUGAUUUAUACAUUCUUUUGAAAUAAUAGUUGUCAUUAUUAUUAUAGUUGGCGUUCUGCCGCUGCAUAUUUGGUUAUUUCAAUGCGUCAAUUGUCAUGUUAAUAUCAUUUCUAAUGAUUUCUUUUAAUUCUUAAUUUCAGUUUUAUUUAACCAAAACUGAUGCAUUGAAAGGAUUUAUAAUGUUAGCGUAUGAUUGCGCAAUAAUUUUCCGUGAAUUCCCACUAUUUGGCCAACUUUUUUUGUGAUUAGCCCUAUAUACAUAUAUAUAUUAUAUUUAAUGGGAUUUUUUUUUUUAGAAAAAUAGUGCGAUAUUCAUUAAAGAUGAAAGAAUAUGUACAAAUAAGUAGGAUAUGGUGCUAACAAUGGGCCUCGAUAAAAACCUUGCCGGGGAUUUCAAACCGUUCAAAGGGAAAAAGAGUGCCACGCACCAAAAUUAAUGUUGAAUACCAUCCUCGAAAAGAAUAUCAAAGAUUACAUCCGGUGGUUCUUCAAACCAAUAAAUUUGACUAUCUAAUGUUAAACCCAAUCUGACCAAUUUGUGAGCUACCUUAUUUGUUUCCCGUCGACCAAACGUGACCUUCGUUGUGAGAAAGACUUCAAAAUAUGUCUAGCAUCAUUUAGAAUAUGCCCAAAUUCCCCACUUAAUGCCGCUGCAUCAGUUGCCUGGAGGGCAUUAAUUAUCACCACAGCAUGGCCUUGUACCUCCAUGGCCGAGCAUGACACCUCCUACACAAAAUGGACAGCAGCUCGCGCUGCCAUUGUUUCUGCCAUUUCUGCAUAUUUCACACCCCGCAUACGUGCAGCCAUCGCUGCUACAAACACACCUUGGUCAUCACGGAUCACAGCACCAAUCCCCCUCGAAUUCUUCGAUUCGUGCCACUUUCUAUACUCUUGGAGCCAUGCUUGAGUUCUACAAUGUAUAUCCACUUGGUUCAUCGCUUUCCGAGUCCACAAGAAGGAAUUUCUUUCCUUCCGUAUGCUCCAAAGCAACAUCAAAGUUAACUCAAAGUUUUGUCUGGAUAAAGCACUUGUCAUUUGUGCCAGCCAAUUUUGAAGGCCACCUUGUGCAAAACUACCCGUUCUCAAGCUCAACGGGCUAGAAAACCAAACUGAAGCUGGACGUGUCAAUCGAGCAAUGGAUGUUCAACAAUUUCCCUCGCGCUUGCACAAAAAACACGUGUGUCAGUUGUAAUGACCUUUCUCUUCUGCAAAUUAGCUCUAGUUGGUAAUGCGGUCAUACAUCCCCACCAUACACAGAUUUUAACUUUCGUGAGGACACAUGCUCUCCAUAAGGCUUUCUAUAGCAAAUGGAUCCCUGCACCCAUCAUGGAUCCUGAAGGUUCCGGUCUUCUUCGCAAUCCUUAUCAAAGUAUCUGGUGAUCGAAAAUAACUAAGGGGAAUACUCAAGAUCAAACCCGCUUCUUCCACAGAAAAAAUGCAAGUAAUUAAAUCCACUUUCCACUUCGAACCCCCUUCCUCAGCAACCAAUCCACCUUGGUGCCGUGAUCAAUGCCAUGCGGAAUUGGGCUAAUAACCUUUGAAAAAUGCUCAUGGAUCCUGAAGGUUCCGGUCUUCUUCGCAAUCCUUAUCAAAGUAUCCGGUGAUCGAAAAUAACUAAUGAGAAUACUCAAGAUCAAACCCGCUUCUUCCACAGAAAAAAAUGCAAGUAAUUAAAUCCACUUUCCAUUUCAAACCCCCUUCCUCCAUUAGCAACCAAUCCACCUGGGUGCCGUGAUCAAUGCCAUGCGGAAUUGGGCUAAUAACCUUGGAAAAAUGCUCACGGCCCCACACCUCCCCCCCCCCCCCCCCCCCCCCCCCCCCCCCCCAAAACAAAUAUUUUUUUUAACCUUUUCUCCAUCCCCAAUCCUCCAUCUCGAUCCUUGUCGAAUAAUAGUUCGGGCUUCGCAAGACUACGCCAAUAAUAGAACGCAUUGGUUUUCACUGUUGCUUGCAUGAAAUCCGAAUUCGGGAAAUAACGAGCUUUGAAAACACGACCAGCAAGGGACGUGGGUUGUUGAAAAAAACGCCGCCCCUGCUUCGCAAGUAAUGCAAGAUUAAAAGCAUAAAGGUUUUUGAAGCUCAAUCCUCCCUCACAUUUUGGUUUACACAUUCGACGCCGCUGUACCCAAUGGAUUCUACGCUUGCCACUCUCACGCCCCCACCAAAACUUUGCAACCAUUUGUGUCAAUUCAUUACAAAGUGUCUUCGAAAGAAAGAAUGUUUACAGCGUAUAUAAAGGUAGUUUUGAUUCUUAAAAGAUACCUACUAUUCUUUGAGCUUGUAGAAAACAAUUUUUUUUGUUUUUGAAAUGUUACUAACGAAUAUUUGUUUACAUUUAUAAUAUUAUAUUUGUGGGGGUUUUUCCAUGGACCUUAUUAUUCGCUUGCUACCUAUUUUGAUUUGUGUCAUAUUUACAAGUGAACUAAGAACUAGGUCGACAAAUCUAAACGAUACUUUUGUGUCACUUCAUUGAUUGGCAUCCCCAAAGUUUUCCACUUCAUCACCAAGAGCGUUCAAAGUAAGCUCUUACUUAGAUGACCCAGAUGUGCUGGAUUAAGGUCCAUUUUCAUUAUGAAAUUUACAGAUAAGUGACACAUUAUUUUAAUUAGUUAUUGAUUUUUUUCCCUAUAUAAAUUAAAAUUAUUAGUAAUCUAUUAUAUGAGAAUGAUUCCAUAGUCAAAGUCAAUUUAUUAGUAAUCCAUUAUAAUAUCGGUCUAGUACCUCACGAGCUUACCAUGCUUAUGAUGAAAGGCAGUGAUGUGCUAAAGACAGCCUUGUGAUAUGAGCAUGCACUAUAAGGUUUGCAAGUCCUACAUUUGCUGGAGAUUUCCCUCAAUUUGUGGGGGUUCAUGGUGAGCUAGUUUUUGCAUAACUUGUUGAUGCUUCUUGUGUGGUACACUUCUUAAUAAUCAGAUAGCUUAAAUUGAAAUACAUAUGCGUUAUAGAGUUAAGACACACAUACAUGCUUGAGUUUUUUUGAUCUCCUUAAUUAGUUGUGAAAGACGUAUUAUUCAUUGCAAAUUCUAAUGGACUCCUAUUUGUCGCUUGUAUAUUUGACUUGUCUGCAAUAUCUAUAGAGUAGUAUUGUGUUUGUCUUCUAUGGUGAAGCUGCAACAAUACGAGUGAUCCUAGGAAUGGGGGUGAUGUACUUGUGAUGACCAACACUUCCAAGGAAAGCUCAUUUAAUGGAGUAGGUCACUGUAUUUGUCCCUCACUGUGUAAAGGUAUGCCCCUGUAGUAGAAAAAAGCUCAUCUAUCAUGGUCGAUAUUUACCACGGAUAUUAUGCCUGUUAGUAAUCUGGAUGUGAUAGAAAGUCACAGAUUCUACCACGGGUUAUGCUCGUUGUCAAUUGUAAUAUAAGCACAGAUUGUGCCCGUUGUAGAUUAAGAUCAAAUACCACGUGCACUAUAACCGUUGUGGAUUACAAUUGGCCACGGCUAAUGCCCGUUAUAAAAAAAUUUCCAAAAAAAAAAGAAGUUUAAUAAAUGUAUUAUAUAAUAUUUAUACACAAAAUUACACAUUUACUAUAAUAUAGCAAUUAAAUAAAAAAUCAUAGAUUCAAACAUAAAACUAUAGGAACCAAACCAAUGCUAUAAGCUAAAUCAUUAAUUAGCUUAGAAAUCAAUAUCAAGUUCUUACCCUGUCUGCAAGUUCUUUGUGCAAAUAAAAAGGGUAAACCGCAAAGCUACGAAAACCACAGGUUUAGAAAGCAUCAUUGAAAAUUUGUAUUAAAAAACUCAAACAUACAAAAACUACCGAUGGAGAAAAGUGCUAGAACAUAUCAAAUUUUGAGACUUGAAAUAUUAAUUUCAUUAGAUUACUACUUCACAAUUCGACGAUAAGGAUGAUUAAGGACAAAGAAGUGGAAAUUAGAAUCACAAUUUGGGAAUGGAAUAUGUUUAUUCCCCAUGAGGGGAACACAAGUAUUAUCAUUAUUAUCAUUAUUAUCAUUAUUAUCAUUAUUAUUAUUAUUAUUAUUAUUAUUAUUAUUAUUAAACUACCUAAAAUUUAAUCAGUCCUUACUAGGGUUGGGCAAAUAUUCAUUGGUUAUGGGUAACCACGGUUACCCACCCAUUUAAAUUAAACGGUUACGGUUAUGGGUAACCGUUUAGAUAAAUAAACGGUUAUGGGUAUAAUCGUUUACCCACGAAAUUUAAAUGGGCGGUUAUAAACGGGUAACCGUUUACCCAUUUAUUUUAUAUAUGUAAAACUAACACAAACCAUGUUCUCGAUCCAAUAAUACUUAGCACCCAAUAAAUUAGCAAGGAAUUCAUCGGUCCUUCUUUCAAUAACACUACUAUAGGAAUGAUGAUUUUCAUUAUCAAGGAAUUGGCCAAAUUAAUUUAAAUUCCUUGCAGGUAAUCGUGAAAUUGACAGAAAUGUUUUGACAGAAAUGUCUUCUAAACAAUUUUUGUAACCCAAUAAUACUUAGCAAAUAUUAUAUUUACCUUCAUUGGUAACAGUUAAAAAUAUCGUCCCUAAACUAUUAUUUCAAUUAUUGGAAUUGUAUAAGAACUUAAAAAAUUAAAAUAUGGAAAUGUAUGAUGAAUGUACCUAUAACGGUGUUUAAUUGUCAAAAAAAAAAUUUAUGACAAUUUUUUUUUAAUUUUCAAGUUGUUAAAAAACAUGUAGACUGAUGAAAAAAGGGUAAUGGUAAAAAAAAAGAUAAACGGGUUAAAAAGGAUAAAUGGUUAAACGGGUAUUAAACAGUUACGGUUAAAUGGGUAUGCGGUUAUGGGUAUGGUUAACCGUUUAUAAACGGUUAUGGGUAUGGGUAUAACCGUUUAGGCAAUUACCCAACGGGUAAACGAUUAUGCGGGUAUGAGCAUAAAUGGUUAUGGGUAAAUUAACCGCGGUUACCCGCCCGCAUAACCAUUGCCCAUCCCUAGUCCUUACACAUUUAUGCACUACCUAAACUAGCAUGCAUUGGAGUGUACAAACUAAACUAAAUAAAAAUUCGGUGUUUUAAGCUCCAUCAUAAACAAUUAUAUCCACCAAUAAUAUACGGACUUUAGAGGAAACUCAGACUACAAAAUGAGAUUCCGUAAGCUCUUUCUUACUCAUACUUAGUUUGGAUAUUUGAUAAAACGAAAAGCACCGCAAAUUGUUAGGAAGCUGGUGUUAUAAUCGACUCAAUAUAGAGGAUACGAAAGAACAUAAGAACACAAAUUUCCAUCAACAUAUUCCUGAUUGAAAAGUUUUUCGUCAAUGAGUGAGAAAUAACGACACAAACUGGGCACAACCUAAGAGCACAACUGUAUAAAGAGAUUAAAAUCUGCACAGACAGAACUACCAACACAGCUCUAAUGCAAAACUCAUACUGAAAAACCGUUACGAUUCAUAACCAACAAUCCCACAACAAUUCCAAACAAAAAAUGCAACCGGGUUUCACAUAAAAAGGCAGCAUAAUAGACAAAUACAACAAAAGAAAAAAAAAAACCUAACUUUUCAACAUAGCAACACAUGUUUACUUCUACUCAAUCAUAAAAAAAAAAAAAGAGGAACCCAUUACAACAAUUCACAAACACAAGUCAAAAUUAGACAAAAAAGAAGAAUCACAUACCGAGAAAGGAUUUGCCUUUCAAGAUCCAUCUUCAGUGGAUACGCACUUCCGUAAAUGUACCCCUAGAUUUUCCUAUUUAUCAGCUCCUGUGUUACCUUCGCCUAAAACCCAACAAGUAAACAAACCUAAUUCAACAAAAUUUAAUCACAUAUCUUCAAUUCUAAACAAACAGCAACACAAAUCAGGAGAAAGAAAUAGAGCAAUAGAGAGGGAAAAUAUCGAUUCCAAAGCAGAUUCGAGAGGUCGAUUCCCAUUUAGACAACGGUGAUUGUGCCAAAGCCUCGCCUUUGAAAUCCACUGAGACAUACAACGGCGAGAUCUCGUGCUUUCUAGUUGGAGACGAAGUCGAAGAUUCUGUAGAUUGGGAAUACCCGAGAUGCCAAGAAAAUGAUAAGAUCCAAAUCUCUAGGCCCUUAAUCAACCUGCAAGUAACAUAGAGGAUAGAGAUGGAGAGGGAAGGAAGAGAGAGAGCAUAGCUCUUGAAUUGUUUUUGUUUAUAUUUCUUUUGUGUAAAUUCUGAUCUGAUACAUUUGAGGGAGUUGCGCUCCUUUUAUAUAGCCUCCACACUUUUAAAUGCCAGUUGGCAUAUUAACAAUUCCUCAUAGUAAUAAAGCAUAAAACCUCAGUUAUAACUUGGGUCAUAACAAUACUCCCCCCUUGAAAAUUAGCCUUGUCCACAAGGCUAAAAAAUUUGGAUGUGGGAACUUGUUUGAAAGCAGCAACACAUUCCCUUGUGAUGGUCAUGUUCUCAAUUCUAGAUAUGCCCAUUGCAAUCCCAAUAUCAGCAAGUUUCAAAACAAGUGCAUCAUUCAGUGGUUUCAAAGCACUAGUUGACAUCUCAUGAAGGGCUUGCACGAUAUAGUUCCUUGAGCUAUCAUCCAGUGGUACAACAGUGCCAUCAAGCAACUGAACCUUAGUGCUUUUCUCAAGCAAAUUCUCUACAUCACCCUUCACUAGCAAUGACUCCUCCCCUGAAACAGAGUUGACAAUUACACCCGUGGAUUUCUUAUCGCGAUCAAACUCAAGGGUUGCAAUUCGGUGUUCAUAUUCACUCCACUUCUGGCAACAACCAAGAAAAUCCCUUCCAUUUGAUGAUUCCGGACUCUUGGACUCUUCAGAAAGGACCAUCUUCUCAACUAAAAACUUUGGAGCUGCCUUAGCAGGCAUUCCAUGAGCAACAUACUUCUAUUCUGCAUGUUCAAUGCUAUCAUUAUUGUAGACAGCAGCUACCUUUGCGAUCAUUUGAAGAUUAGCAUCCAUUUGACCAGUUGGCCAGUUAAGAAUUUCACCAUCAAGUAGAUUGUAUGUAAUUCCAUCCACCCUAAACUUCAGUAGUAUAAUAGGCCUAGGACUCCAAGCUACAAAUUUUGCCACUGCCAUCUGGUUUGUAGUCAUGGUCUGUGUUUUAUCAUAAGCUCCAAUCAACACAUUUGCUACUUGAAUAUCAUAGGUUGAGCACUGCCAUUCCCUUUCCAAGUAGGAAGCAAAGUGAUGUCUGUGAACAAUCAGCACAACAUGACCACUACCCUUUUUUGGCAUGAUUUUCUUAUCAAAUUUGAAGGUCCAAUCUAUUCCUAUAAGUUCAGCCUUGUUCACUUCAACCUUUGAAGGCUGAAUCUCCUCCAAUCUCAAAACAAGCUUCGUUAAAGUGCAAGCCAUAAUUGACUAAAGCAAAAAUUCACAAGAAUGCAGACAUUGUAAAUGUUUCACCUCAUGUGAUAUGUGGCCUUUAAACGAUUGAACUGACUCUGAGCCUUUUUCCCCACCUUUUAUGCAGUGCACCAUGCUAACAAGUUCAAUGCCGAAAAGGGCUUUAACAGAGUCAGGACUUUCACUAGAACCUGACCAUCGUAGAGAAUGAGAAAGGGUGUAUAAAAGCUGUGACCAACAUUUUUUUGCAUCCUGUUGCAUGAAGGUACUAUUAUACUGCUGACCAAAAUGAGGGUAUUUGUUGAGCAAUACCAUCCAAAAUUGCACAGGUGCCAUAGCCUUGAUACCUUUAUCCAAUUCACUAAUUAAAGCACAAGUUGUAAUAGUCAGCCUAUGAGAAGUCUGAUCCCCCCAUCAUUUCUUUCAGAAUGAGAAUACUUGAUCAAAGCUGAUUUCAACUCUGGAACAGAAUGCAGAAAAGGUAAGGUGGAGUUCAUAUAAUAGGUGUUUCCCAAGUAAAAUAAACCAACAUCAUAAAUCAAGUUAAUAGGUACUUUAACAAGGUUUUCUUCAAUGGGUACUUUGCUGCUAGGAUCCCCACGCAAAUCACCCUGGGCAUCUAACUCAAUAUCAUCCAAACCAACAAAGUGUGUAGUUUGAUUUAUGCCAACCACGCUUUUAGCUAACCAAAACAUCACAAUGUCUACACGGGAAGAUUUUUCAUCUAAGCCUUUGCUUUCAAUAAUCUUGAUCUCAACGUGGGAUACAUUAGCUUUUUCUUCACAAGAAAUUUCUUUAACCAUUUGUUUAAUCCAUAUGGCAAUAGUAGCAAAACCAUGUUUCAGGAUCAACUACUUCAGAUAGGAAAACCAACAUCUGUUAGAAACAUGCCGGCAAAGUUGCACAGAUGCAACCCACUAGUCAGGGAUGACAUGAACCCUUGGACAUGAUUCACACCUAUAUUCAAUUACUGCUCCACUAAGAGUAUUCAUAAUACUGUUAUUGAUGUAGGACCUUAACAAGUUGAGAGCUAAAUAACCAUAUAUUAAGAGCUUCAAAUAUACCAAGGCAUCCAUAUUGCUCCACAAUGACUGAGAUGCAACAUAGACGUAGAGGGAUGGCUCAUAUAUAGUUAACUGGUUUGCACAACCACUAUUGAGAUUAGAGGUGAUAUGACAAGGAAUAAGCCUUUACAGGUGAUGUAUGAGAUAAUAAAUGAAAUUGAAAAGUGUUCCCAUAUUUUCGUCACCCCAUCUCUUAGACAUUUCAUCAAACAGGGUAGAUGCACACAAAUCCUUCUUCACAAACUUACCCACAAGAUACCAAUUAACCCAUCCAAAUUUAUCUUUCAGGUAUGCACCAUAGUUAUCAGUCAUAAGAGAAGGGAACUUAGCCUCCGAAGUUGUUGAAAUGAUACUCAAAUUAAGAACUACCUCAGGUCCAUUUUUCAUACUAUCGGAGAACAAGUGCUUAUGGAGUAGCUGCGGAGCAGAGAUCAUCAUCUUCGAUUCCGGAAGCAAAACUACAGAUGCAACAGACUUGUUCGAUUGUGGCUUGACGGUCGAAUUUUCCAGUGUUCGCAACUUCUGUGAAGAUGAGAGCAAUGGCGGAAUGGAAUGGUCGUGGAUUAUCGAUGGAAUUCGAAGUGGGUUGCCGUCUUCGUUGUGAGCAAGGAAGAAAAAAUCGAUAAUAUCGGCGAUAUAUCGCCGAUAUUAUCGGUUUUUCAGGGGACCGAUAUUUUAAUAGGUAUCCAAAGGGUUUUCGUGAUAAUAUCGCGAUAUUUUUUGAACUGGGCUACUCGGAGAAGAACGCCGGAGCUUCUACAGCUCCGGCCGACUGUAAAACAGGACCCUAGACUCCAAUCUAGGUAUGAAAAUGAAAUAGAAGACGAGAUGAAGAGAAGAGAAGAGAUGGGGGGGAGAACCGGAGAAGGAUCGAGAGACUGAGGGAGAAGAAAAAGGAUGGAGAGACUGAGGGAGAAGGAUGGACGGAGAGACUGAGGGAGAAGGAUCGAGAUCGAGGCUGAGGGAGAAGGAUGGACGGACGGAGAGACUGAGGGAGAAAGAUCGAGAUCGAGGCUAAGGGAGAAUGAUGGAAGGAUUGAGAGACUGAGGGAGAGAAGGAUCGAGAUCGAGGCUGAGGGAGAAGGAUGGACGGACGACGGAGAGACUGAGGGAGAGAAGGAGAGACUGCGUGUGUGGUGUGUGCGGUCUAUGUGUGUUGCAAAGAAGAGAUGAGGGGGCAGAAGAAGAAACAAGGAGACUUUGGGAGAAGGAUCGAGAGAGCCCUGCACGAAUCCCUCUACAUUUCUAAAAGAUAAUUAAAUAUGAGGAAAUUGUGAGAUCUGACAUGUGGCUAGAAAUGCCGUGUGAAAGUUUCCAUAUUGCACAUGUAUAUAUUAUUGUUAGUUUUUCUCUUACUUUUCAAAUUGUUUGUUCCACAUUUGUUAAUUUCAUUAUAUAUAAAUGAUUUUGAUGUGUUUAAAUUUUUUUCAUUAAUUACUACAUAUUUUCUACAUUCACAAUGUUUGCCAGCUCGCUAUAUUAUCAACUUAAAUCAAUUAAAUUCAUCAUGCAAUGCAUUUCCUUCCAAUUUUUUGUGAUAAACUAAUAGAUAAUUGACUAAAUAAACAUCCUGCAAAGUUUCAAUAAAAAUUUCCAAGUUUUUCUUACAAUUUCCAUGGUUUCCAUGUAAUUUUUAUCGAUAUCGAUAUUAUCCCAAUAUUUCCAUCGAUAUUUCCGUGUUUUCGGACUACCGAUAUUUCCGAUAUUACCGAUAUUUUCUUCCUUGGUUGUGAGGGUUUUGGUGACCGACCUCGAUCGAUGCAGGUUCCUUGGAACACAUCGAGGCUGGAUCAGAAUCUCCCUCGACGCCGAGAGCCAAGUCAUGGUGUAACUAAGCAAGGUUACUGCGGAUUUCGACGAGUACAGGAUUCACAGCCUUGUGAAUGACAAUGAGUGCAGAAUCCAUAGCUUCGCGGAUCUUAUCACGGAUCGCAGCUCAUAUCGAAGCUUCAAAUGAGUCGAUUGCAGAGAGGUGUGCAUCCAUGGCAGGAAGAUGGGUCGGGUGGGCGUGCACAUGAGGGAAACCAGGAUUCGAGAAGGAUGAUACCAUUGAUAAGAUCCAAAUCUUUAGGCCCUUAAUCAACCUGCAAGUAACAUAGAGGAUAGAGAUGGAGAGGGAAGGAAGAGAGAGAGCAGAGCUCUUGAAUUGUUUUUGUUUAUAUUUCUUUUGUGUAAAUUCUAAUUUGAUACAUUUGAAGGAGAUGCGCUCCUUUUAUACAACCUCUACACUUUUAAAUGCCAGCUGGCAUAUUAACAAUUCCUCACAGUAAUUAAGCAUAAAACCUCAGUAAUAACUUGGGUCAUAACAGAAAAAAAAAAAAAUAGGGUUCAAAUAGUGUAUGCAAACAAAUGAGUUGAUGUUCGACUACUAGGGUUUGCUUAGGGAGAUGGUUGCGAUUCCAAAGAAGAUUUUUUUUUUGGGUGGGGGGGGGCAGUGGGGAUUUUGGAGAGAGAAAUGAGUAGUUUGGGGUUUCGGAGAAAUCGUUGAUGGAACCGAAUGGGUGAGACUUGGUAGUUGGUGGCGUUAGAUCUGGAAAUGGUAGAGAUUGGGGUUUUUUUUUUCAAUUAGAGAAGAUUGGGAUAAAGAUUACUACACUAUAUGUGGGAGCAUGUACAAUACAUAUGACAAUAAACCAGGUGUGAUUUGUUAAAAUUUUAAGGCUUUCCAGAACUUGUGGGUGUUUCCUUCACUGUACUUAUUAAAUUAAAUGGAACUUUCAUGAAAAGGGCUUGGACUAAGUUUAUUUUAAUAAAAAACCAUGCUAUAACUUUAUUUAAUUAAAAAGACUUAAAUUUUAAUGAAAAACCCUUAAAUUUUAAUAAAAAGGACAAAAUAACUUAAAUUUUAAUGAAAAGGACAUAAUUUUAAUAUUUAAAAAUUUAAAAAAAAAAAAUUGACGCGUGGACUGAUGUGAAAAUUACUUGACACACAAAUUAACCCUCUUUUUGACAAUUGUAGUAAAGUAUGUAAGUAGGGUAUCGUUCUAGGCCGGGGAUUAGGAGGGAUUGCUAAUCUACUCUAAAUUAAUUUAAAAAUACUAAACAAGACUCAAGGAUACAAAACUAGGCUAAAAACUCUAAUAACUCGAAACACACUUAGAAUGACUCAAAAUAAUGAAAACAAUCAAAUUAGACACUAGGAACUGAAAUGGACGGAAAUUGAAUUAAAAGACUAACAACAAUGAAAACUAAUUAAAUAAUAUAAUUUAAUAAUGGGGGUUUUGGUUUUGACGAGAAAUAAAUUAAACUUAAAUAAAUUACAGAAUUGACAAAAACAUGAAAUUAAAGUGAAAGGAUAAAUGACGGACUAGCUAGAGGGUUCUUCUCCACACAUGACACAUAUGCAACCUAAAUUGAUUUUCAGUUGUUCUUUCAAUAAAUUAUGAAUCUCAAUACUUCAGAUUAACCAUGAACAUCAUUUUUUUAAUCUUCAAGUUUUCCUUAAGUUAUUGAAUUGGACGGGAAAACGCAUACAACAAUUCAAAACAUUCUUCAAAAGUCCCCUACGUGAAAAGCACAAUAGAGAUACAAUCAAAGAUCAUUAAACUUUGUGAAAACUAUAAGCAUUGACGAGGCAUUCGUAACUAUGAAAAGCAUGAUACUCUUGCCAAGAAUUUACUUAACAUGAUUGUGACUAGCAACCUUUACUACUUGUGAAUAUAAGUUCAUAAAGAUUAGGUGAAAUUCACUUAUAUUCUAGCAUCAAAUUCAUGCAUGUAAAUUAAGUAUGCAUUCUUAAUCGACAUACAAAAAUAAGUUAUCAAUCAAGCAGUUAAGCAAAUUAAAUCACAACUCAGAAAUCACAACUGAAGGUAAUCAAUUCAUAUUACAAAUAUAUUCAUGGCUUUGAAUUAACCUCUAACCAAAAUAAAUUUAGUUACACAUUAUUAUCAAAUUAAACCAAAAGUAGAACAUGGGUUUGAGAGGAUAAAACCAAGAAAAAUGGAGUGAAGUUUUGCUCUUUGCCGUGCUUCUGCCCUCUGUGCUCUGUCCCUUCUCUGGUUUCUGCUCCUCGUCAGUCUCUCUCACCCAUCUGCCCCCCUGGACUCCCUCCUUUCUUUCUAUAUUUUUUUCUUUUUUUUUUUUCUCUGGCAGCCUCACUGCCUUCCCUUUCUCCUCGCUGCCAAAGCAGCCUACCUCCCUCCUCGAAUCUCACUCUCUGUGCUCACCUCCCCCAGCUGCAAAAGCAGCUAUCUGACUCUCUGACUUCUCUCCGUACCAGCUGCCAAGGGCAACUGUUUUUAUUCCCCCUUUUCCCUCCUUUUCUCCCCCCGUGUCUCACGUUUCCUGCUUCUCUUCUUUUCCCCUGCCAAGGGCCCGUGUCUCCCUUGGAUUCUUCUUUUCUGCCUUUCUGCUGGUCUCUCUCUUGGAUUCUUCUUUUUAUUUUUCUUUCUUUAUUCUUUCAGCAAGACGUUGUUGUAUUGCUCCAACUUUUCUAUCAUUUGCACAAAAUCAACCCCAAAUAUGAGCCCAGCAUGAUCCACUCCAAGAAAGUGUGCGAUAAGAACAUCCUAAUCUUCUUGGUACAAGAAUGGAAGAAGGUGGUCAAUGCAUCCAAUUUUGACGAAUUUAUUACAUAAAAUUUCACUUGUUCUAUUUUUAUUUUCUUUGCAUAACAAAUCCUAUAAACACAAAAAUAACGUAAAUAGCUCAAAAAUAUAAGGAACUAACUAAGAAAAGACGAGUGAAUUCGAAGUAAAAAUAUAUAUAAAUAUGAUCCGAUCAAAUACCCCCACACUUAACUUUUGCUAGUCCUCGAGCAAAACAAAGAAAACAUGAAAAAGUAAUAACAUGAAAAACAUUAGCUUCCCUCUAUGUGACCCUCAUAUAAUUUCAUUCAAGAAAACAAAUCAUCAAGAACCAUAGCUAGCACCAAGGAACUAAUCCAAGUUCAUCUUCCUUAUUCAAAUAUUAGCAGUAAUCUUUGAAUCAUCCUUGAAGUAGUGUGUGAGAUAGCCAUGCUAAUGCAAUUUCAAGUUUUUAUUUUUAAAAUCAUCAUAUGCAAACUAGCGACCUUCUCACGGGAUAUGCACUCAAUCACACAUGUGUUUAGUUUUAAUGUGUUUCGCUCAAAGAAUCAAAGGUGAAAUUUCUACUAUAAGCUUGCAUAAAGAUCUCAUCUCCACAAUCAUAAUUGCAAAACUGAAAUCAAGAGGACUUUUAUUGGAUGUAAUGAGGUUUAGGGAGAGGGUUAUUGAAAUGAAAGAAUAGGUAAACACAAGUUCCAAGCUACAUUGCAAGCAAUUCUUUUGUUUAGAUUUAUAAGAACUCAAUCUUUACAGAGAUUCUUCUAGCACCUCCAACCACACCCUUAACUGAAACUUGAAAAACUUUUUAUUUUCUUUGUAUACAAUCUUUCUUUUUAUUUUAUUUUUUAUUUAUUUUAUUUUUUUUAUUUUUUAAUAUACAAACAUGAAACACCCCCACACUUAUUCUUUUGCCAAACACCUUCAAAGUACUUCACAAACAUUUCUCAUAAGACAAUCUCGCAUUGCUCACUAGCUUGCUUGGAAAGGGUAAGGAAAAAUGUUUCAGGUAUAAGGGUAGACAUAUCUGGUGAUAAGAAAUAAAAGGCUCAACAUACACGGCUCAAAUUGGCAAUCUAAUGAUAUCAUUUUUAUUUGGGAAACAUGGUUAUUUGGGCCAUAGUGGUAAACCUAAUGCCUCUAUCAUUUCCAAGUUCAUGCAAUCAAUGACAAACAUUUCGAAAGAUCGUUACGCAAGUUCUAGAGAUGUAUCUCACAUAAGUUCAUCACACAUGAAAGAAUAGGAGUGUAUGAAAAAUGCACACACUUUCAAUCGGCUCAAAAACUCACAUAGGAUAUAUAUGGUCACUAAAUUCACAUAUGAAGCUUUAAUUCAUACUUUAGUUUCACAUUAACAAGGCUAUGUGCAUUUGGUUUUUCAAAGAUGAUCAAACAUGUACAAAACUAACAAGAGAAUUAGGAAUUUCACAAAACACAUGUUAACUAAGUUCUUGAUGAUCAUGGUUCAAAUUUGAUCCAAUUAUAUCAUUGGGUCGGGAAACUAACAAAAAUCUAAUUCAAAACAAUAAGGGAAACAAGACAAUAUUUUUGGAUUUUUAAAUUUUCCGAUUUUUUUUUUUUUAAAGAAAACAAAACUAAUUAAGAAAACAAAAAGCAACAACACGGAAACAAAGGAAAUUCUAGAGAUGUCUACCCCCACACUUAAACUGGACAUUGUCCCCAAUGUCAGAAAACACUAUAAUGCAAAUAAAAAUAGAAUAAAAUAAAUAAAUAAUAAGAAACAAAAUAACGCAAUUGGACUGAAAACUUCCCUAGUUUGCAGUAAAACCAAGUGAUGACCCCCCAAGCUAAAAUUCUGCAAUCAACUUCAAGGGUGGAAAUAACCAAAAGUUCCUGCAAAGAAAAGAAAUAAUUCAGUUAAGUAAUGCUAGAAAAAAAAAAUGCAAACGAAAAAUUGAAAAUCACGAUAAAAGACAAUGAAUAGAACUAAUAAGUGAUCAUUGGUCGUGCUUGUUGACUUUCCACAGCUUUCCUCUUGAACAGGGUGACACUUAGCUUUUACUUGCAAGUGAUGAUUUGAUGAUAUUGUACGGUGAGGCUUUGCUCUUUGGCGAUGUUGUUGUUCCUUAUUUGUUCUCCAAGCAGAUGUGGCAGCUUCUCUAGUUCUUCAUCUCAGACUCCUUCCGCUGGGAUGAUUGUGCAAGCUGCAUUCUUCUCUGCUUGUUUCUUCUGCACAACGGGCAGGCACGAGGGAGAGGUGUUGGUCUGUUUCUUUCUUCAAUCUUUCCAAGUGCCCACCUCUUGCUCUCUUUCUCCUUGUCCUUAGUUGAGGAUGAAUCAGCACGUUGUCUCCACAUGCUUCGAGGUAUCAUCUUCACUUCCCUUAUAAGUGAGAAACAAAGCGAAAGCAUAAGAUGAUGAGUACUCGAGAGCAAGGGCUGGCUGGAGAAAGGACAGGGAGAAAGCAUGAUAUGAGAUACUCUUGCUUUCAACCUUCAUGAUAUGAAAUACUUUUGCUUUGGAUGGGUUGUUUGCAGGGGUAUCCCAGGGGAUGAAAAAUACAGAGUGACUUGAGAUGGUUUGUUGGAAAGCCAUUUCAGAGAGGAAGAAGUGCUGAGAGGGUGUGUCUUUGCUGUGGAAGGCGAAGGUAGAUACUUAUAGGACUUUUCUUCACAACCGGAACUAUUCCCUCACUCAUUGUCGGCAGCCGGUGGAUUGAUGAAUAGUACAAAUUACGCGCUUUCUGACAAAGCUGCCCGUAAUUUCCGCAAAGCUGCAAGUUGCAUGUGACGAGUGACGACACGUCUGGACAAAUUGAUCUUUUGAAAUCCGGGGUUCGGCUCGUGGUUUCUGAGCAAGCCCAAAUUUUAAGAAAUGAAACGCCUCUUUUGAGAAAAGAAUCCGGCUUUUGAGAAAGGAGCCCCGACUCUUCGAUUUGCGAGAUGACGCCUCUCUGAGGAGCGCCUCUUUGAUGUCUUCUUUUUAUAGAGGCGUUAAUUUUGUUCCGCAACACACUUGAGCUCCCUCCUGUAAACACUCCCUUCUUGCACUUCCAAAAUCUUAAUCAGUCCGACUUUCUUAUUUCUUCACCACCUCUGAAAAAUGUCUGGCCCUUCCGAUCGUCGUUUUGACUUGAACAUUGGUGAAGAGGCAGCUCCGCCUUCACCAGACAACAUAUGGCGCCCAUCCUUCAUAUCCCCUACCGGUCCCCUUACCGUGGGGGAUUCGGUGAUGAAAAAUGACAUGACCGCUGCGGUGGUGGCCCGGAACCUUGUCACCCCCAGAGAUAACAGACUGCUCGCUAGACGAUCUGAUGAAUUGGCGGUUAAGGAGUCUCUGGCUCUUAGCGUGCAGUGUGCGGGUUCUGUGUCCAACAUGGCCCAACGCCUAUUUGCUCGAACCUGUCACGUUGAAUCGUUGGUGGCUGAAAUACAGAGUCUCAAAGAGGAGAUUAGAGGACUCAAGCAUGAAAAUAAACAAUUGCACAAGCUUGCACACAACUAUGCCACAAACAUGAAGAGGAAAACUGACCAGCUGCAGGAAAAUGAUGGUCAGAUUUUACUUGAUCACCGGAGGUUUGUGGGUUUGUUCCAACCGCAUCUGCCUUCGUCUUCUGGGGCGGCACCGCGUAGUGAAGCUCCAACUGAUCAACCUCUGUUGCCUUCUCCUUCUGUGGCCCCGCCGACUGCUGAAGCUCCGCCGACUACUGAAGCACCACCUGACCAAUGAAAGCUAUUAGUUUACACAUCAUUGUAAAAUAUUUUUACUUUUAUGUUUUUUUUUUUUUUUUUUUUUUUUAGGUGUGUUUUUGUUUUGUUUUGUUUUUUUUUUAAAUCAAUGUAAAAUAUGUAAAUCAAUGUAAAAAGACUUUGUUUAACCUUCCCCCACACUUAAACUAAAUAACACAAACUCACAGAAAUCAACCAAAUAACACAACUAACUAAACAAAACAAAAUGAAAGCAGUAAAGAUAAGGGUGUAAGUUGAAUGCUUGGGUUGCCUCCCAAGAAGCGCUUGCUUUAACGUCCGCAGUCGGACGAAUCUUUCCUUUAAACUCCCCUCGGCUCCAAAGCAUGGAAUUUAUCUUUUAAUGGGAGGUGAUACUUGAAAUGAUUCGGCAAUGGUUUAAAUUCAAGAGUGGGUGCCUGAAUCAUCAAAAUCAGAAACAUGUUAGUACAAAUUAAAAUUAAAAUUGGAGAAGAUGGCUUACUUUCUUUUUCCGACACAAACUCAAUGACAAACACCACAUCUUUGAACAUUUCCGGGACUUUGAACUUGGCCAGGUUUACUAUGAUGGUUGUGGCUUGUCUCGUGUCAUCAAACUCAACUGCUUUGGGCUUGAUUGUCUCAUGCACACCCUCUUGGAUGUAUUCUUGAUAUGCUUCAACCACUUCAUUUUCUUGAAUCCCUUUUCUUGAUGUGCAAGGUUCUUUGAACGUUUCAAUACCAUCGGGAACUUGUUUUGGUGCGCCAAGAAUUGGGAUAUCACUUUGCACCUUUGUAAGAGCUUCCACAAUGUCUUUUUCACUCUCUUUGAUAUUUGGAAUAAAAAACCUGCACGGACAAAGGACAUUCGGUGGAAUAACAUUAGAAUGAAAUGAAAUUAGGACGUCCUUACUUGUGGUGGGUAGGUUAGAGGGCUUAAGGGGCUGCGGCAAGGGUUGUUCUACCCUUGCCGUGUGUAUGUCUGCUUCCUCCUCCUCAAUCAGCAGCUCCUCAUCCAUUUCUAGGCUAUGUUUGGACGUUUUUAGGCCAACUCCAACCUCCAUAGCACUUCCCAAAGUGAUAGCAUCGUGGAUUUCAAAAUCUUCCUUCGAAUUUUCAACAGUUGAGUUGGAGAGUUCACUUUGCUCUUGAAUUUGUACCAUGAAUUCCAUAAUCUCUCCCAUUUGACUCUUCAAUUUAUCCAACUCCUUGUCUUGAUUUUGUUGGUCCUGCGUCAAAGAGGUUAGUACUUGAAGAAUUUGAUCACUAUCCAUGGACAUACUUGAAUUAGAUUGGAAUUGUUGUGGGGUAUGCGGUGGUGGCUGUAUAGGUGUGGUGUAGAACUCCUCCUCUUGCUGCCAAUAUCCAUCUUGUUGGAAUUGUUGAGGUUCCCCCCACAUAUAAUUUGAAUGACCUCUCCAAUCUGAAUUGCAAGCGUUGGUAAACAUGUUGCCCCUUGAUUGGUUAUAGCCUUGAUAUCCCCAAACAUCUUCAUUUGCAGAAAAUUGAGGACUUUGAUAACCUUGCCCAUAGGGCACAUCAAAUGUAGGGGCACUUUGCAUUGUGGUCCUUUCGGCAUAUUGUGACAAUAGAGAAGUAAGAUUUGCCAGUUGAGCUUGAAUGCUAGCAAAAUCCAUGUCUUGCUCCAUUUGUACCUAAAAUCAAAGAAAAAGAAAAAAAAAAUCAAAUAUCAAAAGUAAAAUACACAAACACCAAUAUAAACAUAAACAAAAACAAAAAUAAAGGGAUUAGUAAAGUUGCUAAUCCCCGGCAACGGCGCCAAAAUUUGAUGUGAAAAUUACUUGACACACAAAUUAACCCUCUUUUUGACAAUUGUAGUAAAGUAUGUAAGUAGGGUAUCGUUCUAGGCCGGGGAUUAGGAGGGAUUGCUAAUCUACUCUAAAUUAAUUUAAAAAUACUAAACAAGACUCAAGGAUACAAAACUAGGCUAAAAACUCUAAUAACUCGAAACACACUUAGAAUGACUCAAAAUAAUGAAAACAAUCAAAUUAGACAAUAGGAACUGAAAUGGACGGAAAUUGAAUUAAAAGACUAACAACAAUGAAAACUAAUUAAAUAAUAUAAUUUAAUAAUGGGGGUUUUGGUUUUGACGAGAAAUAAAUUAAACUUAAAUAAAUUACAGAAUUGACAAAAACAUGAAAUUAAAGUGAAAGGAUAAAUGACGGACUAGCUAGAGGGUUCUUCUCCACACAUGACACAUAUGCAACCUAAAUUGAUUUUCAGUUGUUCUUUCAAUAAAUUAUGAAUCUCAAUACUUCAGAUUAACCAUGAACAACAUUUUUUUAAUCUUCAAGUUUUUCUUAAGUUAUUGAAUAGGACGGGAAAACGCAUACAACAAUUCAAAACAUUCUUCAAAAGUCCCCUACGUGAAAAGCACAAUAGAGAUACAAUCAAAGAUCAUUAAACUUUGUGAAAACUAUAAGCAUUGACGAGGCAUUCGUAACUAUGAAAAGCAUGAUACUCUUGCCAAGAAUUUACUUAACAUGAUUGUGACUAGCAACCUUUACUACUUGUGAAUAUAAUUUCAUAACGAUUAGGUGAAAUUCACUUAUAUUUUAGCAUCAAAUUCAUGCAUGUAAAUUAAGUAUGCAUUCUUAAUCGACAUACAAAAAUAAGUUAUCAAUCAAGCAGUUAAGCAAAUUAAAUCACAACUCAGAAAUCACAACUGAAGGUAAUCAAUUCAUAUUACAAAUAUAUUCAUGGCUUUGAAUUAACCUCUAACCAAAAUAAAUUUAGUUACACAUUAUUAUCAAAUUAAACCAAAAGUAGAACAUGGGUUUGAGAGGAUAAAACCAAGAAAAAUGGAGUGAAGUUUUGCUCUUUGCCGUGCUUCUGUGCUUAUGCCCUCUGUGCUCUGUCCCUUCUCUGGUUUCUGUUCCUCGUCAGUCUCUCUCACCCAUCUGCCCCCCUGGACUCCCUCCUUUCUUUCUAUAUUUUUUUCUCUUUUUUUUUUCUCUGGCAGCCUCACUGCCUUCCCUUUCUCCUCGCUGCCAAAGCAGCCUACCUCCCUCCUCGAAUCUCACUCUCUGUGCUCACCUCCCCCAGCUGCAAAAGCAGCUAUCUGACUCUCUGACUUCUCUCCGUACCAGCUGCCAAGGGCAGCUGUUUUUAUUCCCCCUUUUCCCUCAUUUUCUCCCCCCGUGUCUCACGUUUCCUGCUUCUCUUCUUUUCCCCUGCCAAGGGCCCGUGUCUCCCUUGGAUUCUUCUUUUCUGCCUUUCUGCUGGUCUCUCUCUUGGAUUCUUCUUUUUAUUUUUCUUUCUUUAUUCUUUCAGCAAGACGUUGUUGUAUUGCUCCAACUUUUCUAUCAUUUGCACAGAAUCAACCCCAAAUAUGAGCCCAGCAUGAUCCACUCCAAGAAAGUGUGCGAUAAGAACAUCCCAAUCUUCUUGGUACAAGAAUGGAAGAAGGUGGUCAAUGCAUCCAAUUUUGACGAAUUUAUUACAUAAAAUUUCACUUGUUCUAUUUUUAUUUUCUUUGCAUAACAAAUCCUAUAAACACAAAAAUAACGUAAAUAGCUCAAAAAUAUAAGGAACUAACUAAGAAAAGACGAGUGAAUUCGAAGUAAAAAUAUAUAUAAAUAUGAUCCGAUCAUGGACUCAUGUCCUCACAUUGUUUAUGAAACUUUUACACUGUUUAUGAAAUUUAUGACACUGUUUAUAAAACUUACUGCACUGUUUAUGAAAACUUAUGACACUGUUUACGAAACUUACUACACUGUUUAUGAAACUUAACGGUACUGCACCACUGUGUUGUGUUUGUAACCUAGCCCACUCUGUUUUCUUCCCCUUUUCUUUCUUCUUUUCCUUUUCCCCCAUGAACACUCCAUAACUCUCUCUCUCUCUCUCUCUCUCUCUCUCUCUCUCUCUCUCUCUCUCUCUUUUCAAACUCUCUGCCUUCUCUCUAAACCACCAUAGCCAAAAAGAGCUCCAAGCACCAUCACCACAAAUUCCAAUUUAAUUGAGACCCCAAACCACAAAAAUACAAGACCUGUGCAAGCUGGGGAUAACUAUGGUACCAUUGCAUGUUAAAUUCUGUAAUGGGAAGUAAGAUAAUCCAAGUAAGGGUUCUCGGUGAGAGUUGCUCUAAUGGGAUCAAACUACAACCCUUGAAAAGAGGAGGUAAAAUUAGCUUGGUUUUGUUGUAAUAUGUUGCUAGUAAUGUCUUCUAGCAUCUUGGAUCAAAUCUGGGUUUGAAAUAGUUUUGGGUGGACCACCCUCCUACGUUCCAGUGCGACUGCUUCAGGAGCUACAUGAGUUUUUAGGCACGGUGGGACGCUUCGUUGAACCAGCAGCUGAUCCAUGAAAUCCUUGAGGCUUAUGAGGAGGAGAAGAAAGAGAGAAGGAAGGCUAACAAGGGCAGUGGACGGCGUCGCUGGCUUUGAUCCUUUUGUUCCUUGUCGCCAAGCUCGUCGCCAUGGUGGUUGCUGGCCGAGAAUCGGAGGCGAAGUUUGGGGAGGGUGGGGAUGCCGGCGGCGAAGGAGUUGGUGCGGAGGAGGUGAGCUUCGAAGAGAGGAGGCUGAAGCACCAAACUUUUGUUUUUUUUUUUUUCUCUUGUCCUUAUCAUUAAAUAAAGUUAGUAUGCGGUUUUUUGUUAAAAGUCAAAGUUUUGAAGCCAUUUUCAUUAGUUUUCCUUAAAAUAAAAUGGUUACACUUUUUACUGCAAUAUGAUUAGAAAUUGUGGGGGGUUAUCACCAUUUUGAAAUUAAAUAUGAGGUUUCCUUGCAUGCAUUUUAAUUGUGAUGUUGAUUUAUGCGUGAUGUCAAUUUGAUCUGUAUGGAACUAAUGAUAUUGGUUGAGCCUUCGUAAUACUAUAAUCAGAGUAACUAUAAAGAAGGGGUAGUACAAUUGUGAUGACCCUUGUGACAGCUCCAAAUCGAGAAGGUUCGAAUUUAACCGAUUAUGACAGCGGCGGAACUAUGUUAGUGCUAAAGUUUGCAGGUCUUGAUGCUAUACACCUUUCCAGAAUACCAUUCAAAUUGUGGGUGUGGAGAGCCCUUGUAUGGAAUAAUCUUCUUUCAGGUGACAACAUACUUGGAAAUGUGGGGUACAUAGCUAAGAAGAUACCAAGACAACCACAAUAUGUUGUUGUGAAUUCAUAUAUGAUGAAACACUUAAUUGGAGUACAUUCAAAAGUUUUAAAGAGCCAUAUAUUUCUCGUACAAAUAUAUGAGAGGUACUCUUUAUUAGUAGAUAACGUAUGGUGAGUUUUAUCUUUCAUAUAUGAUGAUAGUAUUAUUUCAACUGUGAUACUUACCUUGAUAUGUUGAGAAGCGAUGUCUAGAGCUAUCCUAAUUAGACAUGCAUGCCCAAUAUGAAAUCCAGUUGGUAGUCUUAUAGAAGACUAACAUUGGACGGCAAAUGUUUUUAGAAUCUUUAUGCGGAAGAGAUCAGUUUAUCUGUGUUUAUAUGUGGCGAGUGGCGAUAGCCUACCAAUGAGCUUGAGCUGAAUGUAAAGCGAUAGCCUACCAAUGAGCUUGAGCUGAAUGUAAAUUUAUCUAGCAUAUAUGCAUCUGAUAUAAUAUUUUGAGAUACAAUUUGAAAUCAGUUUUGUUCUCACCAAUUAUGGUAUGGAAAUUAUAUGUAACCAUUAUGAUAUUAACACUUAGCUGGUGAGAUGUAAAAGAUUUGAACAGGUGUACCAAAAAGUUUCAUGGACCAUUGCAGAGGCAUAAUCUGAAUGCUAAAUAUCUUGAGCUACUAUAUAGUAUAUAUUAAUUUGAAUUAGCAGUAAUUAUUAUAUAGCUUAUGGUAAUGUUAUACGUGCAAAUGGCAUAUUAUGUUGAGAUGUCAUGCUUGGCAGAGAUAUCUAAAUUAAAUAGAUAUGUAGGUUCACUUUGAAUUGGAGCAUGAGUUGACACUCGUUGGAAAAGAUAUUUAAUUGAGGCUUAACAACCUCUGUGACGACCCGUCCCUAAUUUCCUAUGUAAUUUUCUCCCUAAGUGUGUAAAUUGACGUUUAUGUCCUUUUUGGUAAAAGUGGAAACUGACGUGGACAUACUUAUUCAGCUUUUAGUUUAUUUUCUCACUAUCAUAAUUAAAUAGUAAUCAUUGUUACGAUCGCGUGAGCGCGAAUUAGGCUCGAAUCAAACUUGUAACGAAAAAGUUACGCUUAAUUAAAGUGCGUUAACAACGGGUAAAUUUGUACACGUGUGUACUAAUAUUUCAAUGUUGGAAACACCGUUUUUGAUAGGGUACGUUAGAUUACAUCAGAUUUCGAAUUGUACAAUCUUAUCAUUUUUUUUUUCUCUUUAAAUCUGUCCCAUGACCCUAUCUCCCUCACCAAUCAAUUACUCUCCUCACUUUUCUCAGCCAAUCAGACAUCACUCCCUUUCUGUUCUCUCUACCCAAUCAUAAAGUCGUCUCUCUCUCUCUCUCUCAUCUUCUCCUUCUCUCUCUCUUCACUGUCACUCUCUAUUCUCUGCAACUGCAAGGACCACCUUUAAACCCUCGCAUAUCCAACUUAAAAUUACCACCAUCACACUCCCCUCAUCCUCACAAACUCAUCCGUACCAACUGAUCACGAAAUGGACCAAUUUUGAGUGUCUAACUCGGAGCAACUCGGAGCUCCGACUCGGGUGGAGUUUUCCCGAUGUGUUCCCAUGUGAGUUACAAGGUUUCGAGAGUUUUGGAAGCACCUACGCAACUCUCCGUGGCCACUAACCUAAUUUGGGAGAGAAGCCAAUGUCGGAAUACCCAGUUUCAAGGAGUCGAGUUUAGGUUCGAGACUUUCGAGCCAAUUUCAGUCUAUUUCCAUCCACUUUUUAGACUUUUGAAAGGUAUAAUCUUGUUCUACUCCUCAAGAGCUUCAUUUCUAUAUAAAGUGUGUCGAAAAUGGUUGAGAAAUGAACAAGAUAUGAAAAUUUGAAAAUUUUCCAGAAAUUGGUCAAAUUUUCCUAGUUUUCGAUGAACCAGACGGCGGCUGACGAUGACAACGGUGGCGGAGGUCCACCGGAGAAGAAUGAGGGAUAUUAUAUUAGACUAACAGAAUAUUCUAACACUGUUAAGGUAUUUAAGUGAUGCCGUUACAUUUAACAAAAUAUUUUGUCAGAUUUGACGGAAUAUUCCUCUGUCAGCCUAUCAGUUUGUCAAGCGCAUGGCCUGGGCAUGUGGCUGCGACCUAGUGGUGCGUGAAAGCGAGUCCGGCCAUCGGCCGGCAAGUGGUUGACAUGUAUGGGUCCGCGUCGUCGAGUAGAAUGUUUUAGUAUAUUUAAACCCUCCAUUUGAGCAAACUAUGAGGGGUUUUCCAAGCCUUUUCAUUUAUGUCCUUAUUAAUUAAUUAGUUUAGUUAUUUUGCACAUAGGUGAGGCUUAUCCUAAUGACGUAUGAGGUUAAGCAAGGCUAGGAGGCUACGAUCCUCGACGUAUCAGUGAGUGGGCAUUUGUGUUCGUGUAUAUAUAUAUAUAAACUUUAUAGUUUCCACAUAUGCUUUUGGAUUGAUUUAUGCCUAUCAUGCCAUGUUUUAUUUAAUUUUAGAAACGUUAUUACAUGGUUGAGAAUUAUACACUGUCAUGACAUGUUCAUAUGCAUUUUACUUGCUCAUCAUACAUUGCUACACUCGGUGUUAGUGCUAGCCCAGGGCCAGGCCCAAUCUUUCACUUGUAUGUUCACAUCCACACUGCACACUCACCUUGGAUCCCAGUAGGUGCCAGUCUUGUCAUACAGGUUGCAAUAGGCAACUCCAACUCGUAUAUGACAUGAAUAGCGCUAGUCUUCAUGUGAUUGUAGCACUAGAGCGUAUAUUAUGAUUACACCCAGUCAUGUUCAUGUCAGGAAUCCUCUGCAUGAACUCGUGUGUCAGCAUAGAUUGAUGAGCACCUGAUUUUAUUAUACUACUAUUGAGAUAUUGUGAUUUGGCAUAUUGUUGGAUUUACUGUUGAUUUGCAUUUGAUUUCAUACUUAUAUGUAGUAUGAUUUUCUAGAAACUAUACAUGUUUUACGGUGAGGGGUUAGUAUGUUCAGAAAAUAAAUGUGUGUUAUAAACCUUUGUUUUUUCCCACUCACUAUUUUGUUUUUCGCCCUUCCAGGUCCUAGUUAGCUUAUUUAUUCUGUGGUGUACGAGGAAUAUCUGGCGGUUCUGACAUAUCCAUAAAUAAUGUAGGGACUUUUCUUGGUUGUGUAUGAAGUACUUAACUAGUUUCGACUACACUACUUUGUCAUAUAUGCUCUGAACAUUUGUGCUUUAUGGGUUCUUCCCACUACUGCGCACUUGCUGCUUUAGAAUAAUUAAUUGUUAGUUUUGGUUUAAAUUUACUCUUAUUUUUCAUGCUUCACAUUCAUAUUUGGUUACGUCACCUUCAGGUGACGGCCAUCAUGCCUCGACUCCAAUCAGGUGUGUCAACCUCUUUGUUAUAUCCCAUUUUAUAUGGAAGAGACCAACUUUUUUUGAGUAUUAUUGUGAUAUCCCACUAUUUGUGGAAGAUACUAGUUGGUUCAUUGUGUGUGAUAUCAUAGCUAUAAGGGCAUUAAGCUAAAUGACUUAUGCAUAAUAUUUGUGUCACACCUCGAUCCCGACAUACGUCCUGGAUCGACACGCGACAUCACCAAAUACUCGUAUAUCUAACAUACCCAUCUUUGAGAUAUGAAUAAAGCACCACUCAAGGUCCAAAUUGCGUAGUAUACUUUAUGGCUACAUCUAACCUCUUUGUUAGACUACCUACGUACCCUCAAUAGGGAUCAAGUCAUUCGUAGUACAACUUCGCUAUAACUCGACAUAUAACACAGUCUGUUCAAGCCAAAAGGCAUAACAUUCCUCAAUCAAACAAACAUUUGGAUAUGACGAGCAUGAAUUAUUCGAUUCAAACUACAUAACAACCCGCAUGACAAUCAAGGUUUCUAUUUCAUCCAUUAUAUAAAUCAUUAUGUUUUCAACAUAAUAUCGCAAUCCAGGCAUGUAACAUAUCAAGGAUCAACCAAGCACAAUAUUUUUCUCUAGUUACAUUCAUUAACUAAUCUAAUCGUAUUAAUAACAACUAUAUCCAACGUCAUUCCACAACCCCGUCAAUUAAUCAAUUCAUGAAUUAAAGAUGCACGAUUUUAACUUUUAACUAUAUUAAUCAACCAAUGAGAUAACAUACCAUUUCACCAAUUCAAUUAGAGAACUCUGUAUAAUUCUCUACUUAGGUUAUGAGUAAUAACAUGGUAUAUAAAUUCACAAGGUCUAUUAUGGGUAAUUCUCAUUCACUCGAAUUUAGGGUUCUAGACUAAUCUUAUGGGCAUGAGCAAAAGCAAGGAUUCCGGACCACUCAACGGAAUCCAACAACAUCAGGUUCCAGACCCCUCAACGGAAACAAAAAAUCAAGUAUAGAAUCAUGCUUUAUGAAAUCAUAAUCAAGUCACUGAAAACUGCGAAGGAGUCACCUAGACAUCCAACGGCUUUUAUAAUUCAAACCACAAGAUUCCCAAAAACCAUUAUUCAUAUGUACAUUAAAAACGAGGCUAGAGGGACGCAAUUCGACCAAACCUUACACCUCUGAAGCUGAAAACAAAUCCAAGGAACCAAGACACUAACAGGAUUUUAGACCAUCACUCAACAGAAUCCAAACCAGGAUACGAUUCCGGAUCAUCACUCAACGGAAUCGCGAAGUAGAAGGGAUUCCUAACCAUCACUCAACGGAAUCCACAUUAAAUUAUGAUCGCCUAUCAAAAUGUACCAAGCACAACUAAUCAUCAUCCCCUCUAAAAUGCGUAUGGUCCUCUAUCGCGGAUAUACCAAGCAGAACCAUUGGCAUAAUAUCUUCGUGCAGGCAGUGAUCACCCAUCGCGGAUAUACCAAGCAUGAUCACCCCUGAAUACAUAUGAUCCCCCAUCGCGGAUAUACCAAGCAGGAUCAUCUAUAUACCUUUGCUAUAUGGGGCAGUUAGAUCAACACACAUACCACUUACCCUUAUCUCAUCCGCUAUGAUUUACAUCGGAAUCACUUGCACUAUCAACUUCUCAUGACCACUAUCUUAUCAUACAAGCAUAAAAGUUAUACAUAAUACUUCUCAUAAGAUUUUGGGUUCACAUCGUCAUAAAAACAAUCAUACACAUCAUACUAACCAUACAUAUCUAACCACAUUUCAUAAAUGUUUCCAAGCUACAGUUGAUUCACAAUUUAGAAACAUAGAUCGAUGCUUAAAAUAAAAAUAACCAUUCAAUAGAAAGCACAUUUAAUAAACAAGUAUAACUCAAUAUGGUGCCACUAAUACAUAUAUCGAGACACACUUCAACUAAGAAUGACACAUCAUUGAAAUGAGCCAACUAAGCUCCAUCAAGCCUCAACAACUCUAGAAAUAAGCGACACUCUAGAGUAGAGCACGUUGACUAGAACAUCAACCGUCGAUAAGGUAGGUCCAUUAAGGUCAACAACCUAAGGUUAUUCAAUCCGGAAGAUCCACACAUCGGAUUUCUGAUAUGUAAGUUCUCAAAGGUCCAACAACUGAUAACUAGGGUGUUCACAAAAUUGUACGACGAACCAAUGAUCGGAUUGUCAUCAAUCACACAAACAAGUGGCGGUCCAAUUUGAUCACUACACCAAACAAUUUAAUUUUGGGAAAUCGAGCUAGACAUAGAUUCACAGUGUCCCGAGAAGGUAUUUGGUACUUAAACAACACUCAUGGGCGGUCUCACGCACCGCCACAUGCAAUGGUAGCCAUGGUGAAGGGUUUGAAAACUCAAAUUUUCAACCUUAACCCAAGAGGCUCAUAUUCACGUGGUAACUAGAGCUCAAAUUCACAGGGUCCCGAGAAGGUAUUUGGUACUUAAACAACACUCAUGUGCGGUCCCACGCACCGCCACACGCAAUGGUAGCCAUGGUGAAGGGUUUGAAAACUCAAAUUUUCAACCUUAACCCAAUAGGCUCAAAUUCACGUGGUAACUAGAGCUCAACAAGGGAGACAUUAUUCACAACUAGACCAACGACAAAUUAUAACUGGAAACCACCCAAAUUCUUCGAGGAAACCGGGUUUCGAGGGUUUUAAACACCCAACUCUAAAAUGAAUAAGAAAGCACGAACCAAGCAUACCAACUUGAAGAUUAUGAAGAGUAGAAGUUUCAUACCUCACUUGAAGGAAAUGGUUGCCGGAAUUGCCAGAAAAAUGACAAAACCGUCGGAAAACCCACGGGACUUUGCUGCCUGGAACUGGAAAAAUGGAUAAGAAAAUGGAAAAUUUAACACUACAGAGUUGUAAGGCUCGUCAAGAGCUUCCCAUGGACACCAAGAUUACCCAAAACGGAGAUCGGAUGAAGGAGAUACAAGCGGGUCAAGUUUGUGGUUUAAUGGGUCAAAAACGCCCCAAAACGGGUCAAAAAUCAGACCCCUCUCCCUUUUUUUUUUUUUUUUUUUCAGAAAACCUUCCCCUUUUUAAACUCACUUAACCUUUAACCCACAUGUGGGAAUUAAAUAACUCCCACAAUCUAUAGUUCACAACUUCAAACGUUCGUAACUAUACCAUUAUAACUCGGACUCGCACACGGCUUUCGCCCAUGCGCUGGUGGCUUCGAGAUCUAUUCGAAAACGUUACUUGUGACCUCAAAAUGUCAACGAAUUUUAAAUAAUUAUUUUUCAAACUUCACUCUUCGUAACUAGUUUAAUUAAAAUCUAAAUCCAAACAAUUUAAAAUAAAUUCUUGAGAAAUAAUAUAAAAUCUCAAUAGUACAAAUACGUAGAUUAUAACAGUAAAAUCCGGGAAUGGGAUUUCACAAUUUGAUAUAAUUGUUUUAAGGUUAGAAAUGGAUCUAGCUUAUCCUCUGACAAAUCCACUAAGCUAAAUGCUUGUGAUGAAUAUUACAUUGAGGGGGAUAAGACUUAUGCUUAUAACAUUGAUCAAGAUUGAUGGUAACCCAACCUAUGUGAAUAGAGAUCCUAAGAAGUAGGUUCAUAUGGGUAAGAACAAGUCAUUUAUUGAUCGGGCAUGCACUAUCGUUUAUAUCAAAUGUUAUUAUUAUCAAGAGUUUAUCCUUAUGGUGUAGAUAGUGCAAUUAAUGUAGCGUGUGAGGUAGAACUUAUGUUCUAAAUGAAUACCAUAGCCUAUAUAUGAGUGGUGUGCUUGACUGUAGUGCACACUUGAUGUAUUCACCUGUAUAAGUGUGGGAGUGGGGCCGCUUCCUAUGAGAGCUUAGGCUGGUUCUCUAGAGCAUUCAUGAAUAUUCAGGUGGGCGCAUGGCCUAUUCACACCAACCCAUUGGUACAUCCUUGGCCUCAUUAUUGUCUAUCCACGAUGUUCGAUGAGGGGGAGCGGCAUAAAUGAAUUACUAGGGUCAAAAUUUGCAAAUAUGCACCCAAUGUACACCACCUUCUUUUCGUAGAUGAUAGUUUCAUCUUUGCUCGGGCUACCUUUUAGGAAUGUGUUCAGGUGAAACUUUUGUUAUAAAUGUAUGAAAAAGCAUCUGAGCAAACUAUUAAUUUUUUGAAGAGUUGUGUGGCUUUCAAUGGGAAUAUUAAUGAAUAUGAUGGCCAGUUACUGUUAGAUUGUCUUGGUGUGGCUAGGGUAAAAUAUCAUGAUCGUUAUCUUGGUCUUCCGAUAUUUAUGGGGAAGUCGAAGAAAGCCACCUUUGCGUAUAUAAAGGAUAGACUUCGGAAAAAAUUGAAUGGGUGUCAUGAAAGUCUCCUUGGUAGUGCGGGUAAAGAAAUUUUGAUUAAAACCGUAGGUCAAGCGGUUACGUUGUACAUGAUGCAAACCUUUUUUCUUCCGAAAUCGUUUUGUGUGAAGUUAAAUCAAAUGGUAGCCCAAUUUUGGUGGGGAAAGGAGAUGGGGUGUCGCCAUAUUCACUGGUUAUGUUGGAGAAAAUUAUGCAAACAGAAAAGUGAAAGGGGUUUGGUUUUAAGGAUUUAUAUGCGUUCAAUUUAGCUUUGUUAGCCAAGCAAGGUUGGCGGAUUAUUUAACAACCACAAUCCCUCUCGGAGAGAAUUUUUAAAGCUAAGUAUUUCCCUUCAAAUGAAGCUUGGCCGCUGCUCGUUGUGUGCUGCGGACGAGUACAAGAUGAAGGGUUGGGGACGGCUCAAAGAUAUGUAUUUGGGGGGAUGGAUGGCUGCCUAGACCAACUUUCUUCAAGGUUCUUAGUCCUACACUGAUUGGGAUGGAUUGAACCACAAAGGUUAGUGCUUUAAUUACUAACGAUGUAUCAUGAAACAUGGAGCUCAUACAACAGAUGUUUUGCGAAGAGGAGAUGAGUUUAAUCACUCGAAUCCCUUUGAGUUAUUUCUAUGCGGAAGAUAGAUUAAUCUGGAAUGUAAAGAAAAAUCGAAGUUUACAACUCGAAGUGCUUACCACAUCGCAAGGGUGUGUUGGGAAGUGAGUGGAAAUGAAACUAGUGGGUCAAUCAUGGCUCGGAGAUUAAAUUCUUAUGGAAACCUAUAUGGAGAGCUUGGAGACGUAGUAUGAAUGCCUUGCCUAUGAAAGAUAAUCUCUCGAAAAGGAAGAUGAAUGUGGAGCCUCAUUGUCUAUUUUGUGAAGAGACUAUUGAAACGGUUGAAAACUUGAUUUGUGUUUGCUCGAGAGCUAGUGCGGUGUGGUUUUCCAGACCUUUGGCAAUUCAAGGCCGAAAGAACCACAUGGAGAACUUCCUGGAGUGGGUUGCUGAUCUUGCGGGGUCGCUAUCUAGAGAAAGCUUUGAUCUCGCUUUAAUGCUAAUUUGGAGUUUAUGGACAGAGCAUAAUUCAUUAAUCUGGCAAGGUAAAGCUUUGAAUCCUUUGGAGAUUAACUGUAAAAUGCUAGCGUGGCUGCAGGAAUUUCAUAAAUGGCAUGGGCGGGACAAAAAAUCCAGAGUUCAUAUGGUGCGGCCAUGGAGUCCAUCGACAAAUGGAUGGGCUAAAGUUAAUUUUGAUGAGGCUUGGGAUGAGGAUACGGGGACUGGUGGUGUGAGGGUUAAGAUAAGAAGUGUAACGGUAAGUUCAUGGCGGCACUGGCUAUGAAGUUGGCUUUUAUUGAGUCAGCUUUACUGGCAGAUACGUGGCAGCAAGGGAAGGUGUUGUAAUGGCCUCCCAGGCAGUACUGGCACAUGUGGAAUUCGAAGGUGAUGCUUUGAUGGUUAUCAAGGCUUUACAACACGAGAGAUUUGAUGAUAAUUCGCUUUUUGGGCACAUUAUUGCUGACACGUGAAGGAUGAUUGAUAGCUUCCCUACAUCCAAGGUGAUGUCUAGUAAACGAAUGACAAAUAAGGUGGCACACAUAUUAGCUAGAGUGCGCUUAACGACUAACUUAAAGCUUAUUUGGCUUGGAGAACCACCUGAUGUAAUCUUAGAUCUCUCAUUGAGGAAAUAACUUAAUUUUUUGGUGCGGGGCCCCAAAUUGGCCCAAGGGUUGGGAAAUGGGGGGAAUAGAAGGUAAAUUUUAGGACCUACUCCAAGGGUUGGAGUUGACAUCCGCCACACAGGGUAAACUAUUGCCUCUCAAGCCCCUGACUGAUUCUACCAUAGAGGUCAAUGAUAGAUAAUAACUCCCCCUAAACACAGCUUAUAACUUUCAUUGUACUGUGCUCUCCAAAGAGCAACUCUUCUCAAAAUCUCAAAAGGAAAGGUUGAAAUUGGUACCAGGUGGAAUGUCCUACAACAAAAACUUAAAACCAACUAUACUGACUAGUCAGACAUACUAAUCAACUGAGUACAGAUUGUUAGAAGCCCACAAACAUAUAAACCAAACUAACUUAAAAGGUUAAAACUUAGCAAUGUGAGCCUCAAUUAAGUUUUAGUCUUAGUACUUGAGUUAAGUUCACUUGGUUAAUAAAGUGUCAAUACUAGCAAACCCUACAAUUUUUAACUCCAACAAGGGUUAUAAACAAAACUUUGUAAAGUAUUAAAUACAAGGAAGUUUUUGGCCGGAAAAACCCACCUCUGGGUUAAAAAAUGGGGGACUCUCCACUGAGUCCAAUCCAUUAGCGUAAACAAAGGUUCAUACAAAUACCACACAAGCUCAAUUCCUAGAUCCCUAUCUAUGGAGCAGCUUCACCUUUGUGCAAAUUUGCCUUAUAUGAGAUGGACUUCUUCAGUCUUCAUGAAGUGGCAACUCCUCCUAAGCUCAUCACCUUGUGGCACCGAGAUCGACACGAUCAAUGAUGUGAUAUGAUUUUAUGAUAUGCACAUGAGAUCUAAAUUCAACUGACUAGUCAGAUUCUUAAGUUCAAAUAGUUGAAGAAGAACAUAACAUAAAUAUGAGAGAUUGGUCUAUGAAGGAUAUAAAACUUAGGUUUAGACCAAAAGCUUAAUGCAAAAUCAUUAAAACAAUGCAACCCUAAUAUGCAAUGAUUGGAUGUUUGUGCAUGGGAUGGUUUUGUGGCUAGGGUUUCUGUAUGUAAGCUUAAGAGGUAACUCUACGCUAAAUGCACUCUUUUUGAAAUGUGAAUAUCCUAGCAAAAAUUAAAAAAAAUGAAUCCUUGAAAGCCCCUUUAAUGGAAAAGCUGGAUAUUUCAGACAAGAGAGGACAAUAAGACAUGUGUCACAAGCCAAAGAGACCUUUCCAGAUCAACGGUAAGAGAUCCACACAUUGGAAAAGAUGUUAAAUGGCCCAUGUGGGCUGUCUUAGUUUGCAUGCCUAGACAGUUGGAUAGCAUAAGGAACUUCUGACUAGACAACUACACUAAACAAAAGGAAUCUGAAAAACUAAGCUUGAUAUGAAAAUGAAAAUGUAUGAUUCAAACCUUUUGCAGUGAAGAAGGUUGGAUCUUGACAGGUUUAAUCCUAAUAGAAAUCCCAGAUCAGGAUUAUACCCUAACUUUAAAAUAUGAGUAUGUGUGGUAGCAAUUACAAGUUUUGACAAGGGAAACCAAACAAUAAAACUAGUACUUCAAAAGGGUGAUGUGUUGGAAUCCCAUUCUAACUAAGGAUUCUUGUAGUUCCAAAGGAUCUAGCUACAUGAGAACCAUGACUCAAUGUCAGUCAAAUUAGUCAACAUUUAUAUGUUUUGAAGCAAGAACAAUAUGUUAUUUGCAACAAAUAGUUUUGUUGGUUUGUUAUUUGGUCACAUUUUAUUCAUGAAAUGAGUUGGGUUGGUAUUAGGUUGGAUACAAAUAAGAAUUACUUAGAAGUACAUUUAGUGCAACAACCCUUCCUAUCUGAUAGAAAAGGAUCCCAUGAUCCUGAACUGAUCUUAUUAAGGAUUGCAAACCCAAUAUGCAUUAGAAUCCCCGAUUCAUGGAUCUUUCGAUUCGAGAAAUAAAAAUAAGAGGAUCGAACCAUUUCUUCUGACUCUUUUUUCAAAUUUGAUAAAUGUUAGUUGAUCGUAUAUUUCAUUAUAGUUAUAUGAUUCAGAGUAUCAUUUCCUAUUUGAUCCCUUUAAAUCCCAUAUUCGAAGUUGCAACCAGAUCUACUCAUUAAAAAGAAUCGAGUCCAUACAUUCUUAUGUACCCAUAUGUGCUACAUUGGACUUGAAUUAGAUUUCGAAUCAAUCUAUAUAGAUUGACUGCCUCUGAAGUUAGCUUGGUUCCAAGAUGUUGAAUCUAUGUUGAAUCACCAUUUAGCAUGGCUACCAGGCCUUGGUUCUCUUUCUUGGGCGGGGCAUCAAGUACAUGUAUCUUUACCAAUUAACCAAUUUCUAAAUGCUGAAGUAGAUCCUAAAGAGAUUCUGCUCCUUCAUGAAUUUAUCUUGAAUCGGGAUCUUUUGGCUCAACUUCAUCCCAAUUUUGCUAAAGCAACAACCUUAUUUUUCACCUUGAAUUGGUCAAAAUAUGCAGAAUUUCUUACUUUUCGUGGAGGAUUAGAUCCAAUAAUUGGAAGUUUUUGGCUGACCGAUAUUGCACACCAUCAUUUAGCUAUUGCGAUUCUUUUUCUGGUAGUGGGGUCACAUGUAUAGGACCAACUAGGGCAUUGGUCAUGGUAUAAAAAUAUUUUAGAAGGUCGUAACGGCCCAUUUAUGGUACCAACUUUCAUUGUUCACACAUCACAUGUGGAUUCGUCAUAUAUGUGUGUGUGUGUGUGUGUGUGUGUGUAUUUGAAAUAUGGUCCUUCACAUGAGGCCAUGAUGUUAUUGGAAUUUGGGGGAAUAUAACGACGGCAGUUAUAAAAUUGAAGAAGAAGACUACAAUAUUCUCUAAGCAGAAAGGGAAAUAUAGGGAUUUAGUGAGGAAGUAAGAAUACAGUUAUGACGGAUAUUCAAAGAAGACAUUUCAAAUCAUCCCACCGUUGAAUACGGACCAAUUCACCUCGGAAUCAGCGGAUCGGACGAUUGUGUCUUUAGAGCAUAAUAUCGGAGGUAAUUUCUUGUUUAUUUCUUGUUUUUCGUGCACACACAACAAGCGCAUAGCGCAUAACAUCAUCAUUACAUGAUUUAUGGCACAGAGCUCAAGGCUACUCAUCCAAAUCAGGGAUUUCAACAUAAAAAUGCAUCAUUACAUUAAUAUCAAAGACUUCAAUCAAACACUGAAAAUCAACAAGGUUUCAGUAAAAAAAACAUUGAUAGUUAGGAACCGCAUCCAAAGUUCACUUUAAAAAUUUUCCUUUAUUCAUCAGCAUCAUUGUCGGAAAUCAUGCAAGGUGUGCAUAGCACAAAUUUUAUUGCCAACCAUCCCAAAACUAGGAGGAGGACUGGAAUAGAGUUACUUGUACAUGGAAAAUAGAAAGGAACACUUAUUUGUGAAUACAAAUCCACAUCCUUAACAUUUUAUUCUCCAAAUUUAAGGAAAUACUUGAAUAACAGAUUGGACAGUGCGAGUAGGUGUUAUAGUGUGCCGACUAAAACCAGCCUCCCGGAUAACAUACUCCCAUUCCUUGGCGGUCCUUUCUUUGCCUUUGGUACCGUUCAUCAUCGCAAUGUCGAGCAUCAAUUUCACUCGUGUUAGCUUGUUGUAAUCUUUCUCAUUGUCUUCAACUACAGCAUCUAUGAUUAUCACCUUCCCUUUGUCAUUAGGAAUAGCUUCGCGACAAUUCUUAAGGAUACUGAUGCACUCCUCGUCAGUCCAAUCAUGAAGAAUCCACUACUCAUCACACACAUAAAAAAAAAUAAAUAAAUAAAAACUGUCAGAUCUAGCCUGGCUCUAAAUUAUAAGGGUAAAUCUCAGUUUACUAUCCUUAUAUUUCGUGGUUUUCAACAUUUAGUAUAUCAAGUUUUUUUCGUCCUACAGUCAUACUUAAAGUGUUAAUUUUUAGACAGUCUCAUACAUCCGUUAAUCAAACUGUUAAGUCUGCCGUUAACUAAUAAUGUGGCGCCUAUGUAAACAAUAACUAGACGCUACGUGUUAUUAAGGGUCUACGUGAAAUUCUUUUUCUUAGAAGGGGUUCAUAAAAAAAAAAAAAAAAAAAAAAAAAAAAAACCUCGUCUUCUACCUCCCCCAACUCCCCGCACCCUCUCCCUCCCUUCUCUUCUGCAACCUACACCAUCCUCCCUUCUCUCCUCCUUCCUCCCUUAUCCCUCCAUUCUCUCCUCUGCACCAAACCCUCAUCUCUUCUUCUGCAAACCGAGCUCGAAAUCAAGUAAUCGAAAGCUCUGGUUCCUAAAACUGCGGCAACCAUGGCUUUAUCUUCAUCAUCCCAAACCCCUCCUCCUAAACCCAUCUCAAUCUUCAUCUCCAAAAUCCAGAAAAAUCAACAACCUUACAAAAUUCGAGCUAAAACUUUCAAAACCCAGGUCAAAUCUCAGCCCCAAAUACCCCCUAAACCAUAAAAAAAUCCCAACUUUUUUUACUAAAACCAAAAUUUAUACAUUCAACCAAAUCAAACACUCCCACCAGGGCCACAAUUUCAGAUCUCAAAAGCCGAUAAUUCUAAGUAAAAUAAAAACCCAGAAAAAAUACAACAAAAUAAAUCCAGAACACACAAAGGGUUAGGAGAAAACUAUACACACAAGCUUCGGCAAAACAAAUGGGAUCAUGAAGAGAUGAUUGCUCAAGGCAGCGAAAAAAGGAGAGUGCUGGGCCCUGAUUCAGAGAGGGAUGAGUACUCUGGCUUAACUGGUUGGGAUUGGAAAUUGAGAUGAGAAAUGAAGGAAUCUGUGAAGGUGAAGUCUCCUAAGAGGUGUUGGCGGAUAAGCUUAAACCGACGAGACCACAGAAAGGUACUCGAGUUUGGCUAGGGACAUUUGACGAGGGGGAAGGAGGUGGGUCCCGCUAAUCUGGAAGAAGAGGUGGCCGGAGGGUGAGGUAGUAGAGGAAGGUUGGGUGGGACGCGGAGGAAAGAAGGGAGGAGGGGAUUGAGGACGGAUGGGCGGAUCAAUCUUCCUCUGGGAGGAAGACGAGUAACAAAAAGAUUUUUAUUUUUAUUUUUUUUGUCAUAAUUUUAACGUAGACCCCAUAAUGACGCGUGAUGUUCAGUCAUUGUCUACAUAAACGCCACGUCAUUAGUUAACAACAGACUUUACAGGUUGACUAACUCAUGUAUGAGACUGUUCUAAAAUUAACGUUUUAGAUAUGAUUCUGGGAUGAAAAAAACUUUAUAUACUAAAUAUUCAAAACCAUGAAAUAUGAGGAUAGUAAACUAAGAUUUAUCCAAAUUACAAUAAAGUAAAGGAGUAGUGCUUGAGAAACCACAAUUUUUGUAUGCACAUUAGUUUUUUUGAUUUCAUAGAUACUUACCAUCAUAACUACAGCAUCAGCCUUUGGAAUACAUUUGAAAAAGUCACCUCCAAUUUUCUCAAUGCGAUCGCACUCUGGAAUAGUAGACACAACAUGAGGAAGAUCAAAGAUAAUGCCCUUAGUAAUCCAAGGGCAGGCCUCAACCAACAAACGCGCCGUGGUCCCAUUACCCCCACCAGCAUCUACUAUUGUCUCAAUCCCUUUGAACGCCUCUGGACAACUUUCAAGCGCUGCAGGCACAGCUAACCUUGCAUCACAGGCCAUUGAAUCAUUGAAAGCCUUGCCGUGAUCAGGGUUUUCCGCACCGUAGUUCCAUAGGUCACUGCCAUGUACUUCAUCAAACACUGCAUCACUAGUGUUUCUUUGAACUUGGGUACUCAGGCGUAGAUAUGGUGCCAUCAUUACCGGAUUACUCCCCAUCAAGAGCAAAUCCACCAUGCUAUUUUCUGCGGAUUUUAGUAGCCGGCGAGACAAAGGUGUUUGUGCAUAACCAUUGGAGCCUGAUUGGGUGGGUUUUUCUUUGAAUAUUUUGCGGUGGACUAGUACCCUCAUGAUUCGGUAAAGGUGAGAAGGAUCACAACUUAGAGCAGUUGAGAGCUCUAAGAGUGUCAUGGGGCUUCCAUGGUUUUCAAUUGCUUCAGCUAUUCCGAGGUCAAUGGCACAUCUUACCACCGCGAUUUCAGUAAACCCGAACACAUAUUUCCACAUCUCCGCUGUGGCCCCUUCCUCUUCCUCUUCCCAUGUCAACUCUCUUUGUUUCUCUUCCAUCUUUUGUGUGUGUUUCUCAGGCUCUAAGCUAGCACUAUAUAUACACACAAUUUACUGGAAGAGAUUAGAGUUGAAGCUUUGAUGAAAUACAUAUGUUCAACACUUACGAAAAAUCAAACACUUCCAUUGUGAUUUCAAAUAUUCAACCACCCAAUUUCAAUGUGUAUUAAAGAAGACUUUGUCUAUUACUGAUUAAUAUCGUAUUGAUUUUUUUUAGUACAUCUAUAUUUUUACACUAGAAGAAGGGAAACUUUAGUUAAACUACACAAUGGACAACCUAAUUUGGUAACGAAUUCGCCAUUCACGAAAUUCGAACUUAUGACCCCUCACUUCUAAAUGAAGAUGAAUACUACCGUAAUACUGAGUGGUAAUAUCCUAUUGAUUUUAGGCAAAGACUUUUCGAAGGAUGCCUAAAGUCCGAAGUAGUAACAUCAGGACGAUGGAGUCGAAUUGUCAGAACGUUUGUGUCCAAGAUCAGCUCGAAACUAAAAAAACAAUAUAUAUAUAUAUAUAUAUAUAUAUAUAUGUAUGUAUGUAUUGAGACGGAUAUUUUGGGAGUUUAAUCCAACUUUUUAGUGAGGUACUCUCUGUCUGUAUUUAUUCUAUCAGUUGCUCUCAUUUUCUCUUCCAAAUAAAUCAUUUUUAAUGAUAAAAUAAAGGAAGUGUUAUUGGUACUUUAAAAAAAUUAUUCUACAAUCAUCAUAAAUGUAUUUUUCUUUUUAAAUAUAGAAAGUUUAAAAUGUAGAAUGUGAAAUUUGGAAUGUCAGUAAUAAUUCUCUAAAAUAAUUAUCCAAAAACUCUUUCUUUCUGCCACCUAUUUUACCGUAAAACACUUUCUUUUUUGCUCAAAUGAUACCCUAAAUUCUAAAGUAGAUAAAAGCGAAAAGUGAAAGUCGAAUUCUUGAUUUACAUGUUUUAAGUGUUUUUACUCCUCAAGUUUUUAGUCUCAUAGUUGGAUAAGUGGUUUUGUAAAAUUUAUUUUAAAACUUUUCCCUUUAUUUAUUAGCAUCAUCGCAUGCAAUUAAACUCCAUAUUUGAAUAGCACUAUAUUGCCCAAAAACAUGCCCAUUUAGAUUAGAAAGUCUCAUAACAGCCACAACAAGUUUCACAAAUUUUCAUUGCCAACCCGCAAAGCAGACUACACAUAGAAAGACAAAAGGACCACAAAGUAAAUUUAAAAUUACAACGAAACACUUAUUCGAGAAUACAAAUUCACAUCAUUAAGGAAAAACUUGUAUAACAGAAUAUUGGAUAGCAGGAACAGGUGACAUUGUGUCCUUAUGAACAGCUUCUCGGCUCUUUUCAAGGAUACAACUGCAGUCUUCGUCACCCCAGUCAUAAAGAACCCCCUACAAUCAACCAAAUUGUCUGUGUAUUAGAGCAGUUCCACCAUGGGCUAUUGCCCGGUGGACUGGCAAUGGAACAGGGCCAGAGAGCCUGAGUGACUUGGUCCAGCGUGUGCUGGCGAUGGAGCCCGAGCGGGCCUGAGGGAGAGGCCCCGCACGAGUUGCCAGCCCGAGAGCCCGAAGGCAACGUGACGCAAGGUUGACGUCUGGGCGACGUCAGCCACAUUUUUUAUGUUUUUUGCGUCAGGCGAGUGCUCUUCAAGCACACAUGGGCACGCGUCUUCCAACAAUAUUUUAGACAUGGGGCCUGCAGUGCAUUUUACAAAUGUUACCAUUGGGGAGGCCACGUGGCUUCUCCUCGUCCGUUGGAUUUCAACGGCAACAAUUUAUGGACAGUUGCAUUUCCAACGGUAAAAAAAAAUUAAAAACUUUAUUUAAUUUCAGCAGUUGGAUCUGAGAUCAACGGUCCAAGUUAUUCGUCUUUAUAAAUUAAAAAAAACUGUUUAAAAAUCAGAAAUAUUACCGUUGUGCCACAUGGCACAAUCUGAAGUGUUGGAAUUCAAAAUUUUUUUAAUCCAACGGCAGAGAUUAAUUAGGUGAAUAAAAAAAUUUUAAAUGUAAAAAAUUAAUAAAAAUCCAAAAAAAAAAUUUGAAAAAUUAAAAAAAAAUUGAUUUUACUUUUCUAUAAAUACUUUCUCAUUAUCUUCUACCUUACACCACAAUUUCAUAUUUUCUCAACUACUUUCAACUACAUUCCUAUCUUUCUCUCAAAGUUUCAAUCCAAUUUUUUUUCCAACAAAAUGACUACUGAUGCAGGUAUGAAUUGGACGCUUAUUGAAGAUGUUGCGUUGUGUACUAGCUGGGUUGAAGUUACUCAUGAUCUGAUUACGGGUAAUGAGAUACAGUUGCGAGAAAUGUGGAGUCUUAUUUAUACCAAUUUUCUUGAGAAAAUUAGUGGGAAAAUAACCAAAGAAUCGAUGUCCAGUCGUUGGAAAUUACUUGGCCAAUCGUUUAGUACGUGGAGAGACGCCUUGGCACAAGCUAGUAGUAAUCUUCAAAGUGGGGAAAAUUUAGCAGAUCAGGAAAACCUCGCAUCUCGCCCUUCUUCAGAAGCCUUUGCAAGUCCAUCUCAGUAGGCCUCCGGAGGUACUCUGUGGUGUAGAUAGAUUCGAUUGCUCUGCAAAACCUCAUCAGGGACUCAAGAAUGGUUGAUUUCCCCAUCCUCGCUAUCUCAUCCACUUGGUAUGCAGAUACUCCAUAUGCAAGCAUCCGCAAGGCAGCAAUAAUUUUUUGCUCAGAAAUGAGACCCAUAACACCAAAAGUAUCAUUCUUUUGUACAAAGUAAGAAUCAUGGUUGCAAACAACAAUCAUGAUUUUGUUGAACAAAUGUUGUUCCAUUCUAAAACGACGUCUAAAGUACAUAUCAGGGAAUGCACUGUUACAGACAAAAUAAUCGUCCAAGAGAUCCGUACCUCAUCAUUGCCUGCUUCUAUCAAGGUUUGCGAAAUGGCUUGGCCUGCAUAUCUGAGCCACAACUUGGAUGACUCGACUGGAAUGUGAAGCUCUUGCCAUUCUUGCUUCGUCAUCUCUCCUUAUACGCUCAUCAUCCUCUUCCAUCUCAUUUUGGGCCACCUGGAGAUUGAACGUUCCUUCUUAUUGGUUAAACAAUUAUUCCUCUUGCUGAUUGAUUUCCCACGUCAUCUUUAAAGAAGAAGACAUUGUAAGAAGGAAUGAGAAACUAUGAAUAAUGAUACAUAUUUUGAUUUUGGUGAAGAAGAAAGCAAAAACUAUGAAUAAUGAUAGAGAUCUUAAGAAAAUUGGCGUGAGAUUUCUGAGGAUGGAUGGUGGAUUAUAUGGAGGAUUCAUAAGGGAUUAUGUUGUAGAUAAUGCCAUAUGGAAUGCCAUCAUUCGUUAAAAAUCUGAUCAAAAUCUAUCCUCAAAGAUGGUAAACAGAUUGUGACACGUGACGCAACGUGAUUGGUUAAAAAUAUUAUUGAAAAUCUAUCCUUAACGAUUCUGAAAAAGUAACGACACGUGGCACGGCGGCAUUGGAUAAAAAUCUUAUCGAAAUCUAUCACCAAUAAUUGUCUUUUCGGAUAAUGACACGUGGCGCAACGAGAACGAUUAAAAAUCUUAUCCGAAAUUACAAAUAAAAUUAUUUUGUAUUAUUUUAUAAAUAAAAAAAUACUAAUAUUUUAUUGCCUAUUACCAGGGCUAUUCAGUGUAAGGGUGGAGAUGCAAAAAGUUGUUAUUGUUCAUUAAGGGCAGUUACUGUUCACUUGGUGGAUUAAAUAGUGAAUAGCCUUGGGGACCUUAGCAACGAUGGAGUUGCUCUUAUAAGGCAUUCUCCAACCCUGGGAUAAAACUCAAAUUUCCACUUCUAUUCCCCCCCAAAACUCAACCCAACCCAAGGCUAAAAUGUGUCCUAAACCCUAAAACUCAAAUGGAAGCUAAAUUUAGCCCAUGAUUAGUGGGGUUGACUCACCAUAUAUGUAUAUUUUAUUUAGUUUUAUAUUUAUAAAUUCAUUGAAUCCAAUGGUUAAGAUCUAAUAUGAUAAAAUUCAAUGGUAAAAAAAAAUAUUUAACGGUCCAAAUUUAAAUCUAACGGCUAAAAUAAUUAUAAAAAAAAAUCUUUUAUUUGUUUCAUAUUUUUUUCAUAGUGUUUAACGAGUUUCAUGGUGUCGGUUAGUGAUUUUUCAAUAUUUGUCAGAAUCUAAAUAUUUUUAGGCUAAAAUGUUCAUAAAAUUAAAUUAUGAUGGUUUACAUAAUUUUUAUUUUAUAAAAAAAGUUACUUUAACAAAAACAAUUGUCGAAAUUCAUUCUUUAAUAAUCUGAGGCUAAAAUUUUAGACCAAAAAGGUUGGAACAAAAAAACUGUUUCUGGGCUAAAAAUUUUAGGUUUUAGGUCAAAGGUUGGAGAUGAUCUAACAUGUGAUUUUGUUGAGCAUGGAAACUUAUAGAAAGUUAAUAAGAGAAAGACAAUAAAGUAACUGCUGGAGGAACCAAUUUUUCAUAAUCACAUUAGUUUUGUUGAUUUCAUAUGUUCAACACUUGUGAAAAAAGAAAAAUCCAUCACUUUCAUUGUGAUUGCAUCAAAGAUUCAACUACCCAAUUUUCAAUAUGUAUUAAAGAAGAUUUUGUCUUAUUUACGGGAUUAACAUCCUAUUGAUUUUAGACGAACACUUUUCUUAGGAUGCCUGAAGACCGAAGUAGUAACGUCAGGAUUUAGGUGUCGAAUAGUCAGACCUAUUGAUUUUAGGCGAUGACUUUUCUUAGUAUCCUGAAGACCGAAGUAGUAACGUCAGGACUCAGGCGACGAAUAGUCAGACCACGAAUAUUGGAAGUCAAACAGUCAGAGUACGUUUGUUGGCAAGGAUCAGCUCGAAACUGAAAAAGACAAUACAUAUGUAAUGAGACAAAGGUAUUAAAUAUCGAUGAUAUCGGAAAUAUUAGUAGUUUAAAAACACCGAAAUAUCGAUGGAAAUAUCGGGAUAAUAUCGAUAUCGAUAAAAACAAUAUGGAAACCACGGAAAUUAUAAGAAAAACUUGAAAAUUUUUAUUGAAACUUUGCAGGAUAUUUAUUUAGUCAAUUAUCUAUUAGUUUAUCAUAAAAAAUUGGAAGGAAAUGCAUUGCAUGAUGGAUUUAACAUUAUCAAGUUGAUUAUAUAGCGAGCUAGCAAACAUUGUGAGUGUAGAAAAUAUGUAGUAAUUAAUGAAAGAAGUUUAAACACACCAUAAUCAUUUAUAUAUAAUGAAUUAGUACAAUAUUUUACACUUUAUACAUUGCAUGGUAAGAUACAUGAGUAACUUAGUACCACAUAGAGUUCCUAUGAGGUUCAAAUUUUUCACUAUCUUCAUCAUCUCUAUGUGUAGAGUGAGUGUAUUGUGAAGAGUAGUUAUCAAAUGAUAAAUCCCUAAAAUAGUUUUGCAUGUAAUUGUUAACAUGCCACCCAUAUGGAUCCGAGAUUGGUUGACCUUGUCCAUAAGCAAAAUCAUUUGAAGAUUGAGUCUCGGAUUGUUUCCAUGAGUCGCUCGAUUCCAUCCCAACAGGAAUGGGAUAUGAAGGGUAGGGAAAUUGUUGGUUAUGAGUAUAACCAUAGUUACUACUUCCCACUCCAACAGAGUCCGAAGUUAUAGAUAACGAGUCAUCUUCUUGACUUGACAAAAUCCCCUUGCAUCUUUCUCUACGAGUAGUCAUUCCCUAUGGCACCAAUUCCUGGUCCUGCCCGCCUACUGCCAUGGUCCUCAUCCUGUGUUGCAUGCGUGAAGUUUGCCUCACCAGUGAAGGGGCUCAUAAAUCCGGGAGGUGGUCCAACAUAGUUUCCAUAUCCACCACCACUACCUUCAGCUCCACUAUAUCCUUCAUCAUUCCCACCUCCGGUGGUAGGUGAGUCUCCUCCUGAUCUUGUACUAGAGCUAUCAUUAGUAUCAGCACGAUGUUGUGGUUGUGUAGGAUUGGAAGAAGGUGGAAUUCCAGUGUUACUUGGUUUUGGGCGCAAAAGUCUUCCAAAGAGUCAGCGCUGCUAGAUCCCACCUCCUCCGUUAAUACUCUUUCUACAUUUAUCCUUUCAUUACGUGCUUCUUCAGCAACUCUGAGAGCUGGGUUGCCUUAAUCAUCAUCUAAAUGAAGAUGUCUAAUCUAUUGAUAAAGUUGGUUACCCUCUGUAUCAUCAUCUUCAGCAACAAUAUCAAACACAUCUAGUGGGUCACCACGGUCGACAUGAUCUAUUUCUGCUUCCUUAUCUCGAAUUUGAAGAUUCAUGUUGUAGUAGCAAUAAACUAAUUUUUCCAACCGACUAUGAGCCAACCUAUUUCUUUGCUUUGUGUGUAUGAGUGCAAGUGUGCUCCAAUUUCUUUCACAAGCAGAUGAGGAAGCUGUUUGUGAUAAUACUUUGAUUGCUAACUUUCUCACAGUUGGUGCAUCGGUCCCAUACAUGAUCCACCAUUCAGCUACAAUGAAAAACAAUGUUGAUAGGCCUAAUAACUCCAACCAAUUCUAUUAUAAACUUAUCGUGAAAUAUGUUUACACUCACUAGGAGACAUUUUUGUUCGAGCAGCAACUGAUGUUGGUUCUCCAAAAGUUCUUCUUGCAUCUUUAAACCAUGUUAGCUGAAUUCAAUAAAUCGUGUUAAUUUAAUCCAACAAAGUAAUUAUUAUAAUUUAAGUAAUUGUGUACCUCAUUUCCAAAUUGGCCAACUGCUGGUGAUGCAUGGUCUAAUUUAGAGUAUACAUUAUGUACAGCACGUAUAAGGGUACCAUCAUCUCCAACACCGGGUCUGUAUUGGUAUCGAUGAUUCAAAUAAUAUGCUGUUCAAAGAAACACAUACUCUAAUAAGAGAAAUAAUACUUAUGCAAUUAAAGAAAUGAAUUACAAAUUAUGACAUAAUUUAUACUUGCUGAAUGCAAAUCGUGGUAUAAUGUUUUAUACCAUCGAUCUUCAAUUAUCUUUAUGACUCACCUUGCACCAUGUUUUCUUUCCAAUUCAUCCUUCACUACACGCAUCAACUCAUAUAUUGCCCCCAUAGUAGGAUACACUUCUGUGUCAACGAUCCGUAAAACUUUGUAAAGAGGUUCAAACACUUGGCACACAUGUUUUGAUUGUGUCCAAAAAGCAUGAUCAAGCACUAUACUUUCCACCAUAUGAUCUACAUUUGAGCGGCUCAAAUUGUGGUUGGCCCAAUCGUCACUAGUGAAUAGUUACUUCAACCAUGCUUUCUUCUUAAGUAGGCUGUUUAAUGCAAUAUAGUUGGUGGCGAAUUGAAUGGUAGCUGGACGAAUAAUGUCUCCUUUGCAAAAUUCACGCAUCUUUGCCAACAACCAACCGUGAUUGUAAAUAUAAUUUGUGAUCGUUCGAGCUCUUUUUACCACAGUAGCAACAUUCUCUCUCUUCCCCAUUGCCUCAAACAUGAGAUCAAUACAAUGUGCUGCACAUGAUGUCCAAAACACAUUAUGAUGUUUCAUUAACUUUAUUCCAGCUUUGACAAAUGCAGAACCGUUGUCGGUCACGACUUGGACAACAUUAUGUUCUCCCACCUCCAUGAUUACAUCCCUCAAUAAUUUGUAAAUAUACUUGUAAUUCUUUAUAUGGUCUGAAGCAUCAACAGACUUAAAAAAAAUUGUCUUUCCCUUGGAGUAUACCAUGAAGUUUAUGAUAGACAAUCUGGUCGGGCCAGUCUAUCCGUCACAUGAUUGUGCAACCAUUAGUUUCCCACUUUGACUUCAACUUGUUCACAUACUCGCCAAUGUCUUUAUACUCCAUAUCCAAAUAUUUAUUUCUUAUCUCAUAGGGAGUGGGAGGUUGUACUCCAACACCGGCCUGUUGACAUCCCACUACCAUAUUUUUGAAAUGAUGUGAUGAUGCUUUCUCAGCAGGGACAUUUUCAUAGAUAAAGAACUUGCUAAUUAGACGCCCCAUUCCCUCCUUCAUAUUACCUCCAGUGAAAUAACUCCAAACACUCUUUUGACGUGCUUUGGAUGACUUAUAUAAACUUGGGGCUAUUGGUGGUGUUGGUUGUGAUUCUCUAAGACUGCCUCCCCGUCUCAUUUGUGCACCACCACUUGUCCCGAAACCUUGUAUUCUAUUAGGAAUUUUAUGAAGGUGUUCUCUUUCCCAUGCUGACUGUUUGGAGGCACGUAAUGCUUGUUUCAAACUGCGUCGUUCUUCAGGUCCCAUGUCAUCAUCACAUUCGUCCUCAUCGUCAUCAUCAUCACUGUCAACCGCUUGGCCAUAGACUUCUCCUCGUAGCCCAGCUCGAAUAUUUUCCAUUCCAUGUGUUAUCUUUUCCUUCUGCUGUUUUUUAUUUUUUAAUAAUGUGCUGAUGAAUGCAUUCACUUCUGGGGGGACAUUAUCGCAUCGUUGGACAUUAUGUGCUGGAUCUAAUCCACUAAGAUGGUACUUAAGUCGUGUUACUCCACCACUCUUCAUUACCCGACCACAAUAUUUGCAAAUUGUGCCAUGUUUGUUUCCGUCUAUUGGGUCUCCAUGUUCCCAAGCUGGAUCACGUUUAGUAACUCCACUGGACAUCUUAAACGUACUUAUAUUUAUUUUUCAUGAAAAUUAGGCAAUUAUUUUUUCGCCAAAAAAUAUAGUAGUGACAGAAACAUAUUAAAUAGGAAGUUAAGAAAAGAGGAAGUAAAGUUAUUUUACAGAAGAAUUAAAUAGGAAGUAAAGAAAAUGAUUGUAAGAAUUUAAGUAAUUAUAAAAAUAAUAUGGAAUAAUAAAACCUAAUAUUAAUGAAUAAUAAUCCAAUUUGAUAAUAAAAUAAUAAAUAACAUUAAACAUAUUAAAAUUAUUCUAGGGAAUAAUUAUACAACAUUACUUAAUUACUUCAAAAAAUUAACAUGCAAGUAUAAAUUACAAUAAUAUAAAUAUAAGUUCGUAAACUUACCUUAAAUAUGGAACCCUUUGUGUUGAAGCUCUGGAAUAGAUCUGGAAUGACUUUGAAAAGGGGUAAGGGAAGAAGAAGAAACGAAAAGGUGUAAUAGAGGUUUUAAUUUUCGAAGGGUCAAAAAAUGUGUGACGAUCUGAUACUCCACCUCUGAGAAUGUGAAAGAAUAACACAGUGGCACACGAUUUUGAAUGGUCUGAAAUUGUAAAAGUUGUCCAUGGUCUGAUACUCCACCAUUAUUUUUGUCCAUGUUCUGAAAUUGUACAAGUUGUAAUUGUAAAAGUUGUCUGUGUUUUGAAUUAUUUAGAUGCUUUUGAAUGAAACCACCAUUAUUUUUGUCCAUGGUAAAAAAAUGUGUGAUCAUCUGAUACUCCACCUCUGAGAAUGUGAAAGAAUAUCACGUGUGGCACACGGUUUUGAAUCUUGAUGCAUGAAACCACCAUUAUUUUUGUCUUGUCAAAAAUUGUACCAUUCCUAAAAGCUGUAAAAGUUGAAUUAUUUAGAUGCUUUUCUUUUCUCACACCGUCACACACCACCUACACACACACACGCCACCGACACACACACACACACGCACACACAGGGAUCACACACGCCACCACACACGCACAACAACACAUGCACACACGACUCAUCUUUGGAUCCUUCUCUUUUCUCCCUUUCCCUUCUCCCAUAAACACACACAUAGAUCUCAUAGAUCUCUCGAAUUCUCGAUCUUUCUCUCUUCUCCCUUUUCCCAUACCCACACACAGAGACCUUUCUCGAUCCUUCUUCCACAUGGCAUUCUCCUACUCCGCGUAUUCCGCCUCGUCGGCGAACCUAGGAACUCUCUGGAGAGUUCUUUUGAUCCUUCUCCGCCUUCCUCACCGAUCCCACCGACAACAACCCCACCUCUGUUGUUGACUCCAGCGACGACCACCACGACCCCCAAUCGCCCCCAAACCCCAACCUCAACCCCCACGUCUGCUUCAACCAAGACCACGCCUGCUUCGCCGUGGGGACAAACCACGGGUUCUGGAUCUACAACUGCGAUCCGUUCUGCGAGCUCUUUCGUCGCGACUUCGACAACGGUGGGGGAAUCGGCGCCGUUGAGGCGCAGAUCUUGGGUUUGAGCAUGGAUUGCACAAAGAUCUGGGUAGCUGGGGGGACGACGUAGCCUCGGCUGCCUUUCCGACGACGGAUCCACGACUUUUUCGAUAAUAUCGAAUGAAUAUAUCGCGAUAUUAUCGAUAUUAUCGAUAAUAUCGCGAUAUUUUGACGAUAAUGAGACUGAUACGUGGGAAAAUAUCGGAGCCUCUGAAAAACGAUAAUAUCAGCGAAAUAUCGCCGAUAUUAUCGAUAUUUAAUACACUGAAUGAGACAGAUGUUUUGGGAGUUUAAUUCAUAAAGAAAAUAGCAAAAAAAGGAAAUAGACUUGUCUAUAAAUAAUAUGUAAAUAAGUAUGCCCAUACUACAAGGAAGAAAAGUUCUGAAUAAAUGAUUUAUUUUAUCUAGCUUGAUUGAUGGUGAGGUACUCCCUGUCUAUAUUUAUUUUAUCAGUUAUUCUUUUUCCAAAACAAAUUAAAUUUUUAAUUAGAAAAUAAUUAUUCAGAAACAGUCAUUAAAGAUAUGAACAGUUUCUCACCGAUGAAAAAUCGUUCAACGAUGAAAAAUUAUUUGAUGGUCGUCACCAAAGAGCUUUAGCGACCACUUUAUAUUUUUUCUGUUGUAAAUUUUAUUUUCAACAUUUUAAUAAACACAUGUAUAGCAUGUGUACAAUUGAAAAUGUUUAUUAAAGAAACAAGAAAUUCAAGAAAAAUAGCCGAGCAAAAUAGAUCGUUUGCUAGGCAGUGGGCAGUGGGCAGUGAUGGCCAACAAAACUGGAAUUAUAGUAAAUAUUUAAGGGCAUAAUGGGCAAGAAAAUUGGAUUCCGAGUUCAUCCAUAUACUCGGAAUUGAAAUACCACCUCUAUUAUGGUGUCCAAUUCCUUCAUAUGAGGAAUUGAAUUCCUUAUUUUGUGUAGGUCCCACCUUCUUUUUUACUUUCCAAGUUUAGUAAGCGAGGGCAUAUCUUGUCAUUGGAAUCCAAUUUUGUAUUUUAAUUUUGAUUAUGGAUUCGUAAACACGUCAUAAGAGUUGUUCCUCAAUCCAAAAAAGGGCACUUAAUUUCAAUUAAGAGGAUGUUGGAUUUCAACUAAAAUUUAAAAAGUGAAUCCUGCCAUAAUCUAACUAGAGUUGAAUCCAAAAGAGGGCACUUAAUUUCAACUAAGAGGAUGUUGGAUUUCAACAACUUGCGAGAUAUGGAGUUGAUUUGCUUGACAUGAACUCAUAAAUUUAAGUCUCAGCAUGGUCCACCACCAACGUCAUCAAUAUUGUCUCAAGUUAAUUAACCACCUAUUACUAAGUGUUGAAUUUUCUUACAAAAGACCUCAGUGAUAUGAAGGUCAUGCAAAAGAUAUAAUGUUAUUCUAUUAUCAUGCUCAAAUACUGAUUGAUUUUCUUCUCUUUAGUUGCUCAUUAGGGUCCCGAUUCUGUCAAGAAAACUAGUCCAGCAGAUAUUGCAUAUGCCACCUAUUUUAACGUAAAACACUUUCCUUUUGCUCAAACGAUACCCUAAAUUUUAAAGUAGAUAAAAGCGAAGAGCGAAAGUCGAAUUCUUGAAGUACAUGAUAAAGUGUUUUUACUCUAAUCUUUGAGUCUCAUAGUUGGAUAAGUGGUUUUGUAAAAUUUCUUUAAAAAAUUUUCCCUUUAUUUAUCAGAGGCAGAUUCUUUGCCCUUCCACUUCCCGUGCCCUCCCAUGUCCUCCUGUUUUAUGUGGCCACGGUUAAGCCACGUAAACAUUUUAUAUUAUUUUUUUAUAGAUAUAAUAAGACAAAAAUGAAUAGUAAUAUAAAAUAUUAAUAUGACUUAACUAUGACAACAUAAACAGAAGAGCACAAAAAGUGGACGAGCAGAGAACCUGCCUCCAUAUUUAUCAGCAUCAUUGCCCAAAAACAUGCCCAUUGAUUAGAAAGGCUCAUAACAGCCACAAGAAGUUUCAUACAAUUUUAUUGCCAACCAUCCAAAGACUGCAAAGCAGACUGCACAUAGCAAGACAAAAGGACCACAAAGUAAAUUUAAAAUUACAACGAAACACUUAUUUGAGAAUACAAUCAUUAAAUUUGUAUUCGUUAAACUUAAAGAAAACUUGAAUAACAGAAUAUUGGAUAGCAGGAACAGAUGUGACACUGUGUCCACUAAAGCCGCCCGACACGAACCGCUCACCCCAUUUGGGCUGGUUUGGUAUUGAUGUGUUUUGAAAAAAAAAAAUUAUUUAUACUAUGCUGUGAGAUUAAACAGUUGUGAAAUAAAGCCGGUUUUUUAAAGUUGGGUUUUGCAACUUUGUGUUUUUGGCUUUUUUCACCAAAAACUGUGAAAAAAAUUGAAGUUGAAUGUUUACCAAACACAAAAAAGCUCUCAACUUGUUUUGAUACCCAUUUUUUUCAGAAGCAUCUCAAUACAAAACCAAUGCUUAUUCAAGCUCCUUUCUUUGCCAUAUCUAACAUCAAUUUUAGAUUUGCUAGCUUCUUGUUUUCUUUCUCAUAUUUUUUGUCGAUACCGGCAUCUAUAAUUAUCACUUUCCCCGUGUCCUUAGGAACAGCUUCCGGCACUUAUUAAGAAUACGAAUGCAGUCAUCAUCACUCCAGUCAUGAAGAACCCCCUACAAUCAACCAAAUCGUCUGUUAAUUAUAAAAUGUCAUUUUGUUGAGCAAGAAAAGUUAUAGCAAGUUAAUAAGAGAAAGACAAUGUAAGUUGCCAUUUAUCACAGUUGUGGAAAGGUGUUGAGCCUUUACUUGACAACAUAAGUUAAAACUCUAUUGGUGACUAAUCUAAUAUAUAAUCAAACAAAAUAUAUCGUUUGACAAAAAAAAAAAAAAAAAAAGAGAGAAAGACAAUAAAGUAACUGCUGGAGAAACCAUAAUUUUUAUAAUCGCAUUAGUUUUGUUGAUUUCAUAUGUUCAACACUAGUGAAAAAAAUCCAUCACGUUCAUUGUGAUUGUAUCAAAGAUUCAACUACCCAAUUUUUAAUAUGUAUUAAAGAAGACCUUCUCUAUUACUAAUGUAUCUUAUUAAUUUACGCAAACUGUCUUCUUCUCUCUGAUCCUCAGAAUAAUUUGCAUAUAUCCAUGUCACCUUUCAAAAGAAGACUUUUCUGAGGACAACUGAAGUCCAAAGUAGUAACGUCAGAAGUCGAAUAAUCAGAGCUCGUCUUGUACGACUUUUGAACGAAGACUUUUCUCAGGAUGCUAUACUCCAACUCUGGGGGAAACUUAAAUUUUAAGUUCUAAAUUUAUUCUAACUUACUUUAACUUUUGGAACAAAUAUGAGUUUUAAUUAAAUAUUCGUUCAUGGGGCAAAUUUAGGCCAAGAUUUCUCUAGUUAGUGGUGUUGGCCAACCAUAUGUGUAUUUUUUUAGUUUUAUAUUUGUAAAUUUGUUGAAUCCAACUGCUAAAAUCUAAUAUCACUAGUACAAAAAUAUGUUUCCGCGACAGAGCAAAUUUCAUCGCACAAAGUGUUGAAGAAGAUCGAGCUAAGAAUGGAAUGUAGAAUCUGUCAAAUAUUGUAAAUGAUUUGUUUCCUUAUUUGUAGUUGACUUAGCUUGAUUGUAGGAACCAUAUUAGGAUGCUUCUGUAACUAUAAAUUGGUGACUCCACCUCUUGAGUAAAUACAAUCAAUUGCAUAUCAAUUUCUUACAUGGUACUAGAGCAUUGAUCUGGGCAACACAACCCUAGCCGACUUCCAUGGCAGAGAACAAACCAUCAGACACGGCUUCGGGAACCAAGUGGGAUAAUCCCAAUCACCAACUAUACCUUCAUCAUUCAGACCAACCCGGUGCUAUCCUUGUGCCGCAGCCUUUGGUCGAAGAUAAUUACAGCACAUGGAGACAAUCCAUGACUAUGGCCUUAACGGUCAAAAACAAAAUCGGACUCGUGGACGGUUCGAUCGUGGAGCCGAAUGGACAGGAUCCAAAUGAAUGGCAGCAGUGGAAUCGCUGCAAUAAAUUAGUCCAAACUUGGCUGCUAGGGUCGAUGUCGAAAGACAUCGCCAACAGCGUGAUUAAUUGCAAGAAUGCUAGGCAGAUGUGGCUGGAAUUGAAGGAGAGGUUCUCACAUGUGAACGUGGUUCAACUGUUCAAUAUCGAGAACGAGAUUCAUGAUUGUGUGUAGGGAAGUAUGUCUGUGGGAUCUUACUUCACGAAAUUAAAGGGACUAUGGGACGAACGUGAUGCUUUGUGCACCUUCCCAAUUUGCACCUGUGGAUCGGUCAAGGAAGUGGCUGCAUACUUGGACACGCAGAAGACCAUGAAGUUUCUUAUGGGUCUCAGUGACUCAUAUGCAAGUGUUCGUAGCAACACUUUACUGCAGGAUCCUUUACCAACCGUGAACAAAGCAUACUCUCUUGUACUACGACAUGAAAAACAAUAGGAAGUAACAGCGAAUAAAGCCCAAGUACAACCAGAUGCGGCCGUGUUUGCCGUGAAGAGAUCCAGCCAUGAAAUCGAAGGAGAAAAAGGUGAGUUGAAGUGCACCAAGUGCAACAAAACAAAUCACACUGCCAAGAAUUGCCGUGCACACCUAAAGUGUGCAUUUUGCGGAUGAAAGGGUCAUACGGCCGACUAUUGCCGCAAAAAGAAGGCAGCAGCAGCCGAGGCUGAUCAUGGUAUCGUGAUUUCCAAGGGGAACCAAGCAGCAACUUGUCUGACGGAAAGGAAGGAGAUGAAAUUCCCAUUCACUGCUGAAGAAUGCAAACAAAUAUUGAGUGUGCUGCAAAGCAAGUCUUCCUCCGCUAAUCAUGUUGGUAAUUCCACAACCCAUGAAGAACUUUCAGGUAAAGCUUUUUCACUUAACUCUAAUGGCAAACAGAGUACUUGGAUUUUGGACAGUGGCUGCACGGACCAUAUGAUCUAUGAUCCCAACCUAUUUUCUACUUCAAGGCCGGUCACUAAUCACACUGUAGAAAUGCCAAAUGGGUCUGUGGCCCAAGUGACCCACAUUGGCAAAGUCAUCUUGUCCCCCACUCUCAUCCUUGAGAACGUUUUGUGUGUCCCGUAUUUCAAAUUGAAUUUAAUUUCAAUUAGCAAGUUAGCCAAUUCAUCUUGUAUAACAAUCUUUUUGAACCAAUUUUGUAUUAUACAGGACCUACGUUCGGGGAUGAUGAUUGGGACGGGAAUUGAACGGGAGGGCCUCUAUUAUAUCGAUCACACCAAGAAAGGAACAUGUAAUCAGGCACAAAAAUCCAACCCAACCCUUUGGCACCAACGUCUUGGACACCCAUCUUCCAGAGUUCUUCCCUUAUUCUCUUUUUCCAAUUUUAAACAAGCCUCUUGUGAUACUGACAAGUGUGCAAUUUGUCCUUUAGCUAAACAAACCAAACUUCCUUUUCCUUCAAGUUCAAUUACUACUCAUUCUUGUUUUGAUUUAAUUCAUAUUGAUAUAUGGGGUGGUUAUAAAAUUGCUUCCAUUUCGGGUGCAAAAUAUUUUCUUACUAUUGUUGAUGACUACACUCGAUGCACAUGGAUUUACCUUAUGAAACACAAGUCUGAUGCUAGGACUCUUCUAGUUAAUUUCAUCAAUAUGAUUGCCACUCAAUUUGAUUCCCCAAUUAAGAUCAUACGUAGUGACAAUGGCCCUGAAUUCAAACUUGGGAGCUUCUAGCGGAUAAAGGGAUAAUCCAUCAAACUAGUUGUGUCAACAUUCCACAACAAAAUGGGGUUGCUGAAAGAAAACAUAGACACUUGUUAAAUAUGGCGCGUGCAUUGCUUAUUCAGGCCGGGCUUCCACCUCGUUUUUGGGGGGACGCCAUUCUCACGUCCGCCUAUCUCAUAAAUCGAACCCCUACUCCUCUCCUUGGUGGCAAAACCCCGUAUGAGAAGUUAUUUCACCGCUCUCCCAAUUAUUCCCAUUUGCGUGUUUUUGGUUGCUUGUGUUUUACUUCUACCCAUACCCAAAAUCGUUCCAAAUUUGAUCCAAGAGCCUCUCGGUGCAUUUUUCUGGGAUAUCCCCAUGGUAAAAAAGGAUAUCGCGUUUUUGAUCUUAGUCAACAAAAGGUCCUUGUUUCUCGUGAUGUGAGUUUCUUUGAAAAUACCUUUCCUUUCUUACUUCCUCCCUACUCCGUUGCAUCCACUGAUCCGCCCAAUUUACACACUUUUUCAUCCUCUCAUCCUGGCCCCUCCUCACAUUUCGACAUGGACCUGCCUUCCCCUCUUGAUGGGCCACCCCUACCCACCGGCCCACCCGAGUCUCCUUUACUCGACCCACCCACGGAUCUACCCCCAUCUUCCCCUGUUUCUUCCCCCCCCCCACACCCACAUCUCCACUUAUCCCUUUACCACUUUCACCCACUGCCGACCUACCUGCUCCGUCCCCCCCACCUCUCACCCCAGCUCCGCGCCGCGGCGGUCGCACCACUCGGCCGCCUGCCUAUUUGCAGGACUUUCACCUCGAGACUAGCCUCCCCUUAAGGACCGCACCAUCGUCAUCAACGAACUUGGUCGCUCGUUCAGGUACGGCUCACCCACUUUCUCAUUUUUUGUCUUAUGAUCAUCUUUCUCACACCCACAAAACAUACCUUGCCACACUUACCCACCUCAAAGAACCUGCCAGUUUCUCUCAGGUCGUCUAACACCCACACUGGCGUGCUGCCAUGAAAUCUGAAAUUGAUGCCCUGCAGGCCAAUGGGACUUGGAGCUUGGUGCCGUUGCCACCUCAUAAACGGCCGAUCGGCUGUAAAUGGGUGUAUAAGGUGAAAUUGAAGGCUGAUGGUACAGUCGAACGCCACAAAGCCCGCUUAGUGGCAAAGGGAUACAGUUAAGUUGAAGGGAUUGAUUACAGGGAAACCUUUGCUCCAGUUGCCAAACUGGUGACAGUCCGUGUCCUGCUCAGUGUGGCCUCUCUGCGUGGUUGGCAUCUCCACCAAUUGGAUGUGAACAACGCGUUUUUAAAUGGUGAUCUUAAUGAGGAGGUGUUCAUGUCUUUGCCUCCGGGUUUCGGACGAAAGGGGGAGCAUAGGGUCUGCAAAUUGCACAAGUCGUUGUACGGUUUAAAACAGGCGUCUAGGCAGUGGUUUAUUAAGCUGUCUACUGCCCUCAAAGCUGCGGGAUUUCAACAGUCACGAUCCGACUACUCUCUGUUCGUCCGAAGUCGUCAAGGUAACCUCCUGGCAUUACUCGUAUAUGUUGAUGAUGUCAUAUUGGCAGGGAACAAUUUGGAGGACAUAGAGAACACGAAAUCAUUUUUAGCCAACCAAUUCAAGCUUAAGGAUUUGGGACGGCUGAAGUAUUUCCUUGGCAUCGAAGUUGCCAGGUCACGGCAUGGAAUCAGUUUUUCGCAACGUAAAUAUGCCUUGGAGAUUUUGGAUGAUGCUGGAUUCUUAGGGGUCAAACCUUCUCGGUUCCCUAUGGAACAAAAUUUAUCACUCACACAAUCCAAUGGAAGGUUAUUAGAUGAUGCUUCGGCAUACAGAAGAAUGGUUGGAAGAUUGAUAUAUUUGACUAUAACUAGGCCGGACCUGACUUACGCCGUGCAUGUGCUAAGUCAGUUUAUGGACAAGCCACGGCAACCGCAUUUGGAAGCAGCCUAUAAAGUGCUUAAGUAUAUUAAGCAUACACCGGGUCAAGGUAUUCUGCUCCCGUCUACAGGAUCACUUCAAUUGCGGGGAUUCUGUGAUGCAGAUUGGGCACGUUGCAAAGACACAAGGAGAUCAAUCACGGGAUACUGCAUUUUGCUUGGGCAAGCACCAGUUUCUUGGAAGACCAAGAAACAGACGACAGUGUCGCGUUCAAGUUCAGAAGCCGAGUAUCGUUCGAUGGCUACCACUUGCUGCGAAAUCACAUGGUUGAAGAAUAUUUUGAAGGAUUUGGGAGUUGAUCACACACGGCCCGUGACCCUAUUAUGUGACAAUCAGGCGGCUAUACACAUAGCAUCGAGUCCGGUGUUUCAUGAGAGAACCAAACACAUAGAGAUAGAUUGCCACCUGGUUCGAGAGAAGAUUCAACAAGGGAUGAUUCGGACAGCUCAUAUUCGAACUGAAAACCAGCCGGCUGAUUUGUUCACCAAGCCAUUAAGCUCGACACAGUUUGAAGUGCUUCUUAGCAAGUUGGGUGUUAUAAACAUACACUCCAACUUGAGGGGGAGUGUUGAAGAAGAUCGAGCUAAGAAUGGAAUGUAGAAUCUGUCAAAUAUUGUAAAUGAUUUGUUUCCUUAUUUGUAGUUGACUUAGCUUGAUUGUAGGAACCAUAUUAGGAUGCUUCUGUAACUAUAAAUUGGUGACUCCACCUCUUGAGUAAAUACAAUCAAUUGCAUAUCAAUUUCUUACACAAAGUAUGCUUGCGCAAUGCAAAACACAAAAUGUCGCGCAAAAUGCUGUUGCACAAAGGCCGUUUGCUCCAUGUUUUGUGCAACGUAGGUGCACCUACGUAAUGCAAAGAUGUUUUGCACGACGCCAGUCUUCAUCGGACAAAAUCAACGACUUUUUUAAAAUCACUUAAUCAAUUUGGGAGGUAGAAACCAGUUGAAUUGUAAUUAAGUAUUCACUUUGCUAUGGCAAAUCAACUCGCCCAGCAAGACGACAUGCCUUUAAAUAAUUGUAGGCUUGUAGCUUAAUUCACAGGAAACCAAUUAUUUAUUGCAUAACAUUGUCAAAUGUGAACCAGAAGAACAAUUUUUGUAUUGAGAAACAUUGAAAGAAAAAUAGUAGAUGUUCGGGGUGUGUGCGUAUGAGAGUGAGACAGAUAAAGUACACGAAAAGUACAAUUUAAAAUAAAAACUAAAAGCAAUUCAGUAAUUUUUAAUAUUUAUUUUUGUUUAUUCUCCCUUCGAUCUUCAUCAACUCUUCUAUUCUUGUCUAUGUUCCUUUGAAUGUCCCAGUUCGCACAUACCACCACUUCACGACUCAUAAGGAAACAGAGAUAUUAAAAAACAAUAACUUGCGCGAUGCACGACGCGCGACGCACCAACCAAUGCGUCACGCAAAGUAUGUUUGCGCGACGAAUAAAUUGUGUCAUGCAAAGGAUUUUUGUGGUCCACUAGUAUAAAUAUUUUAAAUUGAAGAUCGAAUUGGUUCAUUGUAUUCAUAUAGGAUCAAAGAGUGUAGCUCUAAAAAAUCAUCAAAAUCGGAGUUAAAACUACCGUUAAAUCGUGAUUUUUCAUUUAUAACCAUCAAAAAGUUUUGUUCUGUUGCUUGAUCUCUGAAUGUUUGUUUUUUGCAAAUUUUGGUGUAUGCGAUCUCAAAGUAUAUACAAACAAGUUUGACGGUUGGAUCGUUGAAUUUAGUUUCGUAGAAUGUAUGCCAUCAAAACAAUAGAUUCACUAACACUUAGAGUUUAUUUAUACUUUCAUUAAGUAUAACAUAAGAUUUUGUGGUUCUAAUAGUGUAAAUAUUUUAAAUUGAAGAUUGAAUUCAUAUAGGGUCAAAGAGUGUAGCUGUAAAAAAAUCAUCAAAAUCAGAGUUAAAAUAACCGUUAAACCAUAUUUUUUUGUUUAUAACCGUUGAAAAGUUUUGUCAUGUUACUUGAUCUCUGAAUGCUUUUUUUUUGCGAUUUUUGGCGUAUGCGAUCUCAAAGAAUAUACAAACAAGUUUGAUAGUUGGAUUGUUGAAAUUAGUUUUGUAAAAUGCAUAUCACAUCAAAACGAUAACACUUAAAGUUUAUUUAUACUUUCAUUAAGUAUAACAUAAGAUUUUGUGGUAUCUACUGGUGUAAAUAUUUUAAAUUGAAGAUCGAGUUCAUUCAUUGUAUUCAUAUAGGAUCAAGGAGUGUAGUUGUAAAAAAUCAUGAAAAUCAGAGUUAAAACUACUGUUAAAUCAUGAUUUUUUGUUUAUAACCGUCGAAAAGUUUUGUCCCAUUACUUGAUCUCUGAAUGUUUGUUUUUUGUGAUUUUUGGCGUAUGCGAUCUCGAAGCAUAUGCAAACAAGUUUGACGGUUGGAUCGUUGAAAUUAGUUUCGUAUGAUGUGUAUCCCAUCAAAACGAUAUAUUCACCAACAUUGAGAGUUUAUUUAUAAUGUUCAUUAAGUAUAAAAUAAGAUUUUGUGGUAUCUAUUAGUGUAGAUAUUUUAAAUUGAAGAUUGAAUUUGUCUAUUGUAUUCAUACAGGGUCAAGGAGUGUAGCUGUAAAAAAUAAUCAAAAUCGGAGUUAAAACUAUUGUUAAAUCAUGAUUUUUUGUUUAUAACCAUUGAAAAGUUUUGUUGUAACAUCCCACAUCGCCCAGGGGAGUGGAUCAUGUAAGCCUUAUAUGUAUAUUCUCAUUUCUACCUAACACGAGGCCUUUUGGUAGCUCACUAGCUUCAGGUUUCAUCGGAACUUCGAAGUUAAGCGAGUUUGGGUGUCACGCCUCGAUCCCGACAUACGUCCAGGAUUGACACGUGACGUCACCAAGUAUCCGUACAUCUAACAUACACCGUCUCUAGAAUAUGUACCAAGCACGCUCAAGCCUCAAAUUGAGUAGUGAUUUUUCGUAUACUUUAUAGUUGCAUCUAACCUCCUUGUUAGACUCCUACGUACCCUCAUUAAGGAUCAAGCCAUUUGUAGUUCGUCGUUCACUAAUUUAGACAUUUAUUACAACGCGUUCUAACAGGAAUACAUAACAUUCUGUGAUCAAUUAUUAGAACUUGACAUGCAUGACAUUACCAAGUUCAGGGCUACAAAACAAACCAAUAUAUCAUUCAAGAUUUUGAUUCCAUCCAUCAUAUAAAUUCCAUGAUUUCAGUACGAUACUUCCAUCCACAACAUGUAACAUAUCAAAUAACCUACGAAGCACAUACUAUUCUCAAGCCACAUUGGUCAACUAAAAUAAUCAGAAUAAUAACAACCAUAACUAAGGUAAUUCCACAAUCCCGUCAAUCAAUCAAUUCAUGAAUCAAAGAUACAUGAUCUUAGCAUUUAAUUAUGUUAAUCAAUGAAUGCUGUAACAUAUCAUUUCACGAAUUUAACCGAGGAACUCUAUAUAAUUCCCUACUUGGAUUAUGAAUAAAAACAUGGUAAUUCUAAUUUGUAUUCACAAGAUCUAUUGUGGGUAAUUCCCAUUCACUCGAAUCUAGGAUUCUAAGAUAAACUUAUGGAAAUGAACAAGAGCAAGGAUUCCGGACCACUCAACGGAAUCCAACAACAUCAGGUUCCGGACAACUCAACAGAACCAAAAUGUCACGCGGUUUCUCGUAAUCCACCCAGACCUGUCACAUGUAAAAUCAAUGCCUACAUUAUGGGAAUGGUACACUGGGCAAAUCAAGCACUCAUAUAAGCUGCAAGGUUCGGGUGAGUGACAAUAAUACAAGUAUGUGAUAUUUAAUAAAAACAGACAAUCGAUCACAAUCUAUAAACAUCAAGCAUAGAAUCAUGCUUUAUGAAAUCAUAAUCAAGUCAUUGAAAACUCUGUAGGAGUCACCCAGACAUCCAACAUUUUUUUUAAUUUAAGCCAUAAGAUUCCCAAAAACCAUCGUUUAUAUGUGCAUUAAAACUAGGGUUAGAGGGACUCAGUUCGGCCGAAGCGUACAUAUAUGUGACCAAAUAGGAAGUGGCCCCCUAUCGCGGAUUAACCAAGCAUAGUCACUCCUACACAUCUGUUAGGCAGUGAUCACCUAUCGUGGAUUAACCAAGCAUGAUCACCCUUAAGUGUGUGUGUAUGGCCAUACCAAAGAUAUGAGGAUCGCCUAUCGCGGAUUAACCAAGCACGAUCCAUAGAAAAUAUGGUCCCCUAUCGCGGAUUAACCAAGCAAGACCAUGGUCCCCUAUCACAGAUUAACCAAGCAGGACCAAGAUAACUAAGUAGGUAGUGACCCUUUAUCGCGGAUUAACCAAGCAGAGUCACACCUACGAAACUGUUAGGCAGUGAUCACCUAUCAUGGAUUAACCAAGCACGAUCCAUAAAUAAUAUGGUCCCUUAUCACGGAUAUACCAAGCAGGACCAUCCAUAUACCUCUGCUACAUGGUGCAGUCAAUUCAACACACAAGCUACCCUUAUUUCAACCCCUAUUAUUUACAAUAUAGGCACAUGCUCAAUCAACUUCUCAUGGCCACUAGCAUACAUAUCAUGCAAUAUAAAUUCUAUGGAAUACUUCCAAUAGGAUUCUAGGAUCACAUGGUCAUAACCUUUAUCAUUCAUAUCAUCAAGUAAAUACCUAAACACACACACACACACACACACACACACACACACAUAACAUUAUGACUUCCCAUACGCGUAAACCGAUGUAUAUAUUAUCUGGGAUAACUCACUAACUAAUAUAGGCCCACUAAGCCCUACAUAGUCUCUAGUAAUAUUGAAUUUAAUAUUUAAGAUCAAUUUGUAACAUAUUGACUAAAAGUAAGAAUUAAUUAGAUUAAAACAUAUAAGGUUUCCUUGAACCCUCUACCUUGAAUUCGAUUAAUUUUGUUCCUUUGAAGAACCUAAUCGGAACAUAAAAUUACAAUCAAAAGUAUAAAUACAAGUAACACACCUUAAUAACCAAACUAAGUGUUUAAACACAAAAUUAAUAUUAUCUAAAGAAGGUACACUGAUUCUGGAAUCUACCACUCAAAUAAUAUCACUCAAAUAGCAGUAAAGAAGAUUAGAAAGGAAUCUGGAAAAAGAAAAUAGGUGUGGCAAAAACAAUACUCUACUUCUCUACAAAAUCUGCAGAAAACAGCACUAUUGGACCAAGUUUAGGCUCCAUUUGGAACAUUCAGAACUAAACCAAAUCAUGUAAUAUUAUAUGGGUUUUGAAGCUUGUGCUAUGUAAUUUAAAAGCAUACAAAGUUUGUAGAAAAUGGAGCUCUAAAUUGGAAGUCAUGCCAAAAAGAAAAAUGAAGCCUUGAAACUGGAAACCCAGUUUUCUGCUGCUGUUUGGCAGCUCGCGACCCAUGUUUAAAUAAGGUUUUGAUCAACCAAAACUCAAUGGAACUGAGUGAAAACAAUUGGUUUGCGAUCAUGAACAUAUGUACUUUCAACACACUAAAAUUUUUCUCCAAAGGAGUACAUAAAGACCUAGAAAUUGAGAGCCAAAGAAGGCUACUCGAAACUUGAAUUUUCUUUACAAAGAAAUCAAUUUUUUGCAACUUGCAUAACAGUUCACUUCCAAUUCAUAUAACAAAUCCCAAAAUACUUCCAGGUAGUCCAGAAAUCAUGUAUACAACAUCCAAAACUAACAUGACUCAAAAUUAACAAGAAAUUGACCUUUUGAACCAAACCCUUGAUCAAAAAAUUUGAUCUAUACACCCAAUCCGAAUUACCCAACUCUAAUUCAUGUUCAGACUAGUUCAUUGAAUGAUAGAAAACCCUAAAUAAAACUAAGAACUCUAAACGUAUCAUGGCAGUUUCAAUUCCACUUAAGAAAAUUAAAUUCAAAAAUCAAGAUAAUGAAGGAACAAGGAAUUUACCCUUCAAAUCUCUGAAUUCUUCCUUCACAAUCACGUUCUCUAACUCCUCUCUCUUCGAUUUUUGUCUAAAGAAAGAAGGAUUUUCUUCCAAAAGCUAUGGAAGAGCCACCUCCUCCCUGUUUCUUUUCUUCACUUACAAAACCAGGAAGAACGUGAAAGAAUGUUCUCCCCCCCCCCUUUUUUUUCUUCCGCCCCUCUCCUUUCCUUACUCAUGUGCUGCCCUCUAAGUCCCUUCCCUUUUCCCUAAUUGGUCCACCUUAAAUCUUACAUGAUUGGGCCUCUUUCCCACAAAGUGGGAAUUUAUUUAAUUAAAAACUAUAGUUUAGUAAAUGAUUUCAAAUGUCUAUAAUUAUACCGUUAUUAUCCGGACUCGCAAACGGCUUUCGCCUAUGCGUUCGUGGUUUCAAGAUCUAUUCGGAAACGUUACUUAUGACCUCGAAAGGUCAACGAAUUUUAAAUAAUUAUUUUCUAAACUUCACUCUUUGUAACUAAUUUAAUUGAAAUCUAAAUUCAAAUAAAUUAAUAUAAAUUUUCAAAAAAUAAUAUAAAAUCUCAAUAAUACAAAUACGUAGAUUAUAACAGUGAAAUCCAGAAACAGGAUUUCACAUCGGGUGAGAGCAUUCUCAGGAUGGGUGACCCAUUGGGAAGUUCUGCUCGCGUGAGUUUCCAGAAACAAAACCGUGAGGGCAUGGUAGGAGCCCAAAGUGGACAAUAUCGUGCUAUGAUGGAGUCGAGCCCGGGAUGUGGUGAGGGCCCGGGUCGAGAUGUGACGAUUUGGUAUUAGAGCCAAUCUCUGGCCGAAAGUGUGCUGACGAGGACGUCGGGCCCUUAAAGAGGUGGAUUGUAACAUUCUGAUUGAAUGAUCCAAGGGACAUAUCCCUUGUUGUGCUACGGAACUGCAGUCGUGCUUCUUCAAUCCAAGGGACACGACAUGGCACUGCAGCCAUGCUUCUUUAAUUUCAGAGACACUCAAAGGCACGGCCUGCAGCCAAAAGGCAUAUCACUGCUAGCCUUUCCCCCUUUAUCCCACUGUCAACACCAUAUAUAUACAGAGAGCUUAAGGGGAGGGAUCCCCAUUUUUUGAAAAAAAUGGGGAUUAGGUGUGGGGCCCACUUCACAUCUAAUUUCAACGAUCCGAACCGUCUAUUUUGUUAGUCUCGAUUCAUAGAUCAUCCUUGCAAAAAUUCAAUUCAAUCCGAAACCAUUUUCCUAUUGAAUUAUCAAUAUCAAAUUUCAUAUUUUCUUAUAUAACAAAGUAUUCGUUCAUUUCCUUGAAGCCAAUUAGAUGUCUUAAACAUUUCCAAUUUAGCUAAUAUUUUGCAAGGAUGAUCUAUGAAUCGAGACUAACAAAAUAGACGGUUCGGAUCGUUGAAAUUAGAUGUGAAGUGGGCCCCACACCUAAUCCCCAUUUUUUGAAAAAAAUGGGGAUCCCUCCCCUUAAGUGUAUAUAUAUAAUAUGUUCAAUUCCAAGAGAUACACCAACACUACUACCUUUAUCUUUUUUGUUCCGUGUAAUUUUCAAACCUAGACCUCAUGCCAUCACAAUCACAUGGAUCAUUCCACAUGAUUCAUUUACUAGAACACUAGGAUUUUCUUUGUGAAUGAGACAAACAGACAAAACAUUGUAGGUUGAAAAAAUAUGAAGGCAAAGACCUAGAGAAUAUUACUUUGUAUUGAUUGAAUUUAAUACUCGUUACUUUGUAUUUUUUUUUUCUGAAAUGAUUAGUUUCAAAUGCAAGAAAGGAUUAGUUUCUAAUGUUAUAUUUUUAUGGUUCAAAAAGCGUAUAGAUGUUGCAGUUGAUCACUCGUCGUCGGAGUAUGACCAAUGCGCCUCCUGCAUUAUCAACAUCAACUACUCCAGGCAUGAGUGCUCCAUUGAUUGGGGAGCCUACACCCUUUACUGAGGCUGCUCCUACGGCGUCCUAGGUGCCCGUAUCAUUGACGUCAUCAGUGUUGGUUCAGCCACUUAGUGCACGGUGGCCUCACGGCACCGUCGCGAGCCUGAGCCUUAUGAUCACACUUCCUCGGCAUCCAGAGUCGAGGGUGGGGCCUCCCAACCAGGUAGUUUUUUCUAAUUCUAACUACGUUGUAUUUUUUUUCAUUUUAAAACUAUUAUUUUUAUGAUUGUGAAAAUUUGCUAGAUUGUGAAAAUGUGUUGCGGGUUGUGAAUUACGGUUAUUUUACUGUUUAAAGGUUUUGGGAAAUGAUAUACUAUUAGGGGAGGUUUUGUUGAAUUUUUUGUAGAAAUUUAAGCUUUGAGUUUUCACCAUUUAAGAUUUUGCUGAAUGUUGAAGCCGGCACAAAGCGUACGUCAGUCCGCCUCCUUGAUUAAGAUUGCGUAUGACUCGCAACAUCAUGGAACUGCUACCUCACAGCAGCAUAGCAGCGUCGCUACUAGUUAUGGUUAUGUUAUUCAGCAUUGUCAUGUGCAACUGUAGUUUUUUCUUUUUUGUUCGGAGGACAUCUUGUAUGUACAUUUUUAUAUAUUUUAUAAUUAAAUAUUUUUUCUUGGUUUAUUAAUUAUUGUUUAGAAUUUAAUUACAAUAUUUAUUAAUUAUUGUUUAAAAUUAAAUAAAAAUAUUUUUGCCAAAAAAAAAAAACAAGGGUUUGUGCGACGAAUAAGGAACAUGCGUCGAGUAAGCAAUGAGGUUCCUACGUCGUGCAAAACUAGUUUGCGCGACACAUGUCCCUUCUUUGUCGUGCACAAAGUAGUUAUGCACGACGCAGGGUUUAGGGUUUAGGGAUUUUUCAACAUUUAUCGGAAUCUAAAUAUUUUUAGGUUAAAAUGUUCGUAAAAUUAAAUUAGGCUUGUCUACAUAAUUUUGAUGGAUUGGUGACUCAAGGUAAGGCUGGAGAGGGUUUUGUAGUGAGAAAUGACCAAGGUUUAACGGUUGGUGCUGGGGUCAACAACUUAGAUGGGGCCACGAUUUCAAUUGCUGAGGCAUUGGCUCAAGGAGGGCCUUCUUUUUGCUAGAAAGAAGGAUAUCAAGAAGGUGGAAGUUGAAGGUGACUCCUUACUGAUUUUCAAACUGGUUACUAGGGUUUGGAAACCCCCUUGGCAUCUCCAUUCUACUAUCAACGACAUUAAAUGGCUGGCUGCUAGUUUUCACUCUAUUCGUUGGAGGAGUGUUUUUAGGGAAGCUAAUUUUAAGGCUGAUAAGCUGGCUGAUGUGGGGGCUUCGGUUUCGGAUCCCCACUUUUGGGAUCAUUGUCUUCCCCCUUCAGUGUUACAAGCUUUUAACUUUUACUGUAAUGGUUCUGGUUGUUCUAGAGGAUUCUCUUUUUAAUAUAUUCAUUUUCUUAUCAAAAAAAUAGUCUACAUAAUUUUUUUUAAGUUAAUUUAAGAAAAAAAAUUAUCCUUAAUUUAUUCUUUAAUAAUUUCGUGUUAAAAUUUUAACUUAGAAGGAGGAGAAAAACUAUUUUUGGGUUAAAUAUUUUAGGUUUUAAUCCAAAAGUUGGGGAUGGUCCCACGUGGUAACGUCAAAAGUUGAAUAAUCAGAAGAGCUGAUUUGUUCUCUAGGAUCAUCUCGAAACUAAGGAAUAUAUAUAUAUAUAUAUAUAUAUAUAUAUAUAUAUAUAUAUAUAUAUAUAUAUGCAUGUAUUGAGACAGAUGUUUUGGGAGUUUAAUUCAUAAAGAAAAUAGUAAAAAAAAGGAAAUAGCCUUGACUAUAAUUAAUAUGUAAAUAAGUGUCCAUACUACAAGGAAGAAAAGUUUUGAGUAAAUAAUGUAUUUUAUCCUGCUUGAUGGUGAGGUACUCUCUGUGUAUUUAUUCUAUCAUUUACUCUCAUUUUCUCUUUCACAUUUUUCUCUAAAAUAAAAUAAAUUUUUAGUGACAAAAUAAUUAUCUAGAAACAAUCACUAAAGAUAUGAACAAUCUCUUCAGAGAUGAAAAAUCGUUUGAAGGUUGUCACCAAAAAACUUUAUCUACCAUUUUAUAUUUUCUCUGUUGUAAUUUUAUUUUCUAAAUUUUAAGAAACACAUGCAUGGCAUGUGUACAAUUGAUAAUGUUUAUUAAAGAAACAAGUAAUUCAAGAAAAAUAACCCAGCAGUGGGUAGUGAUGGCCAACAAAACUGGAAUUAUAGUAAAUAUUUAAUAGCAUAAGAGCAAGUCUAGCAGUAGAGAAAGCCCGGUGGAUAGGGAACCGAAGCAACCCAAUAGCUAACUUGCUCCAGCUCAUGUGGGCAAUUGGGCUAAAGGGGAGCUCGUGAAAGAGGGCAAACGUGAGCCCAAGGCCUGAGUGCCUGAGGGCUCUAUGAUACAAGGUUGACGGCAGUCACGUUAUUAAAAACUUUGCGUCAAACGCAUGCAUAGCACACACGCUUGGGGAGGCGUCAUCGACAAGAUUUCAAUCGGUGGGGCUCGCGGUUUGAACUCUGAAAUGUUACUGUUACUGGUGCCACGUGGCACCCUCUCGUGGAUUUCAACGGCUAUUUUUUCUGGAAUGACUAGAUGACGUAGCAUAAUCUCAACCGUUCGAUUCCAGAUCAACGGUCCAUAUUUUUUGACUUUAAAAAAGAAAAAAAAAUCUAAUAUGUUACUGUUAUGACACAUGGCACAAUCUGGAGGGUUGGAUUUCAAAUUUUCUUUAAUCCAACGGCAUAAAUUAAUUAAGUUAAUAAAAAUUAAAAAAUGUUAAAAAAUUAAUAAAAAAAUUAAAUUUUUUUUUUAAAAAUUGAUUUUAUUUUUCUACAAAUACCUUAUCAUUAUCUUCCACCUUACACCACAAUUUCAUAUUUUCUCAAAUACUUUCAACCACAUUCCAAUCUUUCUCUCAAAGUUUCUAUAUAUUGUUGUUUCAAAAGAAAGGGCUAAUGAUGCAUGUACAAAUUGGACGAUUAUUGAAGAUAUUAUGUGGUGUUCUAGGCUCUAGCUAGGUUGAAAUUACUCAUGAUCCGAUUACGGGUAACGAGACGCAGUUGCGAGAAAUGUGGAGCAACAGUCGUUCCCUUUUUCUUGAGAAAAUUGGUGGCAAAAGAACGGAACAAUCGCUCUCAAGUAGUUAGAUGAUACUUAGCCAAUCGUUUCCUCGUUGGAGAAACACCUUGGCACAAGCUAGUACUAAUAUUCGAAGUGGGAAAAAUUACAUGGAUCAGGUAACAAUAUAUUAUUUAUUUGUUUGUAUUAUACCCAAAUUUACAUUAGCUACUUUGAUUAUAAUUUUUUCUUCUCACGCAUUUUGUAGACACUUCAAUCACAAGCUUGGUAUAAUGCCAAAAACAAAAACAAAUCAUUCAACUGGUGGGAAUGUUGUUGUCCCAGAAUCAGAGUUGUGCAUGUCGGUCCAGAAGUUGUCAUGAACAACACCCAUCUACACUCUACGCCAAAUCAGGACUCACAUGUUCAUGAAAACGACACAGAACAAGUGCCAGAAGUGACCCCUGAACAAGUGGAGAUGGUUGACCCGUUAUCCACUUAGGCCUCAAGAUAAGAAGGCUUCAAAGAGAAAAGGGAGUGUUUCCAAGAAUGAUCAUGCAUAAUAUAUGGAAGAACUUGCUCGCCAAGGUGAAUUGACUUUGGCGAGGGAAAUGGCUAAAUUUGAGGUUGAUAAGGCUAGAUAUGAGGCAAAAGUUGUAGCUGCUGAGAGAUUAUUUCAAGCUAAUGAGAGAGAAAGAGAGCUACUUAGGCAAGAAAGUGAAGAGCUUAAAGAACAAAGAAUGGCUCAACAAGAUCGUGACAUUAUGAAGGAACCUGUAGAUGCGAUGUCUUUGAAUUCUAAAUAUUUUUGGAAUUCGGAGAAAGUGGACGUGGUGCGAAGGAGGCGUGCAAGAGAUGAGAGAGCAAGUAGAGAUGGUUCUAGCACCACAAAUUGGUUAGGUGAUGAUUUUCCAUUCACAAGGGACUAGGGAAUUUGUUGUGUCAUUGAAGCCCAUAAUUUUCCAAUCACUUUGAGUUGUAAUUUCGUAUUUAUUUAAUUUGGUACUUUAUGUAAUUUCGUAUUUAUUGAAUUGAGUACUUUAUGUAAUUUUGUAUUAUUUUGUUUGUACCAUACUUGACCAAUCGCGAAACUACCAAGCACCGGUCAACGUUAUACCGUCAAGGACCUAGAAGAGUUUCCCUCCAACCAGGAGGCCAAUCACAGCGCAACACGUGUCAACACCAAGAGGCCAAUCACAGGGCGACGCGUGUUAACAUCAAAGGCCAAUCACAGCAUGACACGCGUCAAGGCCAGGACAAAGCUAGAAACUCUCUUCUAUAAAAGGAGAUCAUUCUCCCAUAAUAACCCCAAAUGUCAUUUGUACUAAAUCAUUCACUAGUACUCACUAAAGGAUAGCUUAAAUCUAUGUACUUGUGUAAACCGUUCACAAUUAAUGAGAACUCCUAUACUCCGUGGACGUAGUCAAUCUGGGUGAACCACGUACAUCUUGUGUUUGCUUCCCUGUCUCUAUCCAUUUACAUACUUAUCCACACUAGUGACCGGAGCAAUCUAGUGAAGGUCACAAACUUAACACUUUCUGUUGUACCAAAGUCUUCACUGAUUUUGUGCAUCAACAUUUGGCGCCAUUUGUGGGAAAAGCACUUAUUCCUACCCUCUUCAGCUUUGUCAAGCUGGUUUCCACCAUUCGUACACUCCCUUUUGACCAGGCAUCCCUCUUCAACAUGGGAAGUGAAGGAAGCCACAUCACGCAGAACGACACCCCUCUCGCACCUGGUGCGAAGCAACGAAAAAAGGAACAAAAGAAGUUUGCUCUUCAGGCUAAAGUCAAUGAGCUGGAGGCUCAGAACAACAAGAUAGCGAUGAAGAAUGAGAUCCUCCAAGAGCAGUAUGAGAAGGUCUUCGAAAUGCUCCACGAGGCUAGAUAUACUAAAACACACAAGCUCAUCACCUAUGUGGAAGUCAACCAUAAACUGGGUGCCCCCCAACACGGAUGGUCAUUUGCCCUUGACAUAGGUAUUCAUGUUGAGAAGUGAGCUACUCAUCGAAAUGGUGACCAACCUGAGACUUCUCUCAACCCAGCUGCUUUGACCUGAAACAGGAGGAGUGGAAGAAGGCACCUCCUUACAGAAGGAGUGGAAUGAUUGAAAGCUGUCUUUCAUGACUGUCGAGACUUCCUAAAGCAACGUCGAGAUAAUCUCAUCCAUGUAAGCUCGAAGAUCAAUAACCCAAGGGUCUCUAAAAGACUCGGUCUUAUCCCAUGUCCCAGGCUGGCUACCAAUUUGGGGAAGGGGCAACAAGUCCUAGAGAAACACGAAGGUAUAGGGGACUCAGAGAUGUUCCGACAGAUAUACCUUGGAAGUCAGUACAGCGAGUCUAGGGAAAAAUCACAUGCUCUUGAUCAAACCUUCCUACUUCUAAGAGGAGAUAGAGAUUUACGAAAGAAAGCUCCAGUGGUACAUGACUCCACUCAGGACCCUCUUGUUCUACAACUCCUUAAGGAAGUAAACAAGUUGAAGGCCGAACAACAAGCUGAAAUACCUGAUUGGAACCAACCUAAGCCUGGCCCUCUUAGAAGGAGGAUCCUCGACACCCCCUCAAAGCAAAGACAAAGCAGAAGCCUGGCUUGCAACUCUAUACAGGAAAUGAGGAUUUUUACUCUCAGCAAGCCCAUUACAACAAGAGGGAUAAAAGUUCAUAUCAAGACAACCAGGGGUGAACGUACUGUCGACUAUUAUAACUAUGGGGCCAAGCCUCACUCUUUCAAAGUGGAAGACUAGGUACUGAAGGAAAUGCUAUUAUAAGAAGGCAUACACAUUACAAAUGUUUUGACUCUUAACCGCUUGAGAUCUUUUAUCACACAAGCCAUUCGGCAAAUAUUUAAAGAAGAGGGAAUUCAGACAACUUUUUCUGAGUCUUUUUCAUUCCUAGCACUGGAACACUUAGUCUAUGCUGACCUACCUCUAUACUCCAACUUAGAGCUUCAACAUGCGUACUUUGAAACAAAGUAUGUGAUACUAAGUGUUACAACCAACAUGGUUCACAUAUCGAAAGCAUAAAUCCCUUCAUGCAUGGCAAAACAUUCAUAAGCAUCAUUCAUGUCAAUUAACAUAAACAUCAUACACUCCAACACAUUCAUACAUAAACAUCAUACAUUCCAACGCAUUCAUACAUAAACAUCAUACAUUCCAACACAUUCAUACAUAAGUCAACUGUUCUUUGAAAGGGUUCAACAUACUUUAUAUCAUUCGACAUUUGCUCAAUGUGCCUUGGCACCUUGCCCUUAUUCUCACCAAAUAGGUGAUGAAGGAACACAUCUUCAUACCACCAACUAGGUGAUGAAAUGUACAACCUGUACUCUCCUUCAUGCCACCAACCAGGUGAUGAAAUGUACAACCCGUACUCUAAUAUUAUUUGGCAACUUGCCACUAUUAUCACCAACCAGGUGAAGAAGGAAAUCAUCUUCAUACCACCAACCAGGUGAUGAAAUGUACAACCCGUACUCUCCUUAAUGCCACCAACUAGGUGAUGAAAUGUGAUGAAAGGUGAUGAAGGAACUCACCUUCGUACCACCAACCAAGUGAUGAAAGCAACUCACCAUUCAUUCCACCAACCAGAAGACGAGUGGUACAACUUGUACAUGUGAACUCCUAGCAUUCACAAAUAAUAAAAAACCCUCAAGCUUUACAACUCAACUAAGGGAGCACUUAUGCCUAACAAGAGUUAUAGUCACCAACAAAGUCUUAUUGCAAGCCAACAACGGCUUCAGUGCAUGGUAUAAGAAGAUCAAGCUCUUCAACUCUCUUGCAUCUACUUCAGACAUUUCUCCUCUGUAACAAUGCAAACACUACAACUCGUAUAAAGCUUCACACACUCUUAAUCAAGACUAUUCGAAGCAAAUUCAAUUUAUAUAGUUCAUCCAAACCUUCGACUGUUACAAGGUGUGGCUUGCAUCACAAUCUCUUGCUUAACAGUGUGGAAGCAAAAUUUGUAUAUGUUGUCUCUCCCACAUUUUCAAAUUUCUAGUUUUCCAAAAAAAAACAAAACAAAACAAAAAGGAAAUUGGGAAAUUCAACAAAGCUUCAUCAAUGGAGGACAACUACAAUUCUUAAAAGCUUCACACACUCUUGAUCAAGAUAGUGUCAAGCAAAAUCAAUUCAUGGUACCCAACAAAGCUUCAACCUCAAAGCUUCACCUACAAAGCUUCAACUACAAAGCUUCACCACAAAAACUUCACCACAAAAGCUUCACCAACAAAAGCUUCAACUCCAAAGCUUCACCUACAAAGCUUCACCUACAAAGCUUCAACAAAUGGAGGGCAACUACAAAUGCCAAAAGCUUCACACACUCGUGAUCAAGAUAGUGUGAAGCAAAAUCAAUUCAUGGUACCCAACAAAAGCUUCAACUCUAAAGCUUCACCUACAAAGCUUCAACACAAAAGCUUCACCUACAAAGCUUCAACUCCAAAACUUCACCUACAAAAGCUUCAACACCAAAGCUUCACCUACAAAGCUUCAACACCAAAGCUUCACCUACAAAGCUUCAACUCCAAAGCUUCACCUACAAAGCUUCAACACAAAAGCUUCACCUACAAAGCUUCAACUCCAAAGCUUCACCUACAAAAGCUUCAACACCAAAGCUUCACCUACAAAAGCUUCACCUACAAAGCUUCAACUCCAAAGCUUCACCUACAAAAGCUUCAACACCAAAGCUUCACCUACAAAAGCUUCACCUACAAAGCUUCACCUAUAAAGCUUCAAUAUAUAUAUAUAUAUUCGAAAAUUCAAAAAAAAAAAUUCAAAAAUUUGAAAGUUCGAAAAAAAGAUAUUUCGAAAAUUCGAAAGGAGAGCCUAGGCCUCCCCUUCUUUGGGUCUAACAACUUUCAUAACAAAUGUACAUAAAAGAGGAGUUUUGAGCUACCACUUAGAAAGGAAAAUGGUGAAGUUUUGUUACUUUGGAAACUUGGCUACUAGGAAGACACCUCCUUCGUCAACUCCCUCGACCGGAGACUUGGGGGACUCCUACCAUAUGCUACUGUACCUUGAUACUCGGAAGUCUCACUACCACUCAGUGACUUGGAUUUCUCAAGUCUCCAACCGAGAAGUUUUCCUCACUCAGGAAAUUAAGGGAACACUUCCUCAACCUACAUGCUUCACUCACAAAGCUUCAACAUACAAGCUUCAACAAAAUAAAAAAUUCAAAGAACUUAGUGAAGAAGGCUUUGGUGUAUUUAACACAAUACGUUGAAAUGAAGCAAAACUUAUUUAUUGAUAUCUCCGAUAAGUUACAAAUAUGUACAUAUUCAUGUACAAAUAUGUACAUGAACCAAAAUAAACAAACAAAAGGGAGCAUUCACAAAGGUUGCUCAGGAGAAGUCUCAGCAGUCGGCAAAGCCCCAGAAAGAAAAGGCACCAGAGGGUGAUCAUUCGGAGCCUCAAUACUGGGCAGAACCCCAGAAGGAGAAGGCACCGGAGGUUGAUCAUUUGGAGCUUCAUUACGCAGUACAGCCCUAGAAAAUGAAGGCAAUAAAUACCUUUGGAAUAAACCCACAAACCUUUGAUGAUCAAGUAAAAUCUAACCAUCAGAUUCCUGCAGCUGGUCAAGCUUCCUCUUCAUAUUUGUAGCAUAGCCAUGUGCGAGCCUGUGCAAUUGUUUAUUCUUAUGCUUGAGCCCUCUAAUCUCCUGUUUGAGACUUAUCACUCAGCCGCCAAUGAUUCAACUUGGCGGGUUUGAGCAAAUAGGCGUUGGGCCAUAUUAGACACAAAACCUGCACACUGAACACUGAGAGCCAGAGAAUCCUUAACAGCCAAUUCAUCAGACCGUUUGGAAAAUAGUAUGUUAUCUUUGGGAGUGAGAAGGUUCUUGGCCACCACCGCAGCGGUCAUAUCAUUCUUCGUCACAGAGUCCCCAACGGUAAUAGGACCAGUAGGGGAUAAGAAAGAUGGGCGCCAUAUGUUGUCUUGAGGAGGCAUGGAUGCCUCUUCACCAAAGUUCAAGUUAAAACGACGAUCAGAUAGGCCAGACAUUUUCAGAAAUGAGGUCCAAUAAAUAUCUGAAGUACAAAAAUAAGGGGAAAAUUCAUACAAGCAAUAACUCUCUGAACGUACUUCUUGCACACAAUUGGUGCCCCUAUAAAAGAAAGGGCAACAGGGUCAUUUGUUCAAAAAUUAAAGAGGCACUACUCUCCAGAUUUCGAGAAGCAGAUUUUCCUGAGUAAAAUAUGUCGACAAUCCCCACAUGCAACAUCAGCUCCUCGGGUACCAUAGAUAACUUUGCCAAAGAUCUCUGACAAAAUUUAGACACAUAAAUUUUGAAGGUCCAGUUACCCUACCAUUACCCACAAGGGUAAAGGAACAACACCACUGCUUGAUAACUGAAAAAUCCCUAUGUGUGUCAACCAAUGUGCUCUGUGGCAAGGCAGACUAGCAAAAAUUGUGAAUCCCGUUCCUGGAUUUCACUGUUAUAAUCUACAUAUUUGUAUGAUUGAGAUUUUAUAUUAUUUUUGAGAAAUUAUAUUAAUUUAUUUGGAUUUAGAUUUUAAUUAAAUUAGUUAUGAAGUUUGAAGUUUGGAAGGUAAUUAUCAAAAAUUCGUUGACCUUUUGAGAUCACAAUAACGUUUUCGAAUAGGUCUCGAAGCUACGAGCGCAUAGGCGAAAGCCGUUUGUGAGUCCGAGUUAUAACGGUAUAGUUACGGACGUUUGAAAUUGUGAACUAUAGAUUGUGGGAAUUAUGUAAUUCUCACAUGUGGGUUAAAGGUUAAGGGAGUUUAAUAAAAGAGGGAGGGACCAAUUAGAAAGGGGGAGUUUUCUGGAAAAAAAGAAAGAAAGGAGGGGUAUGAUUUUUUUUGACCCGUUUUGGGGCGUUUUCGACCCAUAAAACCACAACCUUGACCCGCUUGUAUCUCCUUCAUCCGAUCUCCGUUUUGGGUGAUCUUGGUGUCCAUGGAAAGCUCUUGACGAGCCCUACAACUUUGUAGUGUUAGAUUUUCUAUUUUCUUAUCCAUUUGUCCAGUUUGAGGCAGCAAAGUCCCGUGGGUUUUCCGACGGUUUUGUCAUUUUUCCGGCGAUUCCGGCAACCAUUUCUUUCAAGUGAGGUAUGAAACUUCAUCUUCUCUUCAUAAUCUUCAAGUUGGUAUGCUUAGUUUGUGAUUUCGUAUUCAUUUUAGAGUUGGGUGUGUAGAACCUUAGAAAUCCGGUUUUCACCGAUGAAUUUGGGCGGUUUCCGGUUAGAAUUUGUCGUCGGCCUAGUUGUGAAAUGUGUUUCCCUAGCUAAGCUCUAGCUACCACAUAAAUUUGAGCUUAUUUAGUUAAUAUUGAAAAUUUGGGGUUUCUAAACCCUCCACCUUGACUAACCCGCGUGUGGCGGUGCAUGGGACCGUCCACGAGUGUUGUUUAAGUACCAAAUACCUUUUAGUGACCCUGUGAACCUAUGUCUAGCCCGGUUUCUCGAAAUUCAAUUGUUUGGUGUGGUGAUCAAAUUGGACCGCCACUUAUUUGUGUGAUUGAUGACAAUCAAUCGUUGGUUCGUUGUACAAUUUUGUGAACACCCUAGUUGUCAGUUGUUGGACCUUUGAGAACUUACAGAUCGAAAAUCCAAUGUACGGAUCUUCUGGAUUGAAUAACCGUAGGUUGUUGACCUUAAUGGACCUACCUUAUCGACGGUUGAUGUUCUAGUCAACAUGCUCUACUCUAGGGUGUCACUUAUCUCUAGUUUGUUGUUGAGGCUUGAUGGAGCUUAGUUGGCUCAUCACGAUGACAUGUCGUUUCCAGUUGACGUGUCUCAAUAUAUGUAUUAGCGGCACCAUAUUCAAUUAUACUUGUUUAUUAAAUGUACUUUAUAUUGAAUUGUUAUCUUUAUUUUUUUUAGCAUCGAUCUAUGUUUAUUAAUUGUGAAUCGACUAUAACUUGGAAACGUUUAUGAAAUAUGGUUAGAUAUGUAUGAUUAGUAUGAUGUAAAUGAUUGUUUUUAUGACGAUGUGAACCUAAAAUCUUAUGAGAAGUUUAUGUAGAACUUUUAUGUUUGUAUGAUAAGAUAGUGGUCAUGAGAAGUUGAUAGUGCAAGUGAUUACGAUGUAAAUCAUAACGGAUGAGAUAAGGGUACGUGGGUUGUGUGUUGAUCUUACUACACCAUGUAGUAUUUGUACAUUGAUGGUCCUGCUUGGUAUAUCCGCAUUGGGGGACCAUACGCAUUCUAAGAGUGAUCAUGCUUGGUAUAUCCGCAUUGGGUGAUCACUACCUACCUGAUUAUCUUGACCCUGCUUGGUUAAUCCGCAUUGGGGGGGUCACUAAUGGUCCUGCUUGGUUAAUCCACCUUGGGGGACCAUACUAUAUAUGGAUCGCGCUUGGUUAAUCCACGUUGGGAGAUCCUUAUGAUCAUGUAUGCUUAAGAGUGAUCAUGCUUGGUUAAUCCGCAUUGGGUGAUCACUUUCUAACAGUUGUAGGAGUGACUCUGCUUGGUUAAUUCGCAUUAGGGGGCAACUUCCUAUUUGGUUGCUUAUGUAGGCUUCGGCCAAACCGCGUCCCUCUAGCCCUAGUUUUUAAUGCACUUAUGAACGAUGGUUUUUGGGAAUCUUGGUUGGUUGAAUGGGAAAAGCCGUUGGAUGUUGGGUGACUCCUACGGAGUUUACAAUGACUUGAUUAUGAUUCCAUAAAGCAUGAUUCUAUACUUGAUGUUUAUAGAUUGUGAUCGAUAGUCUAUUUUUAUUGAAUAUCUCAUACUUGAAUUAUUGUCACUCACCCGAGCUCCGCAACUUAUCCGAGUUCCUUUUGGCUAGUGCACCAUUUCCAUGAUGUAGGCAUUGAUUUUACCUAUAACAGGUCUGAGUAGAUUGUGAGAAGCCGCUUAAUAUUUUGGUUUCGUUGAGUGGUCUGGAACCCGAUGUUGUUGGAUUCCGUUGAGUGGUCUGGAAUCCUUACUUUUGCUAAUUCCCAUAAAAUUAGUCUAGAACCCUAGAUUCGAGUGAAUGGGAAUUACCCACAAUGUAUUUUGUGAAUACAAAUUAGAAUUACCAUGUUAUUAUUCAUAACCCAAGUAGGGAUUUAUGUAGAGUUCUUUAAUUAAAUUCGUGAAAUGAUAUGCUAUCUCACUGAUUGAUAACGUAAUUAAAUAUUAAUAUUGUGCUUCGUGAUUCCUUGAUAUGUUACAAGCUAUGGAUUGAGAUAUAAUGUUGGAAACAUAGUGAUUGGUAUGAUGUAGUGAAAUGUGAUUUGACUUGUGUAUUGGAAAUGGUUGUGACAUGUGAUUGAAAUUCUUAUUGAAUUGCUUGGGUGAUGUGAGGUCUAGUAAUAGACCAAUAACCCAUUGUGAUGGGGAUUUGUUGCUCGAUAUAGUUUCGUUUCGUUUAGUCUUUGUGAAUUGACUAACUUGAAUCAUGUCUUGUUCCUUUGAGCCGUAGUUAUGCUUCUUGGACUUCCAUUCGGUUCUGUUGAGUGGUCUGGAACUGAGUUCUGCUUGGAUUCCGUUGAGUGAUGGUCCGAAAUCGUAUCCUGAUUUGGAUUCCUUUUAGUGAUGGUUCGGAAUCCCUUCUACUCAGCAAUUCCAUUGAGUGAUGGUCCAGAAUCGUAUCUUGAUUUGGAUUCUGUUGAGUGAUGGUCUGAAAUCCCUUCUACUUCACGAUUCCAUUGAGUGAUGGUCUGAAAUCGUAUCCUGAUUUGGAUUCCGUUAAGUGAUGGUCCGGAAUCCCUUCUACUCCGUGAUUCUGUUGAGUGAUGGUCCGGAAUCCCUUCUACUCUGCGAUUCCGUUGAGUGAUGGUUCAGAAUCGUAUCCUGAUUUGGAUUCCGUUGAGUGAUGGUCUGGAGUCCCCUUUGAUGCUUUGAUUCUGUUGGAUGGUCCAAAAUCCCCUUUCAAAAAAUGUAGUCUUCGGCCAAACUGUGUCGCUCUAGCCCUGCAUUUCGGUCUAUGAUAUGUGAUAUUGAUUGAUGUGAUUAUGAAUGAUGUUGGUUGUGAUUGUUGCCAUUAUGAUUAGACUUGUUGACCAAUGUGGCUAGAUAAUAACAUUGUGCUUCGUUGACCGUUCUUUGAGAUGUUGCAUACUAUGAUUUGCGGUGAUAUGUGAAACAUGAUGAUUUAUGUGAUGGAUCAAGUGGAAAUGUUAAUCGUCAUGUGGGAUUGUUAUGUUGGAUAUCAUUGUAUUUGUUAUGAUUAGACUUGUUGAUAAAUAUAGCUAGAAAAUAUGUUGUGUUUCGUCGUUGUUCUUUGAUAUAUCGCAUAAUAUGCAUUGUGGUAUAUUGUUGGGACAAAACGUUUUAUGUGAUGGAUAUUCGAUUGUAGUGAAACAAUGAACUACGAAUGGCUUGAUCCCUAUUAAGGGUACGUAGGCAAUCUAACGAGGAGGUUAGAUGCAGCCAUAAAAUAUACAAAAAUUUCUAUGAGAUUUGAAUCUUGAAUUAUGCUAUUUACAUAUCUUGGAGGCGGGGUGGGUUGAGAUACGGGUAUUUGGUGAUGUCAUGUGUCGAUCAUGGAUGUAUGUCGGGAUCGGGGCGUGAUAAAAAUGCCUAACCUUUACUCACAUCGAGAAAACACUCCCAACAGGAUUACUUUCUCAAAAAUCAAAGAAGUACCGCUCCCUGAAUCUCGAAAGCCAGACUCCCACCGGGAUUACUUUCUCAAAAAUCGAAGAGGCACCGCUCUCCGAAUCUCAAGAGCCAGAUCCCCAAUAGGAUUGCUUGUUCAAAAAUCGAAGAGGCACCGUUCUCCGAAUUUAGAGAGCCAAACUCCCAACAGGAUUGCUUUCUCAAAAAUUGAAGAGGCACCGCUCUUCGAAUCUCGAAAGCUAGACUCCCAACAGGAUUGCUUUCUCAAAAAUCGAAGAGGCACCGUUCUCCAAAUCUCGAGAGCCAGAUCCCCGACAGGAUUGCUUGUUCGAAAAUCGAAGAGGCACCGCUCUCAGAACUUCGAAAGCCAGAUUUCCUUGGAUAAAGCUUGUUUGCAAUCUUCACACGCAACAUCAGCCUUCCAGAUACCACAUACCACUUUUUCAAAGUGCUCUGACAAAGUUAAAACACGUGAAUCUUGCAACUCCCACUAUAUUGCUAUGACCGAAGGGUAAAUGAACAGCGUUACUACUCGUUGUUGGGACAAUUCCUAUAUAUGUCGACCUUUAUCCUCCACAGCCUGGCAGACCUGCAAAUAAAAAAAAAUGCUCAACUUUUCUUCACAUCCGAGAAGGCACUCUCAGCAGAAUCUCUCAAAAUACUCAGCUUCUUUUCCCCCCGAUAAUACAUCUGCAAACAUGCCACACCAGAGCAAAAGUAUCUCAUAUCAUCAGGGUUAAAAGCAAGAGUAUCCCAUAUCAUGCUUUUUCCCUGUCUUUUCCUUUGCCUUUGUUCUUACUUGCAAGAUAAGGAGAAAGAAAGCAAUCAGUCAGCACUUAGAAUCAAGCUUCCAGUCAAGAACUGAUUGCCUGGAACUCCUUGCCUAAUUACUUACCUGGCAUUGCUCUCGAGUACUCAUUUUCAACAUCUUAUGCUUUCAUAAAAGAUACCACAUCUGCCUGAGGAACAGAUAGGGCAAGUGAGAAGGAUACAAGGAAGCAUGUGAAGACAAGAGCAACAGAACACAUGCCGAUUUAUCUAUUACUUUGUCAACAGCAAAAGUAUCCCAUAUCAUCAAGGUCGAACGCACUCUUAAUUUGAUGGACUUGUUCUGACCCUCAAAUUGUUGAGUCGACAUUAUACUCUGGAGGAAACCAGAAAACCCUCCAGCCCAGUUCAAGAAUAAGCAUAUGGAAACUUACUUCUUUAAAAGAAAAAGUAUCUCAUAUCAUCUCUUCUCCAUGUUAUUUUCUUUGUCCUUGUUGAUGUCUACAAAACAAGGAGAAGGAAAACAAUCAGCCGGAACACGAGAUCAAACUUUCGAUCUAAGACUGACUGCUUGGAACUCUGAUUGCUUACUUUGUCUGUCACCUCUUUCGGUAGAUCUCCUCGUUCAGAGACUUGGGGGACUCCUACUAUAGGGUUUGUAUCGCGCUUGACCAAGCCCGAAACUACAAGUAAGUUUCAAGUGAAAUUGAUACAUUACCUUGUGCAUCUCCAUCGGUUAAAGAUACCACCCCUGGAUGGAGGAAAAGUACUUCCAGAGAAGAUGCCACAUCUACUUAUGAGACAAAUACAGCAAGUGAAAACGAUACCACACUUCAGUACUUAGAAGUUUCAUGAUUACUCAGCGACUAGGAUCUUCCAAGUCCCCAACCGAGGAGCUUCCCUCACUCGGGAACUUAGGGGAGGACUGUUUGUACCAUACUUGACCAAUCUCUAAACUACCAAGCAUCAGUCAACGUUAUACCAGCAAUGACCCAGAAGAGUUUCCCUCAAACCAGGAGGCCAAUCACAGCGCAACACGUGUCAACACCAAUAGGCCAAUUAUAGGGCGACACAUGUCAACAUCAAAGGUCAAUCACAACAUGACACGUGUCAAGGCCAAGACAAAGCUAGAAACUCUCUUCUAUAAAAGAAGAUCAUUCUCCCACAAUAAUCCCGAAUGUCAUUUGUACUAAAUCAUUCACUAGUACUCACUAAAGGAGAGCUUGAACCUAUGUACUUGUGUAAACCCUUCACAAUUAAUGAGAACUUCUCUACUCCAUGGACGUAGCCAAUCUAGGUGAACCACGUACAUCUUGUGUUUGCUUCCCUGUCUCUAUCCAUUUACAUACUUAUCCACACUAGUGACCGAAGCAAUCUAGCAAAGGUCACAAACUUGGCACUUUAUGUUGUACCAAAGUCCUCACUGAUUUUAUGCAUCAACAUAUUUAAUUUAGUACUUUAUUUAAACUAAGAGUAUCUUUAUUUAAUAUGGUACUUUAUUUAAACUAAGAGAAUCUUUAUUCAAAGAACAUAAACACACCAAACAAAAUUACAUAAACACACCAAAUUAAAAAAAAAAACACUAAAUGAGCCUAAAAAGCACACUAAAUGAACUUAUAAAACACACCAAACAAACUAAGAGCAUUCUUCUUCCCCCACAAGCUUGUUUUUAAGUUUUUUGAGCUUGUUUCAAUCCCCACAAGUGUUCUAUCAAGUCAAUUUGCAUGGAUUUGUGAUAGUAUAAGGAUUGGAGUAAAGUAUAUUGUUCAAUGAGCCUUUCAUUAUAACGUCCAUCUCUUUCUAAUGGCUCGUGUUCCAUGGGUUCUUCGGUGGCAUCAUGAGCACAAUAUAUUUGUGUUUUGGAAUUGUUCAUCGGGUUUGGUUCAAAUUCAUCAAUGGCAUCAUAAUCAUACUCAUCUUCCACAAUCAUGUUGUGCAGAAUGAUACAAGUCAUCAUGAUAGAUCAAAGCGACUCUAAAUCAAACAAUCUGGUAGCACCCUUGACAAUCGCCUAACGAGCUUGGAGGAUAACAAAACAACGCUCCACAUCAUUCCUACACCCCUCUUGAUAGCUUGCGAAGUGUUUUUCCUUUUCACUUCGCGGAUGUGGCACUGUUUUGACAAACGAUGUCCACCUUGGGUAAAUGUCAUCUGCUAGGUAGUAUGCUUCGUGAUAUUAUGUCCAUUGACCCAAUACGUAACUUUUGGUGCUUUUCCUUGUGGGACAUCGUUGAACAAUGGGGAUUGGGUAAGGACAUUGAGGUCAUUUUGAGCUCCUGGAACACCAAAAAAAUCAUAUCAAAUCCAUGUAUCAAAUGAUGCCACCGCCUCCAAAAUGAUACUUUUUGCUCAUUUUUUUGUCCCCAUAAGCUCAUUGCCGUGCACUUGGACAGUUUUUUCAGGUCCAAUGCAUACUAUCGAUGCUUCCAAUCAUACCAAGAAAACCUAGCAUCUCAUCCUUCUUCAGAAGCCUAUGCAAGUCCAUUGUCGUAAGUCUUAGAAGGUACUAUUUGGUGUAGGUAGAUUCGAUUGCGGAGCAAAACCUCAUCAGGGACUUAAGAAUGGUUGAUUUCUUCAUCCUUGCUAUCUCAUCCACUUGGUCUGCAUAUGCUCCAUAUGCAAGCAUUCGUAAGGCAUCAGUAAUUUUUUGCUCAUGAAGGAGACCAACGACACCAAAAGCAUCAUUCUUUUGCACAAAGUAAGAAUCAUGGUUGCAAACAGCAAUCACAAUUUUAUUGAACAAAUGUCGUUGCAUUCUAAAACGACGUCUAAAGUACAUAUCAAGGAAUGCACUGUUACGGACAAAAUAAUCGUCCAAUAGAUCUUACCUCAUCAUUGCCUGCUUCUAUCAAUGUUUGCGGAAUAGUUGGGCCUGGAGAUCUCAGCCACAGCUUGGAUGACUCGACAGGAAUGUGAGGCUCUUUGGCUUCUUGCUUCGUCAUCUUUCCUUCUACACUCCUCAUCCUCUUUCUCUUCCAUCUCAUUUUCGCCCUCCUGGAGAUUGAACAUUUCUUCCCCUUACUUAAACAAUUCUUUCUCUUGCUCAUUGAUUUCCCACAACAUCCUUGAAGAAGACAUUGUAAGAAGGAAGCAAAAAGUAUGAAUAAGGAUAGAGAUUUUGAGAGAUUUUGAGAGAUUUUAAUUUUGGUGUGUGAUUUCUUAGGAUGGAUGGUGGGUUAUAUGGAGAAAAAAGAAAGUAUCAGGUUAGAGAUAAUGUCAUGUGGCAUGUUGUGAUUUGUUAAAAAUCUUAUUGAAAUCUAUCCUCAAAGAUUCUAAACAGAUUGUGACAUGUGACGCGACGGGAUUGGUUAAAAAUUUUAUCCGAAAUCUAUCCUCAAUGAUUCGAAAAAGGUAACGACACGUGGUGCGACGGAAUUGGAUAAAAAUCUUAUCGAAAUCUAUCACCAAAAAUUGUACUUUCGAAUAAUGACAAGUGGCGUAACGAGACCGGUUAAAAAUCCUAUCCGAAAUUACAAAUAAAAUUAUUUUUUAUUAUUUUAUAAAAUAAAAAUACUAAUAUUUAAUUGCCUAUUGUCAUGGCUAUUUAGUUUAUAAGUAGAUAUGCAAAAGGCAAUUACUGUUCAUUGAAGACAGUUACUAUUCAGUGGAGGGCCUUCCUACACUAGAAGUGCUCUAAUGGGCAAGAAAAAUGGAUAUAGGAUGACGUCCAAUUCCUUCAAAAUGAGGAAUUGGAUUCCUUAUUUUCUAUAGGUCCCACCAUUCGUUUUACUCUCCAAGUUUAGUAAACGAAGGCAUAUCCUAUCAUCGGAAUCCAAUUUCGUAUUUUAAUUUCGAUUACGGAUUCGUAAACACACCAUAAGAGUUAUUUUCCGAAUCUAAAAGAGGAUGCUUAAUUUCAACUAAGAGGGUGCUUGAUUUCAACUAAAAUUUAAAAAGUGAAUCAUUGCCUUAAUCUAACGAGAGAAACGAUAGUUGAUGGAGAAAAGCACACUUAUACUUGUGAGAUAAAGAGUUGAUUUGCUUGACAUAUACUGAUAAAAUUUAAGUCUCAGCAUGGUCCACCACCAACGUCAUCAAUGUUGUACCAACUUAAUUAAUCACCUAGUAAAAAUUUUAUCACAAAAGAUCUCAAUGAUAUUAAGGUCAUGGAAAAGAUAUAAUGUUGUUCUAUUAUCGCGCUCAAAUACUGAUUCAUUUUCUUUUCUCUUUAGUUGUUCAUCAGGGUUCCGAUUCUUUCAAUAGUCUCAUAGUUGUAUAUGUGGUUUUGUAAAAUUUCUUCUAAAACUUUUCUCUUUAUUUGUCAGCAUCAUUGCCUGCAAUUAAAUUCCAUAGCAUGGCACUAUUUUGCCCAAAAACAGGCAUGCCCAUUGAGAUAGAAAGGCUCAUAACAGCCACAACAAGUUUUACAAAUUUUUAUUGCCAACCAUCCAAAGACUACAAGGCAGACUACAGAAAGCAAGACAAAAGGACCACAAAGUAAAUUUAAAAUACAACGAAACACUUAUUUGAGAAUACUAAUUCACAUUAUUAACUUUGUGCUUGUUAAAUUCAAUAAAGUAAAUGCUGGAGGAACCACAAUUUUUAUAAUCACGUUAGUUUUGUUGAUUUCAUAUGUUGAACACUCGUAAAAAAAAAAAUCCCUUACUUCCAUUGGGACUGUAGCAAAGAUUCAACUACCCAAUUUUCAAUGUGUUAAGGGAGACUCUUGUCUAUUAUUGUUAUUGAUGUAUCUUAUUUACGGGAAUCAACUAAGAGGGUGCUUGAUUUCAACUAAAAUUUAUAAAGUGAAUCAUGCCUUAAUCUAACGAGAGUUGACGGAGAAAAGCACACUUAUACUUGCGAGAUAUAUAUAGAGUUGAUUUGCUUGACAUCUACUGAUAAAAUUUAAGUAUCAGCAUGGUCCACCACCAACAUCAUCAAUAUUGUCUCAACUUAAUUAAUCACUUAUUACUAGGUGUUGAGUUUUAUUACAAAAGACCCCACUGAUAUGAAGUCAUGCAAAAGAUAUAAUGUUAAUUCUACUAUCAAGCUUAAAUACUGAUUGAUUUUUUUUUCUCUUUAGUUGUUCGCUAGGGUUCCGAUUCUGUCAAGAAAACUAAUCCUUCACAGAUAUUGCAUAUGCCACCUAUUUUAACGUAAAACACUUUCUUGCUAAUGACCAGUCUUCUGUGGCUGCUUGUAAGCAGAAGAAAACUCUCUUAAACGAUGACAAAAGUUCAAAGUCACCUCUGAAAGUCCAAAGCCAUGUUAUUUUUGCAAAGAGAUUGGUCACCUAAGGAAAGAUUGCAAUGGUUUUAAAAAUUGGCUCUUUAAGAAGGGUAAUGAAAUCAAUGUUUUUGUUUGUUUUGAGUCCAAUUUAAUUUGUGUUCCUCCUUUUAAUUGGUGGUUUGAUACUGGUUUCUCAAUUCACAUCACAAACACCUUGCAGAGAUUCACAAAACUAAGGGAGAAAAUAAAGAUGUCCACAAUGUUUUCGUUGGGAAUGAAAGCAAAGUGGUUGAGUCCAUUGGCAGUGUGCAACUUAAGCUUUCAUCUGGUUUUAUUUUUUCAUUAAGUCUUCCAAGCAAGCAAAAUCUCACCCCAAAUCUUGAUUUUAAAAGCCUUCCAGACUGCACCGAUUGCUGUAAGGGAAAACUAACUAAUACAAGAAUAAUGCGAUCAACAGAAGUAAAAUUCUUUUGGAGAUCAUACACAUUGAUGUGUGUAGUCCUUUUCCAAAUAAAACCAUCUGUGGCAACUCUUAUUUUGUAACAUUCAUUGAUGAUUUCUCAUGGUAUUGUUAUGUGUUCUUGGUUUCAUAAAAAUCAUACGCGCUUGACUGUUUUAAAAUAUAUAAGACUGAGGUGGAAAGAAAACUCGAAAAAUAUAUUAAAAUAGUGAGAUCGGAUAGGGGUGGUGAGUAUUUUGGCAGAUUCACAAAAACUGGUCAACAUAAAGGUGCUUUUGCAACAUAUCUUGAAGCAUAUGGCAUUGUAGCUCAAUAUACAACUCCAGGGACUCCACACCAAAACAAUGUUGGAGAAAAAAAGAAUAGGACCUUAAAGGACAAUGAUUCAAUCCAUAUUUUCAAGGUCUCAGUUACCACUUUUUAAAACAGCCAAUUACACAGUGAAUAGGGUUCCCAACAAGUCACUUCAAGUAAUACCUUUUGAAGCUUGGGCAGGUAGGAAGCCUGGCUUCAAUCAUAUUCACAUUUGGGGCUGCCAAGCAGAGGCUCGUUUGUAUAACCCUCAUGAGAAAAAGCCGGAUCCAAGAACUACAAGUUGUAGAUUCAUUGGAUAUUCUGAGAAAUCAAAGAGUUUUAAGUUCUACCGCCUUAAUUCCCAUACCAGACUACAAGAGACCAACAAUGCUGAAUUCUUUGAGAUUGGAAGAGGAAUUGGUGCAGCAUUCAAGUUCCGAGUUUGAAGAAGAAAGCAGCAAUAAAGUACAGCAUCCAAGUAUCAAGUUUGAAGAAAUAAGAUGUGGUGAGAAUGAUUUGAUUGCAGCACAAGACUUUUCAAUUACCCUCCCUGUCAUAUUGGCCCCUGAUAAUGCAACUCUACCAAAUGUGGAUAUGACAACGAAUUUGGAAGAACUGAUCCCUACAGACAUUAAUGAUCACAACUUUGCAGCACAAGUCAUUGAAGAUCAUGCAACGAUGCAACCUGUAGAACCAGCAUAAAUGACAUUAAUGCAUUCGACUAGGCAAAAGAAACAUGUGUUAUUACCUGAUUUUGUGUAUAUGCAAGAAGUGGAGUAUAACAUUGGAGAUAAAGAUGAUCCAUUGUCAUUCAAACAAGCUUUCAACAGCCAUCAAGCUAAUCUUUGGCAUGCUGCCAUGACAGAAGAACUUGAAGCAACGGAAAAGAAUCAUGUUUGGACACUGAUUCCUCUUCCACCAAAUGCAAAACCCAUAGGCUGCAAAUGGGUGUUCCAAACCAAAAGAAAUGCACUAGAAGAGAUUGAAAGAGACAAAGUCAGGCUUGUGGCUAAGGGAUUCACGCAACAAGAAGGCAUUGAUUACAAUGAGACAUUCUCUCCUGUCUCAUCCAAGGCCUCCAUGAGAGUAAUAAUGGCCUUGACAACUUAGAACUGCAUCAAAUGGAUGUUAAGUCAGUCUUUCUUUUGGUGAUUUACAUGAAGAUAAAGUCAUGAAUCAACCACCUGGUUUUACUGAGGAAGGAAAAUGAUCCAUGGUUUGCAGGCUCAACAAAUUGACCUAUGGUUUAAAACGAUCCUAUUGGCAGUGGUACAUUAAAUUUGAUCAAGUUGUUACUACUUUUGGUUUUGAAGAAACAAGACAGAUGACUGCAUCUACCUUAAGGUCAGUGUUUCAAAGUUUAUUUUUAUAGUACUAUAUGUGGAUGAAAUCUUACUUGCGAACUCAGAUUUGUCUUUACUGCACUCAACUAAAGGCAUGCUUACUGAGAGUUUUGAUAUGAAAGAUCUUGGUAAAGCUCAUUUUGUACUAGGUAUUGAGAUUAAGAGGGACAUAUCAAAGAGAAUGCUAGUUUUUUUCCAAAAGACCUAUAUUGAUAGAGUAAUGAAGAGGCUCAAUAUGGACAAGGGGUGCAGGUGGAGAGCUUCCCAUUGCAAAGACAGACGAGUUCAGCACUGACCAAUGCCCAAAAAAAUGAUUUGGAGAGGACAUGGAUGAAAGACAAGCCUUAUGCAUCACUUGUUGGCAGUUUUAUGUACGCUCAAGCCUGUACUAGGGCCUGACCUAGCAUUUGCUGUGAGUAUGUUGGGUCGUUUCUAAUCCAAUCCUAGUGUUCUUCACUGGACUGCUGCAAAAAAAGGUACUUAAGUAUCUUAAAAGGACUAAAGACCUUGUUCUAGUGUUAUACACAAGUUCAAAAUCUUGAGUUGGUUGCUUACUCAGACUCUGACUUGGCUUGCUGUGUGGAUGAUUGAAAAUCAACUAGUGGAUAUGUUUUCUUGUUGGCUGAUGGUGUUGUCUCAUAGAAAAGCUCCAAAAAAAAGGUAAUAGCUUCCUCAACCGUGGAGGCUAAAUUUAUUGGCUGCUAUACUGCUACUAAGCUUGCAAUCUAGUUAAGAAACUUUAUCAAGGGACGACUGAAAGUUGUUAAUUCAAUUGAGAGACCAAUAACUAUAUAUUGUGACAAUAGAGCAGUAGUCUUCUUUUCAAGGAACGACAAGAGACCUAUUACUUGCAGGCUGAUGGAUAUAAAGUAUCUGGAUGUUAGAGAUGAAGUGAGAAAGGGUCUUCUGAAUAUUGAACAUGUAGGCACUGAUCUCAUGACGGCUAAUCCCAUGACCAAGGGUUUGGCAGUUGUAGUGUUGAAGAAGCAUAACUACAAUAUGAGUAUGCGAGAGACUUUUGAUUCUGUUAAUGAGAAGGAGUAAAACACUCACAUGUUCCUCUUCUCUCUCUUAUUGUUAUGUUUCCUUAAACUGAUAUGUUGGAUUUCUUAUACUGAUUGUUUUGUUCUCACAUUUUUGUUUUAUUUGACAAAAUAUGAGCCAUGCUUUUAUUUGACAAAAUAUGAGCCAUGCUUGCUUGAGUCUCAGUUCAAGAGUUGGUUUUCUGCUUAUCAACCUGAAUUAACGAAAGAUGUUAGCAACAUAGUGCUCAUAAUUUAAUAUUUGUGGUAAUAGAGUACACAUGUGGAAGCAAUUACAUGUUAUUUUCUGUAAUCCAAUAUUUAAACUACUAGUGAAAGGUUGUUAAAGGUAUAUUUGCAAAUUUGAGGGACUCAGUGAUCACCUAUCACUUUAGUCAAGUAAGGAUCAUGUUCUUGGACACUCAAGGGAGAGAAUGUAAGUUAUGAGUGUCAAAGAACGAGUGCUCGCUGUUUCUUGACAUACAAGCAACUCGGCCAAUAUGAGUUUAUAGUUGAAGAAAUCAUGGAGCCUUAUCUAGUUAGGUUUAGGAGUCCUUAUUUAGUGCAAUUAAUCUUGAAAACCUUAAUUAGUUGACAAAGAAAUCAUUACCAUUUAGGACUCUUAUGAUACCCUAAUUGAUAUGGAAUGUCUCAUAUAAUCAGCUAAUAGGUCAGAUUAUAGGGAUAGUCAUUAAUAUAUUAGGAAGUCCCUGCACUCACAGUAAUCAUCUUUGCUUUGUGCUAAACCCCAUUUCCCUAGCAAAAGGACUUACGACUGCUUGAGUGGAGAAGACUCUCCAUGGCAGGAGCUUCCUCAGGUAAGUUCUCCAUUCAUUCUACGUUUCAUGCAUGCUCAUGGUUGUCGUUCUUAAUGUGUCGUGUUUUAAUAUACGCCUUACAAUGAUACCUUAAAUUCUAAAGUAGAUAAAAGAUGAAGGGCGAAGGUCUAAUUUUUGAUGUGCAUGUUGGAGUGUUUUUACUCCUCAAGCUUUUAGUCUCAUAGUUGGAUAAGUGGUUUUGUGAAAUUUCUUUUAAAACUUUGCCCUUUAUUUAUCAGCAUCAUUGCCUGCAAUUAAGUUCCAUAUUCGCAUAGCACCAUAUUGCCCAAAAACAUGCCCAUUAAGAUAGAAAGGCUUACAACAGCCACAACAAGUUCCACAAAUUUUAAUUGCCAACCAUCCAAAUACUGCAAAGCACACUACACAAAGCAAGACAAAGGGACCACAAAGUAAACUUAGAAUUACAAUGAAACACUUAUUUGAGAAUACAAAUUCACAUCAUUAACUUUGUGUUCGUUAAAUUUAAGGAAAAGCUUGAAUAACAGAAUAUUGGAUAGCAGGAACAGGUGUGAUAGUGUGUCCACUAAAGCCAGCCCCCCCAAGAACAUAUUCCCAUUCCUUCAAGCUCCUUUCUUUGCCUUUGUUAGUAUGGGCAAUCAUCACCAUAUCUAACAUCAAUUUCAGAUUUGCUAGCUUCUUGUCUUCUUUCUCAUAUUUUUCGUCGAUAACGGCAUCUAUGAUGAUCACCUUCCCCGUGUCCUUAGGAACGGCUUCCCGGCACUUUUUAAGGAUACGAAUGCAGUCAUCGUCACCCCAGUUAUGAAGAACCCCCUACAAUCAACCAACUUGCACUGUGUAUCAUAACACGAUUUUGUUGAGCAAGAAAAUUUAUAGCGAGAUAAUAAGAGAGCAAGGCUAGAAGAGCCACCCUUAACAUUAAUUUUUUUCUUCUCAAAUUAUGGCAUUAGCAGACCACUUGAUAUGUGAAAGCUGACGUAUUAAUUAACAUAUGACGAAUUCUAUUAGUAUUACCAUAAACAAAAGUAUAAAUGCUUAUUGCUUACCUUGAUGAUUACUGCAUCAGCCUUUGGAACGCGAUCAAACAUGUCACCUCCAACAUUCUCAACGCGAUCACAAUCCUGAGCAGCAGAGACAACAUGCGGAAGAUCAAAGUUAAUGCCACGAAUCCAAGGGCAACCCUCGACCAACAAGCGCAACAUAGUCCCAUUUCCCCCGCCGACAUCUACUAUUGUCUCAAGGCCUUUGAACACCUCUAUACAACUUUUAAUCACUGCAGGCACAGCUGCCUUUACAUCACAAGUCAUUGCAUCAUUGAAAAGCUUGCUGUGAUCAGGAUUGGCCGCACCAAAGCUCCAUAAGUCCUCCCCAUGUACUUCCUCAAACAAUUGAUUGCUAAUAUUUCCUCGAAUUCGGGCACUUAAGCCGUGCCAUGGUGCCAGCAUUACCGGACUACUCUCCAGCAAGAUCAGCGCCACCAUGCUAUUUUCUCCGGAUUUCAGUAGCCGGUGAGACAGAGGUGUUUGUGCAUAACCUUUGGAGCCUAAUUGGUUUGUGGUUAUUUCUUUGAAUAAUUUGAGGUGGACUAGUACCCUCAUGACGCGGUAAAGGUGAGAAGGAUCACAACUUAGAGCAGAUGAGAGCUCUAAGAGUGUCAUGGGGCUUCCAUGGCUUUCAAUUGCUUCAGCUAUUCCGAGCU
rnacentral:lncRNA from 1 species